AGGACACAUUUACAUCUUUCUUUUAUGCGCUUUAUCGUAUGCAAAAUAACAUAGGCAGUUCAUUUGUUGUUGCUUCUUGAUGGGUUGUUGGUGCACCGAACUAGAUGUCACUAGUGCUAGUACUAGACUACAUCAAUUAAUCAAUCUGUGGCAAAGAUAAGAUAUAUAGAUAGAUGCUGCAAAAGGAUGAUCUUAAACGACACAAAGUAGUCUACUAAUACUGCACUAGCAAAUAACAGCUGUAAUAAGAGACUAUCAUAAUACAAGGGGUAAUUCUUGGACAUCUUUUUCUCGUGGUGAGAAUAAUAUACCCAGUAGGCCGAAGGCGAAUGCCCAAGGGUGCUCCAUGGAUAGGCCAGCCAUUGUGAUACGAAGAUAUUGAAGGGAAAUAAGACAGAUAUGAAGUUGACAACAAGCCUGCUGGCAAAUUAAUCAACAGUGGGGCUAGAGGUUGUUUUUUGCUCUUCUCUCACUCUCUGCCUCUCUCUAACCCUAGACUCCUGGAGGGGAGAAGGGAGAGGUCUGAAGAGGAGAGCUCACUGUGUUGGUUGGAACUCUUGGCCUGAAUUGUAAGGUUGUUAAUGGGGUGCUUUAUAUAGGCAGGAAGAUUACAUGACUGCCUUGGUGUAUGCAAGCUAUCCUAUCACACAUAUGCCACACAAAAUUAAUGAUUGGCUUUCUAGAAAGAAAAAAGUUUCCAGCAAUGCAUAAUUGAGCUUAUCUAAUGUGCUAUGCUUUUUUCCCCGAAAAAUCUGAUGUGCUAUGCUUGAUAGAGAUAAUGAUAGAAUUUUUCAAAAGUUGUCGCUUUGGUGUACACUUUAGCUUUACUGUGCAUAAUACAUCCGCUCCUGAAUAUUUAUACACCCGGAGUUGUGUUAUACUACGUCAUUCUUCCGGUCUUCCCAACCUUAGAUCUUUGGGGUGUGGUAAUAGCCGCCACGCAACUGUAAACGAAAUGAGACAUUCCAACUGGGAGGACUCUUCACACUAUUAGUUGAUUAUUGAUUUUACGGAAUGAAAUGUCUUACAAGGAACAAAUAAUUAACUUUUGUAUAUAGACAUAGUGUCCAGUAGCUGAAUUAACUUAGCAGCCUUUUCGCAUUAAAAAUCUACAAGCAAAGAGUCAUUAAAUUAAUAUGCUGACAUUCUCAUACUUUUCGGUGAUCCGCGUGUAUGUUUUUCAUGAUUUGAGACUAACUAUCACGACAUGCAGUGGUCAAUUCAUUGCAUGUAAUGAUAUUAAUUAGCAAACUAACAUUAAUUUCUCUUAUUUUCCUCUCCGUCUAGGUCGCGGUGCACAACCUAAUAUGACUUAUAAACCGAGACGGAGGGAGUACAUGGCCUUGCAAAUACAUUCAAAUAGUGUUACUCAUCUUAAACUCAUCCAAACACAGGUACCACAGUCCUGAAAAGAUUAGUUUCAAGGGAAUACAAUCCAAAUGAAUUUACUUUCACCCUCUGCCUGAAUAAGAUAUACACAGUCAAUAGAACCACACACACUAGCAAAUACAAAGUCAUCCCAGACCAAUACAACACAGACCUCCGCGUCGCUCCUAGGAGAGGCGACUUGGGUGGAACCCUAGUGCAGCCUCCACCCCUUCCCCCUACGAUCAAUCUUGCUUAUCCCGCCAUCGUCAAAGAACGCCUCCGGACAAAGUCCAUGAGGCUGAUGCUGGCGGCGGGUCCUCAUCCUCCUCGCAUGAAUGAUGGCGGCAGGGGGCCCAUCGUUUCUCGUGUUGCGGGAUCUCCGGCCGAAGAUCAUGGCAGCCCUGGAUGGCGUGGUUCGUACAGCAGAGAUGGACAUCGAGGCGGUGGCCCCGGAUUUCUACGGUGACCUCGAAUACCAUUGUGGCCGCGAAGGCGACACAGCAACCGGUUCGGGGGGGGGGGGCUCGGUGCAUCUCAACUACUUAUCUCUGCAUGGUGCGGGUGGUGACGGCGGUGCCCGUUCAGAUCUUCGGCCUACCGUAGGAAACCGGUGGAUGGUGUGGUGAUACGAUCUCUAACAUAUCUAUUUUUCGAUUGCUCCAUGCUAUUAUAUUUUUCUAGGGUGCUUUUUAGGCAUUUAUUUGCUGAUUAAUAUUAUUUUAAGCACUAAUCUAUUAAUCCAGUGCCAAAGUUCUAGUUGUUGUUUUCCGCAUGUUCUAGUUGUUGUUUUCCGCAUGUUUUUAGCUUGUCAGAAAUAUUGUACCAAAAGAAGUCCAAAUACCCAGAACUUUUUGAUUGUUUUUUUCUGGACAAAAUAAGGACCUGAAAGCUUUGAAGGAGACCGGAGGCCCCAUGAGGUGGUGCCAAGCCAACAGGGUGCACCCAAGGGGGGUGGUCGCGCACUGAUGGCCUGGGGCCACCUGCCUUGGCCUCUAGCCCUCCUCCGUGUCCUAUAAAUUCACAUUAAUCCCAAAAACUCUAAGUAGCCUCUGGAAACACUUUUUCUGCCAUCACAAGUCUCUGUUCCGCCAUGUGUUCGUCUGGAGCCCUGUCCCGGUGCCUUGUCGUAGGGGGAUCAAUCACAGUGGGCCUUUACAUCAACCUUGAUGCUCCCAUGCUGGUGUGUGUUUAGUUCACCACACACCCGUGGGUCAAUAGUUAGUACCUAGAUGGUUAUCUAUCUCUCUAUGUUCUUCAUUGCCAUGAUCAUCACGACUCAUGUGGUGAUCCAUCUUAUGUAAUCAUUGUUGUGCGGUGCAUUUGUUGGGAUCCGAUGAAUUAUGGGUUUAUGUUUAGAUUAUUCAUGAAUAAUAUUUGAGUCUUUCUUGAAUUCUUAUAUGCAUGAUUGUGAUAGCUUCGCAAUUCUCUCUGAUCUAUUGAUUUGGUUUGGUCAAGUAGAUUGAUCUAUCUUUAGUGGGAGAGGCGCGUUGUAGUGGGUUCAAUCUUGCGGUGCUCAAUCCUAGUGACAGAAAGAGAUAUGACACGUAUUAUAUUCCUUCCACUAAGGGUAAAAACGAUGGGGUUGAUUCAUAUUAAUUGGAUUUACUUUCUCUACAUCAUGUGAUUAUUCUCCAAGCAUUACUCUGUUUUCACUUAAUACUCUAGAUGCAUGUUAGAUAGAGGUGUGAUAAUAGUAGAUACAUGUAGAAGUCGGUCUCCUUUCUUAGAGAUGUGAUGCAUAUAUGUAAUGCUAAUUGCAAUGAAUGAAUACUACAUAACUAUUCGCUUUUCUAUCAGUUGACCAACAAUAAUUUGUUUACCCACCAUAUGUUUUCUACAAGAGAGAAGCCUCUGAAGAAAUCUAUGGCCCCCGGGUCUAUUCACAAAUAUAUUUAUCAAAACACUAAAUACCUUGCUGCCUUUUAUUGUUUGUAUUUAAUUUUUAUAUUUCAUAUAUUUAAACUAUCUAUCUAUCACUACUUAUUACUUGCAAGUAACGAGUCCAAGGGGAUUCACAACCCUCUUGCCCGCGUUGGGUGCAAGUGUGUGCUCUUUUGUGUGUAGACGCUAAAGACAAAAAAUUGCGUGGUCCUCCUGUUGGUUCGAUAACCUUGGUUCUCAUUGAGGGAAAUACUUAUUUAUAUUGUGAUGCAUCAUCCUUUCCUCUUCGGGGAAAACCCCAAUGCAGAUCACAAGUAUGACAUGGUCAUUGGGUCCUUUUUGCUCUAAGAUGAUGGUGUUCUGCCGGUUGCCAACUCUCAUGGAUCUGCCAUUGACGUGUUCCGAAAUGCUCCGCCAAAGAUCUUCAUUCGGUGCUUCACGCAUGUAUAUUGUUGGAUCGAAUGGAAUUCGGUCAUGUGCGCCCUUGUUUCAGCCCGAGUGGCUUCACGAGGGUCUGACGCGAAAGUUCGGUCUAUGUUGACAUUAUGGGAGAUGACGGUUUUUGGAUAUUCAUGUUGAAGCCAUUAGCAUAGAACGUCAUGGCGGAUGAGCUCUGAGGCCUCGUAAUGUAGAUCGAGUCUUCGUGGAGAUGAGUACUUUCCUUGGUGAUUUGUGACUCAUAGCCUUGACAUCCGCAAGUACGGGCGGUAGCACAUGCGGAGUACAAAGUCUUAGCUUUCAGGGUGAAAACUCAAGGCCUGACCUUAAUUGGUUCUGUAUGGCAGAUACCUUGUCGAAGGCAUUGAUUUGAUAUCACGGAUCUUCUCUAGGGUGAAGACCUUAGAUCUAGGAUAGGCUGAUGGGGGUACUUGCACUAGUAGAGAAAUGGCUAGCCAGAAGUUUUGUUGGUGGGGCGCCAUCUCACACCAAUGCAGAACAAGCACCUCAAUACAACGCGUCGAGUUGCCUUUUCGACCCCUCCGUCGCCCAUCAUGCAGGAGACCAAGGGGACACAACCCCUCGUCGUCGGUCCCCCUCCUCCUAUCCCCUCACCCCUACGCCCCCGCCGGUGGUCGGCGCCGGACUAAGCCUGCGCGUGGGCGGCGGCGGAGGAGGAGUCGCCCUCUCACUCAGGGAUUAGGAUGCACGGGAUCCCAGAUCUCGAGGAUGAGGCCCCGAUCGAUCACGACGAUGUUGUUCUAGCCAUGACAGCCUCCAUUUGGAGUGACCCGACCGACCGAUGACCGAGUGGCGUUCGUGGCGACAGACUGGCUCUGCUCUGCCUAGUCUGCGACGAAGGGUCGUGGAUCCGGGGUGGUGGCCCCUAGGUUGGCCUCCUUGUCCGGCAUGAUGGGGCAGGUGGGUUGCCGGGGAUUGGAUCGGGCAGCGGUGAUCCUGCGACGGCUUGGCGCGACGGCGUGAGAUCUGGAGGUUGCCCCUUUCUCCUGUUGCCUCUCUCGUCGUCCCGGUGGUUUGCGGCUGCAGGCUCCGGUGAUGGUGAGCCCUAGUGGUGUACCUUGGGUCCUGGGGAAACCUUGACCGGUCUGGCCAGCCCGGCAGUGGCGUCGCCCAUGGGUGUCACUUUCCUUCAUGAAGUUCAUUCUGCAUCCGAUAUAUCUAAUUUGAAGAAGGGGGUCAAUACAUAUAUAUGAAUAAAUGAAACUGAACACAAAUGAUGGUAAUAAAAUAAAAUUGUGAAUAUUAUUAUUUGCGCACGUCAUAUUGUUUGUCAGAGUAGCCCCGCUCACAGGUCACGUGGCAGAUGGACUCGCAAAUGUAGUAUCCACAGUAAUCAUUCCCUGGUUACUGCCACAACCACUUUACAAGAAAUAGAGGUCAAUCAAACUGAUAGUUAGCAAGCAUGCUAAAUGGUAUUGAUGAAACUAGCGCUUGAAUCACUAGGAGAUGCGUGGAACAUGCUACUAUAGUACUUACUUUCGGGUGUCUAAAUUGCAGCUUCUUCGGCAGUCCCGGAGUUUUUGCGGUGAAUUUUUUCCAAACCCUGUCAGACAAGAAAACAAUUACUUGAUAUCAGGAAAUGAACAAAGUUGCCGAUAUGGUGCGAUAAUGAUCGAUUUAACUUACUUCUCUAGAAUUCCAGUCAUGUCCGCAUACUCGUUGGGAUCCUUUCGUCUUGAGUCUAAGACGGUUACUAGUCCGUGCUCAAUCUUAAUCUCUAGGAGAAUAUAGUGGAAGCUGCGCACGCAUGCAUAACUCAUCAAUUACAUUACUAUAACCUUGACUAAUAAGGGAAACCGAAUAUGCACAAGACAGUAACACUCACUGGAAUUUGUAAGGAAAGAGUAUUAUAGCUUUGUUUUGAUUCAAUACAAACGAUUGUAGCAGGUUGGCCUCGGUAUCUUUGGCCUGAGAUUUAAUCAUAAAUGCAUCUACGAGAUUUGUGUUAAUGAACCCAAUAUCACCGAUUUGUCUUUUCUUCAAUUCGACGAUCUUCAAUCUGCAUAUAAUAUAGUGAGGAUAAUUAAAAAUACAUGCAACGAAAAAGCUGACCUAUAUAUAGAGACUUAAUGACAGAAGUAGUACUACUUACAGGCAGUAGCAAGUGAUCAUUAAUUUAUCGAGGGCCUUUAGAUUGAAAAACGGAAAGAACUCCUCAAAUGGAACCAUCAACAGUUCAAGUCCAACGAGGUCAUGCUCCUUUCUAACUCCGAGCAGCAAAAUAUUACUCCACCCGGACUCUUUGCAAGUUUUCAUGUACCAAUCAUGGAAUCUUCGCAUCAUCGUUGUUAGAGAUCUUUCAUCUUUGACGAGAGGCUUCCCGUACACGUAUUUGUGUCCGUCCACCUCCAAUCAAUCAAAAUGUGCAUCAUCGGGCAUGUAAUCUGCGGGAUUGGUACCGGGAAACAAGAUCCUCGGAUGAUUAGCGACGAUAUCGCUAGACACCUUGAGCGGGGGGAACGAUUGGUUCGCUUGUUCGCCGAGCUGGGCAACUUUUUUCCCAGCUCCUCGUUCUGCUAACCUUUGAUCACUGACAGUACUUCCUGACCGCAGCGCUUCGAUAAAUGACUUUGUAAUAAUGCGCUCAUAGUUGCCUUUCGUCGGAGACUUUGGUGGUUUCUUCAGGGCAGCCAGAGUACGCUUUGCUUUUACCAGAUCUAUCUUCUCCUCCGGAGGUGGAUGUUUUUUUGCUUUCACCCCUUCAAAGAAGUUCUUCACUUCGGCUUCCACGAUCUUCGUGAUUUCCUCCUGGCUCCUCUCGUAUGGUAACUUCUCUGGAGUCUUCAGAGAAGGACCGUAUCUGUAUUGCCUGCCUUUGGCUGUAGUGCUAGACGCCGGAGCAGACGGAGCGGCUGCGGCUGUCUUUCCUUUCUUACGAGGCGAAGCAGAAGGACGACGCGCCGGAGGAGCCGGUGCGGCGGCGGGUCUCUUCCGCCCUUGUUGACGAGGCGGAGAAUGGGGAGGCAGCUGGCUGCUCGGGCGCGCCAGCGCAGGCGAAGAAGGAGGCGAAGUGUCGCCACGCGCUGGAGAAGGAGGCUGAGUGCCCUGAUCACUCGCCGGAGGAGGCGGAGUGCCCUAGCUCGCCGGAGGAGGAGGAGGAGGCGGAGGCGUCCAGUUCGGAAGGUUGAUGAGUUCCUUCCGCCAUAGGCAUGGAGUCUUCAGAGAAGAACCCAGCCGAAUCUCCCCUUCACCCGUAGGAUGGUCAAGCUCAAGGUCCUCAAAUCCGUCUGUUAUUUGAUCCACCAUCACCCUAGCAUAUCCUUCUGGAAUGGGCUGGCCGUGGUAGGUUGAGUCAGGUUCAUUAGGUAAAACAGAGCCAACAGCCGCCUUGACUUUAAAUGUCAUCCAUCGCGUCAUAAGGUGGCAAUGUUGAGACUCUAUGAUAGCAUCCACGGGGUAGCCCGUGAAGACAGGCUCCAACUGCUGAGUUUUCUCGGUGGAAGCCAGGCUUCUUCUCCGCUGAGAUGGCGGGGUAGCUUCAGGGGAAGCUUCGGCAUGUCGUUUGCUGCGAUCUGCUUCUCGUUCCUCUAGCCCUUGUACCCUUUCGUGCAGCACCUGCAGUUGGCUAUGCUCCACUUUCUUCCUCCUCUCCUGGGUUUUGUAACCCCCUGCGUCCGGAAACCCAGCGUUCCAUGGAAGGGAGCCUGGCGUGCCUCCUGUCCAUCCAGGGUGCUCAGGAUUCCCAAGGGCCAUUGUGAGCUCGUCCUUCUCUCUGUCUGGAACGAACGUCCCUUCCUGUGCUGCGGCGAUAUAGUGUCGAAGCUUCGUGACGGGUAUUCACAGUUGCUCUUCCGUCCAAACGCACUUCCCUGAUACAGGGUCCAAGGUUCCGCCAACCCCGAAGAACCAAGUCCGGCAACGUUCUGGCCAUCUCAAUGUCUCUGGUUCGACCCCUUUAGCAAUCAGGUCAUUCUCAGCCUUCUCCCACAAAGGUCGGGCUCUGAGGUAACCACCUGACCCCGUGCGAUGGUGAUGCUUCUUCUUCGUAGCAUUUUUCUUGUUUGUCGCUGACAUCUUCUUACUCUUUUCCGAUGUCUUGUGGGCCACAAAUGCAGGCCAUUGAUCUCUGAUCUUCUCAAACCGGCCGGUGAAUUCUGGUGUCUCUUCUUUGUCGACAAACGUUUUCAGCUCAUUCUUCCACCUCCUGAAUAGUUCUGCCAUCUUCUUAAGAGCACGAGACUUGAUCAAUUGCUCUAUAACUGGCUUCUCCGGAUCCUCCUCUGGCGGUAGGGUGAAAUUUGCCUUAAGCGUUGUCCAAAGAUCUUCUUUCUGCAUAUCGGAGACAUAAGACGUCGGCACCUCAGGGUCUUCCUUCUUUGGCUUUAACCAUUGCUGGAUACUGAUCGGUAUCUUGUCCCUAACAAGAACCCCGCACUGAGCACGAAAUGCAACCCUUGUCCGGAUGGGUUCAAUCGGCUUGCCAUCGGGCGCGAUUGCUGUGAUCUCAAACCUUUCAUCCGAGCGCAAAUUUUUCUUUGGGCCUCGUUUCUUUACCGAAGUUGAGCUCGAUCCGAAGGGCUAGAGAAAUAAGAAGAAAGACGAGAGUUAAUUAAUAUGUGUACAUAUGAAAACAAUGAAUGCAUCAGUUAACUAGUCAGCACGGGCUUAACUAAUAUAUAUAUACCUGGCCGAACUCGGUUCGGUCACCGGAGCCGUCAUCACGGUCUCCUUCUUGUACCUCGAUUGGGUCACCAGAGCCAUCAUGAACAUAGCCCUCUUCUUGUAUCGGCACUAAUGGGUCACCGGAGCCAUCAUUAACAUAGCCCUCUUCUUCACUCGGUCCUUCCUGACCAUCGGUGUCGUAGAGAAACGACACAAUGACAUCAGUUCCUUGUGCGAUUAUCUCCCCCAACAUCGCUUUUGAUGCUUUGUCUCGGGAGGGAUCCAUAGUUUCUGCAAAUAUUUACAACAUGUCAAUUAUUAUUCAAACAUGGUACAGAUGGAUAUAUAUUAUUGGCAAACGUAGAACUAGCUAGCUAAUCACAAUAAGGAAUCAUGUUAGUGGCCUCGACGUUGCUUCUCUAGGGUUUGGGGUGGCCUAGACAACGCUUCAAGGGUUUGGGGUGGCCUCGACACAACGCUUCAAGGGUUUGGGGUGGCCUCGACGACAACGCUCUUUUAACUUGGUAAAUUUGGGUGGCCUCGAGAGAGUUUGUCGGGUAGGGGCGAGGCGGGAGGGGGUAGGAGACCAACAUCGUUUUUUCUCUAGGGUUUGGGUGUCCUCGAGAGUUUUGGUCGAGCGAGAGAGCCGAGGGGGGUGCUCCCGUGGUAUAAGUUAUCACGGUCGAGAGUGGGUAUAUAUAUCGAUCGCCCCUUAUGUCGAAGUUAUCCGGGAGGGGGUUAUAUCGACAACGACGCGACAUACAUAUACAUGGGAAAAUAAUGUUAUCGGGGAAGGGGUAUAUCGGUACCCCCCCCCUCGAGUUGAAGUUCGAUCGGGAGGGGGUAUAUCGACAACGACAUACCAGAUAAAAAAUAAGAAGACAAAAGAAGAAAUAAAAAGAGGAGAAGAAGAAAGGAAUAGAAGAGAAGCAAUCGAAGAAAAAAAGAAGAAAAAAAAGAGAAGAAGAAAGGAAUAGAGGAGUAAGAAGAAAAAAAAAUAGAAAAUUAAUUUUCUAUUUUUUUUCUUCUUACUCCUCUAUUCCUUUCUUCUUCUCCUCUUCUUUUUCUUCUUUUUUCCUCUUCUUAUUUAUUUCUCCUCUUCUUCCUCUCCUCUUCUUCUCCUUUCUUCCUCUUCUUAUUUUCCUUUUUCUCCUCUCAUUCUUUUUCUUCUUCUUCGUUAUCUUCCUAGCUAUAUAUAAUACUUUUCUAAAAAUGUAACUUUUGCAUAUAUAAAUCUUUUUCUUCUUCUUACUUCUUCCUUCUUUUCCUAAAUAUAUAAAACUUUUCUAAAAAUGAAACUAACCUAAAAUGUAGUAAAUUAGAGAACAUAUAUAGAUAAAACUAACCUAAAAUGUACCCAAAUGUGCUAAAAAUCUAACUUUCAUAUGCACAGAAAACAUACAUACAUAUAUACAUUUUUAUAAAAAUGCAAAAACAAAUCAUCAUUUAUAUGAACAAAGGAGAGGACAGGGUGGGCGGCGCCGGCCUGACCAAGGAGAGGCACGGCGCCGGCGUCGGUGUAGAGGGCGGCGACGGCCGCAUGGUCGGGGCAGGGGCGAUGGCGAUCGACGGGGCAAAGGGAGGUGACGGCGUCGACGGGGCGGGUAGGGGCGCGGUAGAGGCACGGCGAGGGCGCGCGGCGUGGUCGGGGGGCAGGGGCGACGACGGCGUGGUCGGGCCGGGCAACGGCGGCGUGGUCGGGGCAGGGGCGACGACGGCGAGCUCGGGCAGCCUGGCGGCGUCGUCGGAGGAAUCGAAGAAACCGACGAAAUUUUCACAAAUGCUGGCUUAUAUAGCAAAGCCAUUGGUACCGGUUCGUGGCACCAACCGGUACCAAUGCCUCCUUUAGUCCUGGUUCGUGCCACAAACCGGGACCAAAGUCCGCCGCUUCCCGCCCGUUGGGCUGGUGAAAAGUGACCUUUGGUCCCGGUUGGUGGCACCAACCGGGACUAAAGGUCACUUUUCAGCAACCCAAAGGGCGGGAAGCGGUGGCCUUUGGUCCCGGUUGGUGCCACGAACCAGUACCAAUGCACCCCCUUUAGUCCCGGUUGGUUCCACAAACCGGGACCAAAUUCUGCCCGCGUCACGGCCAAAGUUUAGUCACACCUCGCUAGUUGAGAGGGGCGCGCAGUGGUUUAUAAGCCCCACUGCCGCACCCCUCUCGAGCUCCUCUCCACUGCAGGCUUACGGGCCUACUUGCUACUUCUUUGCCUGAUGGGCCUUCUGGGCCUACUAUGGGCCUGAAUCCUGGCCCAUGGAUGGGUUUAUAGUCGUAUUCACGCCGUGGUGGCCCAGUUGGUGGCAAAUGUUUUAUUUUUUCCCAGUUUUUUUUGUUUUCUUUUUUUUUAUUUUUUUUUUUUUNNNNNNNNNNNNNNNNNNNNNNNNNNNNNNNNNNNNNNNNNNNNNNNNNNNNNNNNNNNNNNNNNNNNNNNNNNNNNNNNNNNNNNNNNNNNNNNNNNNNNNNNNNNNNNNNNNNNNNNNNNNNNNNNNNNNNNNNNNNNNNNNNNNNNNNNNNNNNNNNNNNNNNNNNNNNNNNNNNNNNNNNNNNNNNNNNNNNNNNNNNNNNNNNNNNNNNNNNNNNNNNNNNNNNNNNNNNNNNNNNNNNNNNNNNNNNNNNNNNNNNNNNNNNNNNNNNNNNNNNNNNNNNNNNNNNNNNNNNNNNNNNNNNNNNNNNNNNNNNNNNNNNNNNNNNNNNNNNNNNNNNNNNNNNNNNNNNNNNNNNNNNNNNNNNNNNNNNNNNNNNNNNNNNNNNNNNNNNNNNNNNNNNNNNNNNNNNNNNNNNNNNNNNNNNNNNNNNNNNNNNNNNNNNNNNNNNNNNNNNNNNNNNNNNNNNNNNNNNNNNNNNNNNNNNNNNNNNNNNNNNNNNNNNNNNNNNNNNNNNNNNNNNNNNNNNNNNNNNNNNNNNNNNNNNNNNNNNNNNNNNNNNNNNNNNNNNNNNNNNNNNNNNNNNNNNNNNNNNNNNNNNNNNNNNNNNNNNNNNNNNNNNNNNNNNNNNNNNNNNNNNNNNNNNNNNNNNNNNNNNNNNNNNNNNNNNNNNNNNNNNNNNNNNNNNNNNNNNNNNNNNNNNNNNNNNNNNNNNNNNNNNNNNNNNNNNNNNNNNNNNNNNNNNNNNNNNNNNNNNNNNNNNNNNNNNNNNNNNNNNNNNNNNNNNNNNNNNNNNNNNNNNNNNNNNNNNNNNNNNNNNNNNNNNNNNNNNNNNNNNNNNNNNNNNNNNNNNNNNNNNNNNNNNNNNNNNNNNNNNNNNNNNNNNNNNNNNNNNNNNNNNNNNNNNNNNNNNNNNNNNNNNNNNNNNNNNNNNNNNNNNNNNNNNNNNNNNNNNNNNNNNNNNNNNNNNNNNNNNNNNNNNNNNNNNNNNNNNNNNNNNNNNNNNNNNNNNNNNNNNNNNNNNNNNNNNNNNNNNNNNNNNNNNNNNNNNNNNNNNNNNNNNNNNNNNNNNNNNNNNNNNNNNNNNNNNNNNNNNNNNNNNNNNNNNNNNNNNNNNNNNNNNNNNNNNNNNNNNNNNNNNNNNNNNNNNNNNNNNNNNNNNNNNNNNNNNNNNNNNNNNNNNNNNNNNNNNNNNNNNNNNNNNNNNNNNNNNNNNNNNNNNNNNNNNNNNNNNNNNNNNNNNNNNNNNNNNNNNNNNNNNNNNNNNNNNNNNNNNNNNNNNNNNNNNNNNNNNNNNNNNNNNNNNNNNNNNNNNNNNNNNNNNNNNNNNNNNNNNNNNNNNNNNNNNNNNNNNNNNNNNNNNNNNNNNNNNNNNNNNNNNNNNNNNNNNNNNNNNNNNNNNNNNNNNNNNNNNNNNNNNNNNNNNNNNNNNNNNNNNNNNNNNNNNNNNNNNNNNNNNNNNNNNNNNNNNNNNNNNNNNNNNNNNNNNNNNNNNNNNNNNNNNNNNNNNNNNNNNNNNNNNNNNNNNNNNNNNNNNNNNNNNNNNNNNNNNNNNNNNNNNNNNNNNNNNNNNNNNNNNNNNNNNNNNNNNNNNNNNNNNNNNNNNNNNNNNNNNNNNNNNNNNNNNNNNNNNNNNNNNNNNNNNNNNNNNNNNNNNNNNNNNNNNNNNNNNNNNNNNNNNNNNNNNNNNNNNNNNNNNNNNNNNNNNNNNNNNNNNNNNAACUAGAUGCACUUCGUAUACAAAACGGACAAUCUCCUUCGAAGUAUAAGGGUUUCAUACGGAAACUCGUGUGUUACAAAGGGAUUUCAAUUUUUUUAACUUAUUUGAACCCCCUUGUUUUUCUGUGUUCAAAAUGUACCAUUCAAAGCCACAUCAUCAAUUUACAACCCUUUCUGACUUCAUUUGUUAUUUUUCAUGCAUUUACUGAUUAUUUUCACCUAUAAGACCAUGAAAUUGAAAAGCAUUUGAAAUGAACUCUCGAAAGGUUCCAAGUUGGCAUGGUAUCAUCAUUUCACCCACAUAGCAUGUGCAAGAAAGUAGAGAGGCUUGCAUCAAAAACUGGAUGCACUUCGUGUACAAAACGGACAAUCUCCUUCGAAGUAUCAGGGUUUAAUACAGAAACUCGUCUGUUACAAAGGGAUUUCAAUUUUUUUUAACUUAUUUGAACCCCCUUGUUUUUCUGUGUUCAAAAUGCAUAAUUAAAAGCCACAUCAUCAAUUUACAACCCUUUCUGACUUCAUUUGUUAUUUUUCAUGCAUUUACUGAUUAUUUCCAGCUAUAAGACCAUGAAAUUGAAAAGCAUUGAAAUGAACUCUGAAAAGGUUCCAAGUUGGCAUGGUAUCAUCAUUUCACCCACAUAGCAUGUGCAAGAAAGUAGAGAGGCUUACGGCAAAAACUAGAUGCACUUCGUAUACAAAACGGACAAUCUCCUUCGAAGUAUAAGGGUUUCAUACGGAAACUCGUGUGUUACAAAGGGAUUUCAAUUUUUUUAACUUAUUUGAACCCCCUUGUUUUUCUGUGUUCAAAAUGUACCAUUCAAAGCCACAUCAUCAAUUUACAACCCUUUCUGACUUCAUUUGUUAUUUUUCAUGCAUUUACUGAUUAUUUUCACCUAUAAGACCAUGAAAUUGAAAAGCAUUUGAAAUGAACUCUCGAAAGGUUCCAAGUUGGCAUGGUAUCAUCAUUUCACCCACAUAGCAUGUGCAAGAAAGUAGAGAGGCUUGCAUCAAAAACUGGAUGCACUUCGUGUACAAAACGGACAAUCUCCUUCGAAGUAUCAGGGUUUAAUACAGAAACUCGUCUGUUACAAAGGGAUUUCAAUUUUUUUUAACUUAUUUGAACCCCCUUGUUUUUCUGUGUUCAAAAUGCAUAAUUAAAAGCCACAUCAUCAAUUUACAACCCUUUCUGACUUCAUUUGUUAUUUUUCAUGCAUUUACUGNNNNNNGUAUCACGGUUUCAUACGGAAACUCGUCUUUUACAAAGGGAUUUCAUUUUUUUGAACUUAUUUUAACCCCCUUGAUUUUCUGUGUUCAAAAUGCACCAUUCAAAGCCACAUCAUCAAUUUACAACUCUUUCUGACUUCAUUUGUUAUUUUUAUGCAUUUAUUGAUUAUUUUCAGCUAUAAGACCAUGAAUUUGUAAAGCAUUUGAAAUGAACUCUGAAAAGGUUCCAAGUUGGCAUGGUAUCAUCAUUUCACCCANUAGAUGCACUUCGUGUACAAAACGGACAAUCUCCUUCGAAGUAUCACAGUUUCAUACGGAAACUCGUCUGUUACAAAGGGAUUCCAAUUUUUUUGAACUUAUUUGAACCCCCUUGUUUUUUUGUGUUCAAAAUGCACCAUUCAAAGCCACAUCAUCAAUUUACAACCCUUUCUGACUUCAUUUGUUAUUUUUCAUGCAUUUACUGAUUAUUUUCAGCUAUAAGACCAUGAAAUUGUAANNNNNNNNNNNNNNNNNNNNNNNNNNNNNNNNNNNNNNNNNNNNNNNNNNNNNNNNNNNNNNNNNNNNNNNNNNNNNNNNNNNNNNNNNNNNNNNNNNNNNNNNNNNNNNNNNNNNNNNNNNNNNNNNNNNNNNNNNNNNNNNNNNNNNNNNNNNNNNNNNNNNNNNNNNNNNNNNNNNNNNNNNNNNNNNNNNNNNNNNNNNNNNNNNNUCAUUUCACCCACAUAGCAUGUGCAAGAAAGUAGAGAGGCUUACGGCAAAAACUGGAUGCAUGUCGUGUACAAAACGGACAAUCUCCUUCGAAGUAUCACGGUUUCAUACGGAAACUCAUCUGUUACAAAGUGAUUUCAAUUUUUUGAACUUAUUUGAACCCCCUUGUUUUUCUGUGUUCAAAAUGCACCAUUCAAAGCCACAUCAUCAAUUUACAACCCUUUUUGACUUCAUUUGUUAUUUUUCAUGCAUUUACUGAUUAUUUUCAGCUAUAAGACCAUGAAAUUGUAAAGCAUUUGAAAUAAACUGUGAAAAGGUUCCAAGUUGGCAUCGUAUUAUCAUUUCACCCACAUAGCAUGUGCAAGAAAGUAGAGAGGCUUACGACAAAAAAUAGAUGCACUUCGUGUACAAAAUGGACAAUCUCCUUCGAAGUAUCAGUGUUUCAUACGGAAACUCGUCUGUUACAAAGGGAUUUCAAUUUUUUUGAACUUAUUUGAACCCCCUUGUUUUUCUGUGUUCAAAAUGCACCAUUCAUAGUUGUAAGACCAUGAAGUUGAAAAGCAUUUGAAAUGAACUCUGAAACCAAAGUACAUACAUAGUUCUCGAGAGCAUUAAAACCAAAGUACAUACAUAGUUCUCAUUGAACAACAUAUAGCUCUCUAGAGCAUCUAAUUAAACCAUACAUUGAGAUUAUGUAAAAAAUUUCAAUGCAAAAACAAAUGCGAUCAUAACCGCUACCAAGGUAACAACUGAUCCAACUGCAUAAUGAUACCAAGCCUCGGUAGGAAUGGCAUAUUUUCUAAUCUUUUUAAUCUUCAACCGCAUUGCAUCCAUCUUGAUCUUGUGAUCAUCGACGACAUCCGCAACAUGCAAGUCCAAUAUCAUCUUCUCCUCCUCAAUUUUUCUUACUUUUUCCUACAAGUAAUUGUUUUCUUCUUCAACUAAAUUUAACCUCUCGACAGUAGGGUCGGUUGGAAUUUCCGGUUCAACAACCUCCUAGAUAAAUAAAAUCUAUGUCACAUUGGUCGGCAUAAUUGUCAUAAACAAUAAAUGAACCAAAUAGUUAUGAAAAGAUAAUAUAUACCACAUGUGAAUCAUAGACAGGACGAGGGCCGACGGGGGCGGAUACCAAAACCAUCGCACUAUAUAAUAACAAGGAAUAAUAAAAGUAAGAAAAUUAGACAAGUAUCUAUCUGAAGUCAGAAUUUUUUUCUUUCAGAAAGAAGAUAAGAACAAGAGGCUCACCAUGGUGGUGCUGGCGACGAGAUCGGCGCGGGCAAUCGACGGCGAUGAAGACGGGGCGUGACGGACCGCUAAAUCUAGACAAAUCUCGUUGAAAAUGGAGCUCGGAGGUCGAGUUUCGAGAGGAGAAAGCUUAACUAGUGUGGCUCGGGCAUUUCAUCGAACACCUCAUGUGCAUAGGAGGUGAACUAGAGCACCCAAAUGCCCUCCCCUCGCCGGCUUGACAAAAACAGAGCACUGUGGAGUGCUCUGCCGUGGCGGUGGGUAUAUGUAGGCAAGUUAUUUGUCCCGGUUCAAGCCACGAACCGGGACCAAUGGUUGUGGGCCAGCAGCGAGGACCAUUGGCCCCGGUUCGUGGCUCGAACCGGGACAAAUGGUUACACAUGAACCGGGACCAAUGCCCACGAGGCCCCCGCCGGCCCCCUGGGCUCACGAACCGGGUCUAAUACCCCCCAUUGGUCCCAGUUCUUGAAGAACCGGGACUAAUGGGCUGGCCAGGGCUGAAACGAUAGCCCUGUUUUCUACUAGUGGAAGAACCUAAUGAUAUUUCUGCGUCUGAUGCAGAAACACAAUCUGGUGAUGAACAUGAACCUGGUGACAAUAUGGAUAGUGAUGUUCAUAAUAAUGCUCAACCUAGCAAUGAUGAGGAUGUGGAGAUUGAACCGGCGGUUAAUCCUGAUAACCCACAACCUAAGAAGUACCAUAAGAAUGACUUCACUGCUAGGAAGCAUGGUAAUGAAAGGGAGCCAUGGGUUCAGAGACCUAUGCCCUUUCCUGCUAAGCCAUCCAAGAAAAAGGAUGAUGAGGAUUUUGAGCGCUUCGUUGAGAUGAUAAGACCCGUCUUUCUGCAGAUGCGGUUAACUGAUAUGCUCAAGAUGUCUCCGUAUGCCAAGUACAUGAAAGAUAUUGUGACUAAUAAACGGAAGAUACCAGAUCUUGAGAUCUCCACCAUGCUUGCCAAUUACACUUUCAAAGGUGGAACUCCUAAGAAACUUGGUGAUCUCAGAGUGCCCACUAUACCUUGCUCCAUUAAAGGGAACUACGUAAGAACUGCCUUAUGUGACCUUGUAGCCGGUGUUAGUGUUAUGCCGCUCUCUCUUUAUCGUAGACUUGAAUUGGAUAAGUUGACACCCACUGAAAUUUCUCUGCAAAUGGCUGACAAAUCAACUACUUUCCCUAUCGGCAUUUGCGAGGAUGUGCCUGUUGUGGUUGCUAACACCACUAUCUUAACAGACUUUGUUAUCUUGGAUAUUCCCAAGGACGAUGCCAUGGUUGUCAUCCUCGGAAGACCCUUUUUAAACACCGCAGGGGCUGUUAUAGAUUGAAACAAAGGCAAUGUCACUUUCCAUGUCAACGGUAACGAGCACACAGUGCACUUUCCGAAGAAACGAUAUCCAGUACAUUGCAUCAAUGCUAUCGAAAAGACUUCAUCGAUUCUCAUUGGGAGCUUUGAAUGCCCUAUUCCUCGUGUCAAGAUGAAGUAUGAUUUGCUUGUUGGGGAGUUACAUAUCCCCAUUGAGGUGACUUAGUGGCUAUCAGAAAAUUCUCCGUUCUCUCUUGCGAUUCGAGAAGGUUUUGUCAUAAGGACUUGAUCAAUCCCAUUGACGGAUUUCUUUCGAUGACCAUGAAACGGAUGAAUCAAAGAGUCACAUACCUCUGUUUUGAGCUUUCAUUUUAUUUUGCUUAGAAUAAAAAUGAUAGAAUUAGUUUAGUUUUUCCUGUUUUCUGUUUUAGCGUCCGGGAGAAAAAUACCUCGAAAAUAAAAGUUCUUCGAUGGUCCUGAAAAUUUGUAUGAUUUUUUCUGGAAUUUUUGAAAAAUUAUGGGCCUGAGAGCUUGCCUUGGGGCCUGACCAGUGGGCCACAAGCCCUCCCACUGCCACCUACCCCCCUGGUGGUGGGGUGCAAGCUUGUGGGGCCCACAGGCACCCCCUCCACUCAUUCCAGCUCUCAGCCUCUUCUUCCACCUCCAGAAAAAAUUGUUUCGCAGCUCAAACCCAUCUUCUUGAUCAUUUGGCUGUGAUUUUCGAUCUCCUUGCUCAAGCACCAUUCUCCGAACCGUUUGGGAAAAUUACUCCUUGGUAAGUGACUCCUCAUUGGUCCAAUUAGUUUUUGCUCUAGUGCUUUAUCCUUCGCGUAUUCUUGCUACCUUGGUGACCAUGUUCUUGAGCUUGAAAAGUUGAUUUUAGCUGGUCCCAAGUAGUUUUAGCGCGUGAUACGGUCUCUAGGCACUAGUAGGAGUAGUUGCUACAAGUUGGGUUAAUCUUUAUUCGCUUUUCUUUCGAACUCUCUAAAAAUUUCAGAAAUAAAGGAAAAGACGAGGAGGUUCUUGAGAGGCUCUUCAAGCUGUAACCCCAAGGAGGAUGAGAAGAACCACCCCAAGUACGUAGUCCCUCGAGUCACAGAAGUUCGAGCGUGCGAGUGGCCAAGUGAUGAAUUUUUGCGCGCCGCCGGAUUUUAUGAAGACUUUUAUUACUUGGUGGAGAACGCAGGUCUUACUGCGUUCGUUGAAGAUAAGUUCCCACAAUACCUCCUCCUCACCAAUAUUUUCGUUCAAAGCUUCAACUUUUAUCCGAGGAAGAAUCCUCCCAUGGUUGAGUUCAUGAUAUACGAUGUUCCCCAGUGCAUGACACUACAGGAUUUUUGCAAUGUAUGCAAAUUACCUUAUGUUGGGGAUAUCCGUGAUCCUCGUCCACGGGACUUGGAGGAUUUCAUUAGUUCUAUUGCUGUUGGAGAGGAGAGAGGAGUGUCUUGUGCUAGAAUUGCUAGCAUACAUUUUCCUGUGCUCCGGUACUUCUCACUAUUUGUAGGAAAAUGUUUGAUUGGCUGUGGGGAGGCUGGAUCACUUAGUUCUCCAGACCAUGCAGUUUUGCGCGAAGGCCUUUAUAACGAUAAGACUUACAACCUAGGUGUUAUAGUGGCUCAGCGGUUGAACAUCAACCGUUCCAAGGGUGUCGUCUAUGGAGGUAUCUAUGCUACCCGUCUUGCCAGACACUUUGAGAUACCCAUUAGACUGGGAGAGGAAGGAGAGAUGCUUCUCCCUGAGAAAUAUCUGGAUUAUGACAGCAUGGUUUGCCAUGAUUUUCUGGAUAGAGAUGCUAGUAGACGGAUGAUUUAUAACCUGGUAUUUAGUCAGGGUACUCGAGAGACUAUUACUUUGCCUGCUCCUUCUUUGUUUGAUCUUCAUGCAGGAAGGUACACUAUUAUGCCCGUGGACAUCUACGCAUAUUGGGGCUUGGCCCAACCAUAGGCGCCCGUGCCCGAGCCGCCAGUCGAGUACCAGACGCCGGUUUAUCAGUGGGAGCCAGAGGAGCUCACACAGCAGUGGCAUCAACAGUCUGCUCCGGAGUAUCCUGGAGCUGGUUAUUUCCCACCUUGGGAGUAGACCAAGCUAGGCCAAAAGCCUAAGCUUGGGGGAGUGCGUGUUCUCACCGACUUUACGUUCAUGCUUAUGCUUUCACUCUGAUAGCCGGUGUUUACACUUUGCCACUUUAUUAUCUAUGCUAGUUUAUUUUCGUUUUCUUGUUUUCUUGUUUUGUGUCCUUUUGAGAAAACCCAAAAAGAUUUUUCUUUCUUCUUUUGCUUGUUGGGAGCUUUCCCGUGUAAAUAGUUUUCUUUUUAUUUGUGUCAAGGUAGAAGAUGUUGGUUAUAAUGUUUAUUGGUUCUUGCAUGCUUACCUGUUCAGCUUUCAAAGAGCCAUAUUACUUUGUCUUCUCCUUUGUGUUUGUCUGCAGAUUCGGCUUAGUCCAAUGUUCUUAUUAUCGUUCACAUCGUUCGAUCGUGCAAAUGAAAGGAAAUAAUGAUGAUAUAUGAUGAAGUGACUGAGACUGAAAAGCUGGUAUGAACUCUAGAUAUUUUGUUUUUGUAAAUAUGACUAGCUUGUCGACCCACAUUUAGCUUUGUUGUGAGAGAACCAUGUUUGCAAUGACAACUUAGAGAUCACAGUUUCUGAUGCCAUGCUUAUUUAGCUGAGAGUUUAUAAUGGUUUGUCUUGAAUGCCAACAUAGAUUUUGAGAUGACUAUGAUGUAGUAUGAUAGGAUGGUAUUCUCCUUUGAAUGUUUCAAUUGGCUUGACUUGGCGCAUGUUCAUGCAUGUAGUUGAAACAAAAUCAACAUAGCCUCUAUGAUGUUCGUAUUCAUGGUGAUUUAUAUCAUGUUCAUGCUUGCAUUCAAUGUUAGUCAAACUCAUUGCAUCUUGAUGACUGUUGUCGCUCUCUAGUUGGUCGCUUCCCAGUCUUUUGCUAGCCUUCACUUGUACUAAGCGGAAUACUGCUUGUGCAUCCACUUCCAUAAACCCAAAAGUUUUUCCAUGAGAGUCCACCAUACCUACCUAUUUGCGGUAUCUACCUGCCGUUCCAAGUAAAUUUGCAUGUGCCAUUCUCUAAACCUUCAAGAAAUAAUCUGUUUUGCAUGCCCGAACCGCUCAUGUGGUGACAGGGGGCUAUUGGUAUCUUCCAUGCUAGGAGUGUUAUCCUCGACAUGUGUUUAUUCACUGUCAUUCACGAGAAAGGGGCCGGUAAUUGGAAUGCCCAGUUCCACGCUUAAAUCGAAAACAUAACUGUAAAACAAGACUCCCCCCGGAUUGAUGUUAGUAUGGACGGUACCCGAGGAUUCGGCUAGCCGUGGAGUGUGAUUGAUUGGUGGUGGGGGAGUUAAAACUUCACUUUUCUGUUUGGGAACUGCCUAUAGCAUGAGUAGCAUGGAAGAUAUUGAGAACUCUUGGUCAUUGCGUUGACAAUGAAAGCAUGCCACCCAAAAUUAUUAUCUCUGUUUUCAAAGCUUGAGCUCUGGCACCUCCGCAAAUCAAUGCUUCCCUCUGCGAAGGGUCUGUCUAUUUAUUUUCCUGUUGAGUCAUCCUCCUCUUAUAUAAGCACCAAUUAGAGAGCACCUCUGUCAUUUUUAUGCUUUGCUUUUGAUUGAUAUUGAGUAUGACUAUGACUGGAUCUUCGUUGCUAUGAAUUACAAUGUUUAGUCAGCCUUUUGAUCUUUGAAAGUGCUCUGCAUUUAUGUUUUGCAGUCUCAGAAAGAGCUAGCGAGAUACCACCUAUUCAUAUUGCUUCAUGCUUGUUUUGAUUGAAGUGUUGGUAUUUGAAACUCAUUAUUAUUUGCUCGUUAGGUGAUUAUGCCAUUGAUAUUAGUUACUGUGAGACCUUUGUGUCAUUUGCUUAUGUGGUUAACUUGUGAUCUUGCUGAAAUUCUGGUUAUGAGUUAGACAUAGUUGCAACAACAAGAUCAAACAGAGUUUGUCAAAGUUUUUCUUUCUCUCUCAGUUUGUCAACUGAGUUGCUUGAGGACAAGCAAGGUUUUAAGCUUGGGGGAGUUGAUACGUCUCCAUCGUAUCUACUUUUCCACACUCUUUUGCCCUUGUUUUGGACUCUAAUUUCUAUGAUUUGAAUGGAACUAACCUGGACUGACGCUUUUUUCAGCAGAAUUGCCUUGGUGUUAUUUUUGUGCAGAAAUCAAAGUUCUCCAAACGUCCUGAAAAUUUACGGGGAGCAGUUUUGGAAAAUAUAAGAAAUAUCUGCGCCAAGUUCCACCUGAGGGAGUGGGCCAGUGGGCCACAAGCCCUGGCUCCGCCACCACCCCCCUGGUGGCGGUGGACAGGCUUGUGGGGCCCACACGGCUCUGCCGCCCCCAAUCUCAGGUCUAUAAGUCUCCUUUCGUCCCAGAAAAAAUAAAAAGAGAAGUUUUCGUCGCGUUUACGAUACGGAGGCGCCGCCACCACGUGUUCUUCAUCUGGAGGGCAGAUCUGGAGUCCAUCUUGGGCUCCGGAGAGGGGAAAUCCUCGCCAUCGUCAUCAUCAACCUUCUUCCCUCUCCAAUUCCAUGAAGCUCUUCAUCGUUCGUGAGUAAUAUAUUCGUAGGCUCGCUGGCCGGUGAUGAGUAGGAUGAGAUCUAUCAUGUAAUCGAGUUAGUUUUGAUGGGGAUUGAUCCUUAGUAUCCACUAUGUUCUGAGAUUGACGUUGGUACUACUUUGUCAUGCUUAAUGCUUGUCACUAGGGCCCGAGUGCCAUGAUUUCAGAUCUGAAAUUAUUAUGUUGUCACCAAUAUAUGGGUGUUUUAGAUCCGAUCUUGCAAGUUGUAGUUAUCUACUAUGUGUUAUGAUCCGGCAACCCCGAAGUGACAAUAACCGGAACCACUCACGGUGAUGACCAUAGUUUGAGGAGUUCAUGUGUUCACCAAGUGCUAAUGCGUUGGUCCGGUUCUUUAUUAAAAGGAGAACCUUAAUAUCCCGUAGUUUUCUUUUGGACCCCGUUGCCACGGGAGGAAUGGACAAUAGAUGUCAUGCAAGUUCUUUUCCCUAAGCACGUAUGACGACACACGGAAUGCAUGCCUACAUCACAUUCACGAACGGGAGCUAGCCACAUAUCUCUCCGUGUUAUAGCUGUUGCAUGAUGAAUAUCAUCCAAACAAAUCACCGACCCAUUGCCUACGAGUUUGUCCUACUGCUGUUGUUACUACUGUUGCUACUGCUGUUACUUGUCUUGCUCUGUUGUUGUUACUACUGUUGCUACUGCUGUUACUUGUCUUGCUCUGCUGCUGCUACUACUGUUGCUACUUGCUACUGCUGUCACUACUGUUGUUCCUUGUUGCUGCUAUUGCUAGUUACACUGUUGCUACCUGCUACAAUUUUGGUUCGUUGAACGUUGACGGGAACUGACAACUUCCGUCAACACGGCAACUUGGCGCCAUUGAUACAAUCGUUAGGAAUAGUCUGUCGUCAACAGAUCGUCUGUGACAUCGUUGUUAUCAUACUACUUUGCUACUGAUACUUUGCUUGCAAAUACUAAUCUUUCAGGUGUGGUUGAAUUUGACAUAUUCAGCUGCUAAUACUUGAGAGUAUACUCUCACCUCCCAUCGUGCAAAUCAACAAAUUUGGGUCGAAUACUUUACCCUCGAAAACUGCUACGAUCCCACGCGUUGGUGGGCCGUCAACAACAUUCUUCUAGUUUCGGUUGCCGGGGAUUGCAAUCAGCAUUCUUCUGGUGCCAUUGCAGGGGAAGGUCUGUUGUCAUCAGCACUCGUCUAGCUAUUGCCAGAGAGUGCCAGUCAAAACCCUAGAAGCUAGAUGGGCCAAGAUGCAGGCCUGCAGAAGGCCUAGUAGGACCACACGGCAGAGAGUGUGUGUUUAGGCCCGUAGGCCUGCGUUUGAGAGGAGCUCGAGAGAGUUGGCGCAGCGGGGCUUAUAAACAACUCUCAGCUCCUCUCAACUAGCGAGGUGGGACUAAACAUUUAGCCGCAGCAUCACCCCCCUUUAGUCCCGGCUUGGAGCUCUAACCGGGACUAAAGGCCCCCCUUUAGUCCCGGUUGGAGCCCCAAACCGGGACAAAAGGUCCACCUAUAUAAGCUGGUCGAUGGAAUUUUUCCAAUCCAAAUCGCCAGUUCCUUCUUCCUCCUCUUGCCUGACUGCACCGACGACCACCUCGACACUGCCAGGCUGCCCGACUACGCCGUCGUCGACGCCCUGCCGUCCCCGAGCCCGAUGACCAUCGCCAGCGUCGGACCUCCUCGCGCGCCCUCCUCCCUGUCGUCGAGCCCGCUCCUCGUUGUCACCGGCCUCCACAGCUCUCCAUCCCCGGGCACCAGUGAGCUCCUCUUGUCGCCACCGUCGCGCCCACACCGUCGUCGACCUCGUGCCCCCGCCAUUGUUGCGCGACCCGCGCCAUCGUCGCCGUGCCCUCCCCCGAGCCUCCUCAUCGUCGCCGCACCCUCCCCCUCCGGUGAGAAGUAUGGCAUUUUUAUAUGUGCUCUGUUUUUUUAAAUGAGAUGUAUGAGAUGUUUUGUGAAGAUGAGAUGAGAUGAGAUGUUUUGUUUAAAUGUGAGAGAGAUGAGAGAAUUUCUUUUAGGUUUUUUUAGAUAGAGAAACAAAUGUUAAAAUUUGCAUGUACUCUGGCUUUUUUGUUGCAUAAUGAGAUUAGAUGAGAUGAGUCCCCGACGAUCGUCAGAGGAGUCCUCGACGAUCGCCGGUGAGGAGUCCCUGGCGAUCGUCGGAGGAGUCCCCGACGAUCGCCGGUGAGGAGUCCCUCACGAUCGUCAAAGGAGUCCCCGAUGGUCGUUAGAGGAGUCUUAGACGAUCGUCGGUGAAGAUUCCCCGACGAUCGCCUGUGUGGAGUCCCCAACGGUUGUCAGAGGAGUCCCCGAUGAUCGUCGGUGAAGAGUUCUCGACAAUCGUCGAUGAGGAGUCCCCGCCGAUCGUCGGAGGAGUCCACGACGAUCGCCGAUGAGGAGACCCCGACGGUUUGUGGCACGAACCGGCCGGGACUAAAGGUCCUAAAAAGAACUGGAACUGAUAUCCGCCGAGGCCCGACCGGCGUCCUGACCGUUCGAACCGGGACUGAUGCACGGUUCAUAAGUCGAUCUAGGCUAAUGUUCUUAUCAAGCCAUGAUCAAAGCCUGUUUUCUACAAGUGUGAGGUAGUCGCUGUUUUAGGGUUUGGCAUAGGGCCUUUGAUUUUGACGCCCCGUCCCUGAUUCGUGGCAUGUUCUUUCUAGAUCUCUCUAUUUUUUAACGUACAGAGAAAUAAAAAAGUACAAAGAGAAAACGGCACGACAAAAAAAAGAAGCAGAAUUAGGCUAGGUGUAGAAGUGGGAGAUUCCAUCCAAAUAUCUCCUUUGAAACAGUAGAGCCUAGAGGGUGUUUGUUUCCAGGGACUUAUUGGUUUAGGGACUUAAAAAAGUCCCUAUAAGUCCCACCUAAACCAAACACAAGGGACUUAUUGGGACUUGUUCUCGUGAUUAGGGACUUAUCAAAUAAGACUCUCAGGCAGGAGCUUAUUGGGACUUAUCCCGGGCCGGACCUACCCCGCGUCGCUCCAGGCUCGUUCCCCGCACGCCGCCCCGCCUCUCGGUCCAAUCGCCGCCGCCGCCCCGCCUCUCGCCCCGUCGCCGCCCCAUCGCCGCCCCGCCCCUCGCUCCGGUCGCCGCCCCGUCGCCGCCCCGCCUCUCGCUCCGGUCGCCGCCCCGCCUCUCGCUCCGGUUGCCGCACCGUCGCCGCCCCGCCUCGGUUCGUUCUGCCUCGGUUCGCCGCCCCGCCUCGGUUUGUUCUGCCUCGGUUCGUUGCAACGGUGCCUCCAAUCGCCGGACAAGCCCUUUCCUGAGCCUCGUUGCAGCGGUGCUUAUCCUGUGUGUCGUACGCGUUGGCUGAUGACGAUCCAUGUGAACAAGUGUAUUAUUAGGUGCAACAUGGACUUAUAAGUCCCUAUAAACAAACAGUGGGGACUCGGGACUUAUAAGUCCAUGUAAACAAACAGGGCCUUAGGCCCUGUUUGUUUCAUAAGUCCUAGGACUUUUUUAAGUCCCAACUUAUAAGUCAUAAGGCCCUACCUGUUUGUUUACAUGGACUUAUAAGUCCCGAGUCCCUACCUGUUUGUUUACAGGGGCUUAUAAGUCCAUGUUGCACCUAAUAAAAUACACUUGUUCACAUAACCCUUGUUCAUACAAAUGAAUUGCAGAAUAGUGACAACCGAAAUAAUAAUUGUUCAUAACACUUGUUCAUACAAACGAAUUAACACUUGUUCAUAAGAACCAAAAUAAGACAGAGUACAUAACAACCGAGAUAACAGAAAUUACAGAAGCGAAGAACACUUCUUCAUAUCAUUGUUGUUUCAAGGACCACAACCCAUCAGCGACCCAAGCUCUGAAUUGAUUCAUAGCAGCACUGUCCAUCUCAUUUGUUGAAUCAUUUGUUGUAGUCGUUGGCAUAGACAAUGGUACAUAAUUUUCAUCUUGAUCACACAAGUCGAAAUCUAUAUCGGCGAGUUGGCUUUGUCUAAUAAAAUUGUGCAGUGCAAUGCAAGCCACAAUUAUUUUGCUUUGUUUCUGUUGUGGAUAACUAGGCAAGUGAAACAAAAUCCUCCACUUGUUCUUCAGCACUCCAAAACACCUCUCGAUGACAUUUCUAAGUGAAGAAUGGGUGAAAUUGAAGUGUUCCUUUUUUCCUCUAGGCAUUGUGCCAUCACGGUACUCCUGGAAAUGAUAAGUUAAACCCUUGUAUGGUGAAAGAUAACCCGGUCUAUUUGGGUACCCUGAGUCGACAAGAUAGAACUUAUUAGGUGGAGGUUUUGGAAACUUGUCACCAAAUCUGGAUCGGGCAUCAUUGAAGACCCUCAUGUCAUGCACUGAUCCUGGCCAACCAGCUAGGACAAAUGUAAAUCUCAUAUCAAAGUCACACACACACAUCACAUUCUGACUCUUCUCCUUAUGUCUAUUCCUAUGCUGGGCAGCAGUGGCAACUGGUACCACAACUUGUAUGUGUGUACCAUCUAUUGCACCAAUGCAAUUAUCCAUAAACGGUGCAUACUUUCUAGAUCUUAAUUUUAAAUGCACAGUCCUAAAUUGACGAUCUAUUGGCCUGAUGAUGUCUUUUGCAAGCUUGAUCAGACAUGCCAAAACCUUAUCAAACUUCCUUACAAUUGUCUCCAAUGACCUAACAAAUCUGUUUUUUGCUUGUCUUACAGAUUGAGGGGAACCUACUAUCCAUAGAAACAGGCCUAGAGACUCAACUGAUGACAUUCUUUUAGUGGACUUCAAACCAUAGGAAUCAACAAGCACACUAUGCAAUUUCUCAAACACUGGUCUGUGCAUUCUAAACAUGUUGUAACAGGCCGUUUCGUUGUGUAGUGUUGUCAAAACCCAAUGCCCAGACUCUAUUGGUACUCUUCUAGGUCCUUUGUUACAGUAUGAGUCCAAGUGGUACAUACCAAUCAUGCAGGCCAUCUGCAUCAUUCUUCUCUUUCUUUUUUGGUGCAUGAACAACAUCAGUGCUUCGUCAUCACUGCUGCUCCCAUCAUCACUGCUUAUUCCAUCAACAUUGUUGUCAUCAUCCUGAAACAUGCAAACAUUAGUACAACUUAUUCAUCAUGCACCACCUCUGGAACUUGAAAACAUUAGUACGUGCAAAUUAAACACUUGAACAUGGAAUGGUCAUUUAACAAGGUCACACAACACAGGUCCAUUACAUAGUUCUAUUAAAAAGGACAAUCAAGAUAACUAGUACACUAGUACAACUUCUUCAUCAUGCACCACCUCUUCAACCAAGUCAGCCUAGCCUCAUUAGUUGAAAUGUUCUCAAAUAUGACUCUGUUUGCCUCAUCUGCAAAAAGUUGAGUCGCCAUGAAGUACUCAACACUUGUUUCUUCUGCACCACAUUUAACUGCCAACAAUUGACAAUGAGUAAUGGAUUCCUUAGUGUUGUUUGAUUUCUUCUCUCUUGCCUUGUCCUUUGCUUCCUGCCUUUUGUUUGCAUAUUCAGUGAUCAUGUCAGAAGUGUUAUCACUGUUAAUAGUAUUGAUGAGCCCUGUCAUUAGUUUCACCAUUGGGCUCUUGUGUUUCUUUCCUGGGCUUGAAGCUGACUGUUCACCGCCGCUGCUCCCCUUCUUCUUGCUCGUGGUGCUCAUUGGACUCUCCUCAUGUCCAUCAUCGGCAACAUCAUAUUCCUCUUCAUCAUCUUCAUCUAAGGGCACAUAAGCUGAUGAUCCAUCAACUGCCACACCUUGAAAUAGCUCUAUUAGCAUAUCCAAAUACUCAGGAUUGCCACCCUUGAAUUUUCUGACAUCUGGUCUCUCCUGCAUCAUUAGUUAGAUAAUUAGUACAAGGCUGAAUAAUGUAAACAAGUGUGAGCAAUUCAGAUGUAAUUUGAAAAAUAAUGUAUGUACCUUAAUUAUUUUUUUCCACCACUCAUUUGAUGCGGUUAUAGCUCCAUCUCCAGUUCGGCCACAACCAGUUUGCUGCCCCAACCACAUCCAAGCAGUAUAGUAGCUCUUCAGUCUAGCAAUGCAAUUUUUGAAUUGCUUGGUACUAUGCAGGAGGCCCACACGCUGAUAAAUUUUUUUUCUUCAUGUUAUUGUAUGCUCUACUUGUCCAAACAUCAUUCACACAGUGCCCAUCCCUAGCUUCCUCACAGGCGAUGUUACAAAAUAAAGUAAUAUGCGCGUCUGUCCAAUCGGCCUUUGCAAUGGUUUUCUAAACAAAAAUAACAAGUACACAAUUCAAACAUAAAUAACAAGUAGACAUUUCAAACCAAAAAUAACAAGUUCACACAAUUAGCUAGCACAAAAAAAAGAUGAAUUUUAACGCUGAUACAAAAAAAGACCUAUAUACACAAUUUAAAAAGUUACCUCUCCAAAACCAUUGUUGUCAUCUUCAUCUUCAAAGCCUUCAUUCUCGUCGACAUCUUCUGAAGACGCAGCAGUUGACGACACACGUUGCUUCCCCGCAGUUUUUCCUCUAGUGCCGACAGAUGAGGACGCAUUGGCUCGACCUACACCGCGCCCGGUGACCUGCGACACGGUCCUCCCACGGCCUAUGACGCCCCCCUCAACGGCAGCUACGGCCGGGGCGACGAACGGACGCAGGUGAGAGCCGGCUCGACCUCCGAUGUUCAGAGACCGGCUGCGACCUCCUCCGCCCUGGGGCAUGGGCCUACCACGACCAGGUCCGAUCGGAGGAAGGCCAUGACUAGCCGACUGGUCGAAGAGGAGUUGCUGGUACGAGCCCAAUUUCGGGAAAUCGUCGACGUUGCUGUUGAGAUCCAAGGAACGCCCGAAACCCAUUCCCCUCCCGAGAUUUCCACCGGCGGAUGAGAACUGAGAGAAAAAAGGCAUCUGCUCGUCCUCCUCAUCAGCCAUGGUACGGUCACCUCGGACGCGGGGAUCCUCAUCAGCCAUGGCGCGGUAACCUGCAGUCAAUAUGAAUCAUCAUCAGCCUAAUUGUCAACAGCAAACUAGAAAUAUUAUCAUGUGCAAGAAUUGAUUAUUAACUUGCAAUGGAUGUAUGAGUGAGUGCACCGAUCACAGUUUGCUACAUGUGUUAGCAAAAAUUCAACAGCCCUAAUGCAGUACUCGAUCAAGCUGAGACGUAGGUAGCAUACCAGGAUAUAUAUGGGACAAUGAAUAAUUAGAUGUGCCAAUCAAUAUAACCAGCCAGCAGAAAAUAUGAACCUGCAGAUGAACUAGCGAACCUGCAGAUGAACUAGGGAGACGAGGCGGCGGCCGGGCGGCGUCGGGGCGAGCGGGCGGCGGCCCUCGACUCAGUUGGUCACAUACAAUGGCAAUAACACACUAUCAAAAUUAACUGGUCAAUUCUUCGUUUUUAUAUAAAAAGGCAGAACUCCUGCUGGUUCCUCAAAAACAAAAUUAACGUACUACCAAAAUAUGCUGGGUCUUUUCUGUGAUUCGAUCACGGCUGGCGAUCGGUUUGGAGAACCUUUCAACGUCACGGAAACCGGAGAAGGGAACAUGCAUGCAUGCAUGCACGCACGGCACGUGACGAAAUAUACAAAGGCUGGCGCAUACAAGGAGUAGUGGCUGGGGCGCAUGCGCCGAAUUCGUUUGCAUAUAAAAACAGCACGUGGAAAAUAGUUUACGAUCGAGCGCGCGCGCGUGCGUUGAAGAAAACGACGGGGCGGUCAAACCGCGCCGACAUGCGGGCCCCGGUCGCGUGCCGCCGGAAGCUGCCGUGAGUGAUGGCGAUGAUGGUGAGUGCUCCAGAUGAUUGGUGGCGCCACCAUCCAUGCAUGCAUGCAUGCAAGCAAGGCCCUGUCGGUCAGCGGUAGCUUCCACUUGAACCUUGAAUGCUCCGAUUGCGGCUGCGGCGCGGAAGAGUAGUAGGAGUAGCUUUCUUUUUCUUACCUCUGUCCAAGAUAAAUGUAUCUAGUACAAAGUUAUAUUAAACUUGGAACAGUUACUUUGGAACGAAAUAAGUAUGAAAAUGAUUAUCUUCUAUCGACCGAUUACGCGCGGCCGUUUGUCUUUUAGGACAGACAUUUCUCAUACUGGAUAUAAGUAGAGGUGUUUCGGGACACGCUUAAUUGUGAGGGCAAGCGAUUAGAUUUGGAUUUUUUCAUGCAACAUCUUUAUUGUUGUAAGAAAAAAUAUAUAACAUUAGUUAUAUUGCAGAACACUUUUCGAAACAACAAUAUGAAGUUAAAAGAAAAUCUGCAAUGUUAGCUUUGUUGCACAAAAAUCCAUGCAACAACAUCGUUGCAAAAGUUUCGCAACAUGAUCCCUGUUGCAAUCAUCCGAAUGCAACAAUAUACUUGUUGCAAACGUUGUCAGCUUAAUCUGUUGGUCAUUCCGUAUUAAAUCUUUGUAGCAAAAAAAAUCAAUGUCCGUCUGCAGCUCUAUCAGAGUCCGAAACAAAGCGAUUGUUUCCGCAAAUGAUUUGUUGUUUUAAGAAUUAAUGUGUUAAGGAAGGCGAUCGAGUCACGUGCCAGCCUUUAGAUCGGUUGACUGCGCGCUCGGAUCGGAUGGCUGCCGAUGUUUGCGCACCCGGAGAUCCAACGGUUAUUGUGUUGAUCGAUGUUUAAUAGACAUCUGUUGGUGGAUGCGUGGUGCUCUCAGUAUAAUAUAUGCAGAAAAAAUGUUUUAACACACGUAUACGCCAUCGAUCCGGCACUUCGUUGUCGGCUGCGGCAUGAACAGCACGACUGGUCCACCGCCGUGGCAUCGUCAUCUUCGUCGGGCGCCCACAGGUAAGCCCAUGGUAUACAAUGACAUGUGGUUUUGGUUAAGUUACUCACUUGAUUUUGGGCCACACAAAUGGAGGCGUCUUUCUCUUAACAGAAAACACAUUCCUAUGUACGUAACACGUUGACAUAAACUCUACGCACUGGUUUUUUCUUUUUUGACAUUGCUCUACGCACUAGUUUAAUUUGGAUCUUUCUUUUUUUAACUGGAACACCUUGCAUUCCGAAUUACAACGGACCAACCGAAUUGGUGGUUACAAAAUGAAUUACAAUCAAUUUAUGGUUGAAUGGUUAGAGAGACUGUAUUAUCCUCAGUCCAUCAGGGUUCAAGUCCUGUUGUUCGUACUUAUUUCUGAAUUUAUUUUAAAAUUUUCGAUGAUGCUCAUUCAAUGGAAAGAGACGUUUCCGUCGUCGAUUAGGUGUCUACGACAAUUUCGUAAAUCUCAAGAUAUAUGCUGGUUCAGUCUUUCGAUGGUGCUCAUAAAAAUAGGGUGUGCAUGUGUGUGUCUAUAGGGAUGAGUGUACGCCGCGUGUAUAUAAACGUUUGCAUGUGUAUUAUGUUAACAAAAGUUUCUGCUACCAAACAUGAUGGCACUAUGGCACAUUAUAAAUGAUGACUGUGGGCGGCGUACCCGACCUGGAGAGGACCAUCCGGAGCAGGAGCAGCCGGAGCUACGCGCCUCAUGGGAAGGGUUUGCGACGUCGUUGACGCUUCAUCGGUGUGUGAUGGGCCCGGGGGAUGGAGAUCCACCGCUGUUGAGGCCGCCUUGGUCCUACAACGACCGACGCAACACGAUGCGGAGGGCCACCUCCUCCACAUUGACGUUCGAUCAGUCGGAGCUGCUUCCGUCGCCGGCCAUCGGUUCAGAGUGCCGGGAUUGGAAAUGGAGUGGACGGAGACUGAACUGUCGGAUGUCUAGGGUUUUUGGAUUGGGAUAUUUCGUGGGGUCCGUCGUGGCCCGAGAGGGUCUAGGAGCGCCGAACUUUCUAUAUCCGCUCCAUAUUUAAGAUAGAUAUGAUGGGUGUCGGUUAAUCCGGACAUUUGAGGCCCAUUUAGAGCAAGUACAAUAGAGCUGAGUCAGCUAGCUAUGAGGAAUAAACUAAUAUAUUUUUAUCAAAAAUGCUACACUUACGGGCAAGAUACGGAUGAAACUUACGGAUUGCUGCCGCUUAGCCAAUCCCUCUGCCCCGCUGAUUUCAAGGGUGGGCCCUGGUGCCCCAAGUUUCCAGUAAAACAUGGACAGCUGAGUCCGUAAGUUACUUUCCGUAGCUUCCGUCCGUAAAUCUAGCACUUCUCUAUUUUUAUUUAGUUAGAGGAAAGAGAAGAGGAGAGAGAAGGUAAGCGGCCUCUUAGCUAAGAGCCAGCUCUAGCACGUGCUCCUAGGCAUUUUGUUAAUAUGAAAGGUGGACCAUAUAAUGUAGAAGUAGUAUACUUUUACAAUGAAGUAUUGUACAUGUUAGCUAUAAGAUGGGCUAUAGAUGACAUGGCAGUGGCUUAUAGCCAGCAGCUUGCUCUUAGUGCAUUCCAUUUGGGUAGAUUUUCUCUGGCCGUACGCUGAUUGAUCGGCUGUCCAACGUUCGAAACGAAUAUAAGGGUCUGGUUGUAGAUACUCUAAAACCACGGAGGUGGCGAAAAUUACCCUUCAACCAAUCUACGCAGCGGCUAAACUUCAACGGUGUUUCAUACCCACAGAAACGGAAUCUUUCAAGAGCAACGGAGUCGAACAGCAGAAAGGACCGAGCAAGAUGAAUUCACAAAGUCAAAACAUGGAGCCAGCUCAACACCGACCCCGCAAGUCAAUCCGACCCAACCCAACCCACGCAAUUAAUCUCCUCUAAUCUCUUGCUAACACGCGUGGACUUCUUCGCGUGAUCCACUUCCUAUAAAACGCGCGCGCACCCACUCCCCCUCCCAUUCGAUUUGUGUUCAACUCCAUCCACCAACUCGGUCAGCGUCUUCUUCAUUCGCUCUGCUCUCCACCAGAUCCAUUUCACGAGCAAUCCUUCGCGACCUACGGCCAUGGAGGGGCCGACGGUGGAGGUGCCGCCGUACUUCCUGUGCCCGAUCUCGCUGGAGAUCAUGCGGGACCCCGUCACGCUCGCCACCGGCAUCACCUACGACCGCACCAGCAUCGAGCGCUGGAUCUCCGACGGCCACGCCACCUGCCCCGUCACGCAGCAGAAGAUUGCGGAGGCCGACCGGGAUGCCACGCCCAACCACACGCUCCGCCGCCUCACCCAGGCCUGGUGCUCCCUCCACGCCGUCGAGCGCUUCCCCACCCCGCGCCCGCCCCUCGACACCAGCCGCGUCGCCGAGAUCGUCCAAGAGGGUCACGGUGCCGGCCGGCAGCAGGAGCUGGCCGCGCUCCGCGAGAUCAAGGCCAUCGUCGCCGAGAGCGAUCGCAACAGGCGCUGCGUCGAGGCCACGCCCGGCGCCGUCGAGUUCCUCGUCUCCGUCGUCACGAACCAUGCCACCACGUCCAAGUCGGCUCAAGAUUUGCUAGAACUUUCGCUGGAUUCCCCGACGUCCACGAGCUCGCCGGAGGAGGACGCGCUCAGCGUCAUCUGCUCGCUCAAGCCGUCCAAGAAGAGCCUGCUCCGGAUCCUCGAGAAAAACGUAGACUUCCUGGACACCCUGGUGUGCAUGCUGCGGCGACCGAGCUACCGGUCCCGCUGUUACGGCAUCAUCCUGCUGAAGGCGAUGGUGUCGGUCAUGGAGCCGGCGAGGCUGAUGACGGUGAGAACCGAGCUGGUGCAGGAGGUGGUACGCGUGGUGUCUGACAGGGUGUCCGCCAAGGCGGUGAAGGCGGCGCUGAACGUGCUGUGCCGGCUAUGUCCGUGGGGCCGCAACCGUGUCAAGGCCGUCGAGGCCGGCGCGGUGACUGUGCUGGUGGAGCUGCUCCUCGACGAAGGCGGCCGGCACCCCACCGAGCUGGCGGUGGUGGCCAUCGACCACCUCUGCGGCUGUGCGGAGGGGCGGUCGGACCUUGUGGCGCACCCGGCAGGGCUGGCCGUCGUGGCCAAGAAGGCUAUGCGGGUGUCACCGACCACCACCGAGAGCGCGGUGCGCGCUCUGCACGCCGUGGCUAGGCACUCGCCGACGCCGGCCGUGCUGCAGGAGAUGCUGGCCGUCGGGGUGGUCGCCAAGCUGCUGCUGGUUCUACAGGUGGAUGCCGGCGAGCGGGCCAGGGCCAAGGCCAAGGAGCUGCUCAAGAUGCACGCUAGGGUUUGGAAGGACUCGCCAUGCUUACAAGUGCACCUCAAGGCGCAUUACCCUUGUUGAUUUCGUCACGCUGAAUAUCGCUAGAAGAGAAGAGCCCAUUGCUCUCUUUUAGUUUCUCGCUGUAAUUAUCUACACAAACUGUCAUCAAACAUUGACACUGUUUAAUUGAUUGUAAAUACUAGUUCCUAUUUACAAAAUAAAAAUAAAAAACAGGCGAGACAGGCUUCUUGGAUAUAUCUCUUGGAUUGCCGUGUUAUCAGAUUUUUUGCGUCCUUUGUUCCUUUUUGUGAUAUGUCACAGAAGUUAACAUGAAUGCAUAACACAAAUACUAUUUCCGUCUCGGUUUAUAAGUUGUCUUACGAAAACUAAAUAAUCUCAAAACACUAAGGGACGAUACAUUAACUUUCACUUCAUUUUUUGUUUUUUGACAUGAAUAAAUCAAUCAAUCAAUAAGAAACGUGGAACGUUUAUAUUUUUAAUGACUUGAGACUAACUAGCACAACAUGCAGUAGUAUUCAUUAGCAAAUCAAUACUAGUAAUAUUUUUUCUUAUUUUCGUCUUCGUCUUAAUCGUGGUGCACAACUUAAAAUAACUUAUAAACCAAGAUGAAAGAAAUAUAACAGAUAGAGAAUCAUAACUUAUAAGGCUGAUGUCGAAAACAUGCAUUUGCAUGUUUUCUAGAUGGUCCAACAUACUUCACACGUGCCAGAUAGUGUUACCUCGCGAUGACUUACUCUGGAAAGAUGAAAGCCAAUUCAUAAAUAGAUUCUCACUUUCACAAGGAAAUUUCUUUAGCUUCGCGGCACAAAUUAUUGACUAUAUUAACAAUUUUUGAUUAAUUUAAUCCAAAAAUAACUCAUAAGUAUGGCGUUUGAUAGUAUUUAGCUUGUACUUGUAUCAACCCAAGCAAGCAGGUACUACGCAAAUACUCUCUCCGUUUCAAAAUAAAUGUCGCUGAUUUACUAUAAAGUUACAUUAAAUCCACGACACUUAUUUUGAAACAGAGGGAGUAGUAUAUUCGGUUACGCGGACAACAAGCAAGGUAAAUUUUAAAAACAAUGACAAACGGGAAAGGAAUAAACGAGUUAUACCCUCCAAUUGAUCAGUUCACAGUCGCGCGGCAGCGGCGACUGGCUUCUUCCCAACAAAGAGCUUUUCGACAACGAGUUUCUCAACUUUGGUGACUUGAUGAUGAUGAAGACGAUGAAGAGGUAGAUGAAGUAGUGAACGUAGACGAACGGUUGUGAAAAGACGCGUAGGAGACACUUACCAAAAACCUAAUCGCCCUUCUCUCGGUGCAUGAUCUCAAAGAGCGGGCUUUCAGUUCCAGAGGCCCGCUUCACCGUAUAAUUGUGCAGGCGGUUGAAGGGAUGAGGUCAUCGGUGGCAGCAACGACGAGCACAACGAUGAUGGAAAGUACGCCCGUGGAGACAGAUCAGAUGUGACCUGAUUUUCGUGGUGGCUACCCAACGAUCAAUACUUUGGAUGCGGAAUUGGCGAAGUGCCCAUCGCAAGUGUGGCAGUCCAUCUUGGAAGGAAGAGAUAAUCUCCUCUUAGUCUUAUUAAGAGAAAUGGAAUGGUUGUUGAUACGACCGUUUGGUAUGGUGAUUGGAUCCAUGGGACUUCAAACUUCGGGCGUUGUGUUCCAAAUCAACGUACCCGUCGGAUUGAUCAUGCCUUGGUAUCUUGGGUUCGGGCCAUACUUGACGAGCAUUUCUGGACAAGCAGGCGAUCUUUAAUACUCCUUACUUCCAGAAUACAGUACGAUUUCUGGUAAUGGCAUUACAAAAAAAAGGCGUGUUUACAAUGCAUUUGGCAUACAUACAUGUAUCAUCCACUAAGCAGCAGCGCAUGAAUAGGCCCGGAGACAAUCAUGACCAUUCAAAUUAUGAGGAUAGUGGAAAAUCCUGGUCCAAGCUAUGUGCGGUGAAGAUACCUUUGAAGAUAAGGGUGUUUGCUUGGCGACUUGCAAAAAAUUCCCUUCCUACUAGGGGUGUGUGGAAUCAUAUCCAGAUGGCGGACACAACUGUCAGGCCCAAGAUACGACCCUAUCCACAAUUUGGCACGAGGGCCUCGUCAGGGAUAGAAGCGCAUCUCGUCGUGUCGCAAGAAUGGAUAUCGUUACAAGUACAUGUACUGAAAAAAAGAGAUAUAUAGAUAAAAUUGGCUUACACUCGCCACAAGCUACAUCAGAGUCACAACAGUACAUUACAUAAACAUCAUGAAGAAGAGCAGGGUCCGGCUACGGACGAAAACAAACGAGAAAAGAAGAACGACGUCCAUCCUUCCUAUCCCAGGCUGCCGGCCUGGAACCCAUCGUAGAUCGAAGAACUAGAAGAAGAAGAAGAAGNNNNNNNAGAAGAAGAAGAAGAAGCAAUUCUUAAAGAACACUCAACGCGCUCGCGUCAAGUAAAUUUACAUGUACCUGCAACUGGUGUUGUAGUAAUCUGUGAGCCACAGGGGACUCAGCAAUCUCAUUUCCAAAGGUAUCAAGACUAGCAAAGCUUAAUGGAUGAGGCAUGGUUAAGUGGUGAGGUUGCAGCAGCGGCUAAGCAUAUAUAUAUGGUGGCUAACUUACGAGUACAAGCAAUAAGAGAGGAAAGAUCUACGCAUAGCGGACGUGAACUACAGUUGAUCAAAUGAAUGAUCCUGAACACCUACCUACGUUAGAUAUAACUCCACCGUGUCCUCGAUCGGAGAAGGAACUCAUGAAAGAGACAGUCAUGGUUACGCACACAGUUGGCAUAUUUUAAUUAAGUUAACUUCAAGUUAUCUAGAACCAGUGUUAAACAAAGUUUCCACGUUGCCACAUAACCGCGGGCACGGCUUUCCGAAAAUAUUUAACCCUCUAGGGGUGCUCCAACUAGUCCAUCACAAAUUACCACAAGCCGCAUAGAAAUCCUCAAUCAUGAAGCUCGCGAUCUCGUCGGAUUCCCUAGUGGAAAACCUCAACUCUGAGAUUAUCCAAAGCAUCACUGGAAUCCCGAUGCACAAGAUAUCUCGUCAAAGGUAAAACUAAUCCAGCAAGGCCACCCGGUGUGUCGACGAUCCCGAUAGGAGUCGCGUAUCUCGUUCUCAGGACACACCGUCUAUGCAUAGUGGACGGGAACCAAACCUCGAGUUGCCCCGAGGUGGCACCGCCGACUGCUAGGUGGGUGGACCAACACUCAUGCGGAGCACUGGCCCGGGGGUUGAUUAAAUUUCCUCGGGUUAAUUACUCCCUAUGCAGUUCAUUAGUUAUUAAGCAAAUGUAGUACCAAAGUUGGGCCUUGCGAGACCAGCUUUAAUCUAAAACAAAUUAUCAAGGGGGUACCAUAACAACCCCGAUCGUGUUAGGAGCGCUCAAAUAUGGAACAUAACACCGGUAGCCGAAACUAAGGGGCAAAGGUGGAACAAAACACCAGGCUAGAAAAGUCCGAGCCUUCCCCCUUUUACCAAGUAUAUAGGUGCAUUAAAUUAAAUAGCAUUUAAAUAUGGUGAUAUGACAAGGAACCCAUGUUAUCACAUGGAAGCAACUGCACCUGCAACUAGCAACGUUAACACAUGGAUAAGCAAGCAGUAACAUAGCCAAUCAGGGGUUUGCUAGGUCGAACAGGUUGAAGGUUAUCAUGGUAUUGUUGAGAGGCUGAUAUUUAACAUGUGGUACGCAACAAGAUAUAAACGAUAGAAGCGAUAAAACUAGCAUGGCAAUGAUAGUAAUGGUAUCUCGGGAAAUGGUCAUCUUGCCUGAGAUCCCGCUUGGAAGAAGAACAACUCCGUGACGUCGGCGAACCAACGUAGUCGAACGGGUCCUCACAUUCUGACACGCUUGCGGAACUCUAUCGAGACGGACCAAACCGGAAACAACCGUCAACACAGAUAUUCACCACGGCAAAUGCAAGACAUGAUGCACACCCUAAUAUGAUGCAUGAUCAGUUCAAUGAUGCCAGGCAUGGCAAUUCUCCUCACACAAACACUACACAUUAAGUGAAACGCGAUAUGCAACGAGUUGCAUAUCGACGAAACUCCACGUUUAAUUAUUUAAUUCACUCCCGAUUAUUUGCACAGCAAUAUUAAAUUGUUGUUAACAUGGCAAGGGUGAAGCGGGUGAUUCUACCAGUCAUCCUAGUCGGUUAACACGCGGGACAUAGAACGGAGCUACCACACAAGAAAACAUGCAACAUAAGAUAUAUAUGCCAUGAAUGGGUCAUGCAUGCAAGCUCAUAAUAACACGGGCAAGAAGGAAAAGAAUCAAGAAUCGCCACGGCGAGCGUAAAGGAACCAUGGCGGCAAGAUGGAAACGAUGCCACGGCAACGUUCCUAUCCCGAUAACUCAACGAGAUAUCGGUGCCAACGAAUCGGAAGCGCGUGCGGGAACGCUAAAUAAAGAUGGGGUGAUCCCGCUACGGGGUUCCCAUGUGUCGAUGGCGCGACGAAAGAGAGACAACGUGCAACGGGCAAACAUACGGCGCAAACAUACGGUACAUCUCAUACAACAUUUGCAUUCGGUACACGACACGUUCCAAUGGUAUACCUUCGAAGCAUGCAUAUCAGAGCGGUUCGGGUCAUAGCGGACGUCGUGGAAGUCGUUGUCGUCGUGGAAGUAGUGGAAGUCGUGGUACUCAGGUCUCGUCGACGGUAGUCGUGCUCUUGGCGUCGGUGCACGGGUCUUCACAUCGGUAGUCGAACAUGUUUCCGGGGGUCGUCGAGGACGACGUGGUGCUCGGCGAGUUUGUCGAUUCCACGGCGACGGGGAUGGUGCACGCGGCGACGGCAGGCGACACAACAGCAACGAUCGUCGGCGACGGCAGCAAGCAAGCAACAUAGCAACGGCAACAACAUGCAGGCCAUCAGCAAGCAACGCUAGCAGCUAACUAGCACAAGCUAAAGCAAACAUCUACAGCAAGCAUCGGCAUCGGCAAACAGCAACUAACCUAGCAGCAAACAACAAACUACACCUAGCAACUAACAGCAGCAACUAACACUACUAGCUAGCAGCAAGGCAAGCAAGCAGCAACAUCAUCUACACCAAGCUAGCAGCCGAGCAAAGCAACUAGCCUAGCAUGCAUCGGCGCAGCAGCUCGCGGCAACAGCAAGCACGACAGCAGCUACGACAUAGCAACAGCAUCUCGGCAGCACUAGCAGCCUAGCAUCUACAGCAGCAUGCAACAUCCAACACGGCGCGCAGGCAGGCCAGCAGAACGACGACAGGGCAAGCACGGGGGCGCGCGGGACCAAGGCGAGCAGCGGCAGGGCAAGCCGCCGGCGGGGCGAGCAUCGGCAGGGGCGGGGAACCUGCAGGCGGCUCGGGCGGCCGGCGGCGCGCAGAGGGCCUCGGGCCGGCCAAGGGCGACGAGGGGAGCCGCGGGCACGGUGGCCAUGGCGAGCUCGUGAGGGCGAGGGGCCCUGGCAAGGGAGGCGGCUAGACGGGGGGACCGGAGGCGGCGAUUGGCGAGAGCGAGGACGCGGGGCACGGGGCUCCUACAGGCAGGCGACGACACCGUGGGCAAGGGCUGGCGAGCUCGAGACCAGCUGAGGCGAGAGGUGGCGAGGCCGAGGGGGCGCAGCGCGACGAGGGUCGCACAGCGAGCACGCGGGGAACGGCGGCGCAGCGCGGGGGAGCUGCUGCAGGCGCCAGCGGCUGCAGGGAGGGAGCGCUGGAUCGAGCAGAGGGGGAGGCUGCGCUAGGGGGGAGGACGAGGGAGGAGACGAGAGGGGCUGGGGGCACUAGGGCAGGGGAGGGAAGCCUGCUGGGCCUUGGGCCGGCUGGGCAGCUCCUCCUCAACCCCUCUCUCUUGUUUUUUUUAAACAGAACACACGCAAAAGAAAAAAGGUUUAAAUAAAAGAAAAUAAAAUAAAUGCUUUUCGGCUCCUUGAAAAAGAAACCCCAACUAUAAAAAUAGGUUGGGCAUUUUUUUUAAAGAAAUAAGAUGCAACAUUUUGAAGAAUAAAAUAAAACCCUUUUAACAAGAGAAUAAAAUAAAACCCCUUUUAAAGGAGAAAAGAAAAUGAGACUUUGUUUUUUGAAAAUAAACAAAAGGGAAAAAAUAAGGAAACCCAAGGGUUGCCUCCACAUUUAAUAAAAAGGUUUUUUUAAAAGAAGACGAAUCUUUAUAAAGGGGUUAAAACCGAAAUUUGAACGCAACCACAAAACAAAGUAAGAGGGGAGAGAAGGGGAGUUUCUAUCGCUCUAAAGACUCCAAGAGCACUCACAACUCAGAUGACACCACGCAUCAGAUGAUGCAAGAUGCCAUGAUGCAAACUACAUGAUGAUGCCACAAAAUAAAAUAACCACACGACGGAAACGAAAAUAAAGGGAAUCUUCUAGAACGUCGGCGUCGGGCUGUCACAACAACCAAGUGUUUGAUAUGUCAUGUGGCGAUGGACUAGCGCGGCAUUCCCUCUUCUAUUGUCGGAUGUCAAGGUGUGUUUGGGACAUAGUUGAUGAGGAGCUGACCAAUGCUAUCAUAUCAAACCACACAAAUGAUGUUAGGCUGGCCAUUGUGGGGGUAUCAUAGCUAGUAACAUAGUCUUGGGACUAGCAAACAUGGUGAUGUGACAAGUAAUUAAAGAAGAGAGAGAGGGUUAUAGUAACAUAGAUAGAUACCGUAUCACACUAGUGGGGACGGGGCCUUUAGCCCCGGCCCGUAAGGGGCUUUAGUCCCGGUUCACCAACCGGAACUAAAGGGGCGGGACUAAAGGCCUAACCUUUAGUCCCGGCCCUGUUUCAAGCCGGGACUAAAGGUGCUCCACGUGGGCGCCUCGUAGCGCCCCAGGGGAGGCCCUUUAGUCCCGGUUCAUUACACGGACCGGGACUAAAGAGUUUCAGAUUUUGUUUAUUUUUGGGGUUUUUUUUAAUGAAAUUAUUUUUUGGGUUUUAGGGUUUUAGGGUUUAGGUGUUCGGGAGAUUAACGUGAUGCCUCGUUUGGUGUUCGGGAAUUAGUUUUCAUAUAAUUUAAAUAGAAAUAAUUAUGCAUAUAUAUAUAUAAGAUUAACUUAUCUUACAAGCGAGCAUAUAUAUACAAUUAUAUGGAGAUCUGAAUUAUCGGGACUAGAGCCCGUCUAUUCGAUUACAUGGACGAACAUCAGUAAUGGCCCCUAGCUACACUAAAUCGUCCUUUGUCAUCUAUAGCUUCCGUCCUCAGAAAGGUCGCAAGCUCCUCUGCAACAGCAAUCGCGCGUUGCUCUGGUAGUACCUUCGUCCUCAUGGCUGUGUACUAUAUAAGAAGAGGAGAUGAAUAUGAAUAUCAAUCAUGAUAACAAAGAAUGACGGGGAAAAAUAGAGGUGUGAAUGUUCAUUGCUUACGUUGAAUCUGUGAUCCUUGUGCUCAGAGGUAAACGUGCGAAUGGUCUCGCAAACAUAGUAUCCGCAUAGAUGCAUUCCCCGUGGCUGCUGGUCGCACUUUACGAGAAUAGAAUACAUAUAAUCAAAAUAAUAAUCUAGCAUCAUAAAUGUAUUGAAAAUAGAAGUAAAUCAUACUACUACUUACCUGAGCCGUUCUAAAGGUCAGCUUCUCAGGCUCGAUACCGGGAGUCACGCACUUGAACCGCUUCCAAACCCUGCCCCACAAGGAUAAUGAUUUGCUAAGUUUUUCAUUAAUUGAUAUAUCAGAAAAUCAUCGAAAGAGACCGAUAGAGCGCAAGAAUGAUUGAAAUUACCCUUGGAGCAUGUCGUGCAGGCUUUGGAACUAUUCCAAGGGUCUCGAUAAUGGGUCGAAGGCAUCAACUCUUCCCUUAUCAAUUUGAGCAUAGUAUUCAAAGUAGGAGUACUUUUCCAAUUUGAGCAUUCAAUAAGCAAAACCAAAUCGUAAAAUAAAGUAGUAUUCAAAUUAGCAUGGAUUCAAUAAUAAGCAAAUACAUCAUCUCUUUUGUCCGUACAUCGUCGAAUAUUAUCACUAAUACUCCUCGAAUACUAUCAUACAUAUAACAUCAUUGAUACAUCUAGAACCGUAGCGCCCGACGGGUAUCGGCGCGGGCGGUGGACACCCAAAGAGAAGGAACCAUCACAGGAUCAUAGCUCCAGUGAGAUCCCCGAAGAACCUGCCAGGUAUGCUCGAACCUGCCCUCCAACGCAACCAUGUAGCGACGGACGUGCUCAUCCUCCUCGCUGACACGGUGACGUACCACCUCCGCGGUGUCCGGAAGCCUCGGCACCCUCACUGGCCCAUGCGACCGCCACCAAACAAGGAUCGGGUCAACGACGGGCUGGCUCCUCACCAACCUACGCCCCCCGGAAGGUAGCACCUCCCAAUACCAGCCGGGCAGAGCCCAGUCCCGGACAGGGCCACUCUGAUCAAGCAGGUGUCCUCCGCCGAGUCGACGACGAGGAUGCGGGAUAGGCAUCGUAAAAUGAACUAAAAAAUAAACUAGUUCUAUUAAUUUUCUUGCUAAAAAUAAACUAUUAACACUUAAGCAUAUACAAUAGGAGAAUUAAACUAUUAACACUUAAGCAUAUACAAUAGCAAAAUUAAGCAAUAAUCUAAGAAACACUAUUAACACUUAAGCAUAUACACUAUACAAUAGCAAAAUUAAAUGACAAAAAAAAUAUUUCUUCUUGUUGUAACCCUAAACUAAUUUUUCCUCUUCUUCUAUUUCUCCUCUUCUUCUACUUCUUUUUCUACUUCUACUUCUCCUCUUCUUCUACUACUUCUCCUCUUCUCUUCUUCUACUUCUCCUCUCCUCCUCUUCUAAUUUUUUUCCUCUUCUUCUACUUCUCCUCUUCUUCUAUUUUUCCUCUUCUUCUCCUGUCCUCCUCUUCUUAUUCUCCUUUUUCUUGUUUUCUUCUCCUCCUCUUCUUAUUUUCCUUUUUCCUAAUUCUAAAUAUUACUAACCCUAAUAAUCUAGCACAAACCUAAUAACAAUAGGAAUUAAAUGACAAAAAAAAUCUUUUUCUUCUUUUCUUCCCUUUUUCUUCCUUUCUUCUCCUUUUUCUUCCUUUCUUCUCCUUUUUCUUCUCCUUUUUCUUCUUUUCUUCUACUGGCCGGAGUGUUGGGGAGGAGGGGGCGGGGGGCUUACCGGCCGGAGGUGUCGACGGUGCGCGGCGAGGAGGAGGGCGGCGCACGGCGAGGAGGACGAUAGCGACGGCGAGGAGGACGGCACGCGGCGGCAAGCAGGACGGCAGGCAGCCUGACGGCGUCGUCGAGUUCGUCGCUGUGCCGCGCCGGGCAGGAGAACGAGGAAGAAGGAGAGAAGGAAAUGCGAUUUGGGCUGGAAAUUUUCUAACUCCCGCUUAUAUAGGUGGAUCUUUAGUCCCGGUUCGGGGCUCGCUCCUGGACUAAAGNNNNNNNNNNNNNNNNNNNNNNNNNNNNNNNNNNNNNNNNNNNNNNNNNNNNNNNNNNNNNNNNNNNNNNNNNNNNNNNNNNNNNNNNNNNNNNNNNNNNNNNNNNNNNNNNNNNNNNNNNNNNNNNNNNNNNNNNNNNNNNNNNNNNNNNNNNNNNNNNNGGACUAAAGCCCCUCCUCGGUUGCACGAUAAGUUUAGUCCCACCUCGCCCAGCGAGGGGGACUAACACUUGAUUAUAACCCCCGUCGCAGCUUCUCCAUCGACCUCCUCUCUAAAGCAGGCUUACGGGCCUAAACUGACUGAAAAUUGAAACUAUAUUCGAAAUUAUGGAGAAAAUUCAACCUGAAUUCAAAGUGAGUUCAAUUUGAAUUUAGAUUGAAUUUUCUCUAUAAAUUCUCAUAUAGUUUCAAAUUUUUUCUAUUUUCAUAAUUAAUAAUUUUGACUAUCCAAACUAUUAUCUAUUUUGUUAUUUUCAAUUAAAAACUAUGUUUAUUAAAAAUUCUUUUUGCAUANNNNNNNNNNNNNNNNNNNNNNNNNNNNNNNNNNNNNNNNNNNNNNNNNNNNNNNNNNNNNNNNNNNNNNNNNNNNNNNNNNNNNNNNNNNNNNNNNNNNUUUGUUUAUAAUUACUUAUUAAAUUUAUUUUAUGAUAAUUUUUUUUGCUAUUAAAGUUUCUAACAAAAAAAGUUCUUUAUGAAAAUUCUUUUUGCUUUUAAUGAUUUUGAACAGAAAAUACUUUGAUAAUUUUAGUUGCAUAAAUUUUAUAUAAUUUUAGUUUCAAUAAUACUAGAAGUUGCUUAUAAUGUUUUGAAUAGAAAAUACUUUGAUAAUUUUAGUUUCACAAAUUUUAUUUAUGUUAUUAAAGUUUUUUUUGUCUCUACUUAUCUAUUUUAUUAAAGUUUAUAUUAUUUUGUUUCAAAUUACUUAUUUAUUUUAUUUUGUUUUGUUUCUCACUUCAUUUGUUAUUUUUCAUGCAUUUACUGAUUAUUUUCAGCUAUAAGACCAUGAAAUUGAAAGGCAUUUGAAAUGAACUCUGAANAGGUUCCAAGUUGGCAUGGUAUCAUCAUUUCACCCACAUAGCAUGUGCAAGAAAGUAGAGAGGCUUACGGCAAAAACUGGAUGCACUUCGUGUANNNNNNNNNNNNNNNNNNNNNNNNNNNNNNNNNNNNNNNNNNNNNNNNNNNNNNNNNNNNNNNNNNNNNNNNNNNNNNNNNNNNNNNNNNNNNNNNNNNNUUCAUGCAUUUACUGAUUAUUUUCAGCUAUAAGACCAUGAAAUUGUAAUGUAUUUGAAAUGAACUCUGAAAAGGUUCCAAGUUGGCAUGGUAUCAUCAUUUCACCCACAUAGCAUGUGCAAGAAAGUAGAGAGGCUUACGGCAAAAACUAGAUGCACUUCGUAUACAAAACGGACAAUCUCCUUCGAAGUAUAAGGGUUUCAUACGGAAACUCGUGUGUUACAAAGGGAUUUCAAUUUUUUUAACUUAUUUGAACCCCCUUGUUUUUCUGUGUUCAAAAUGUACCAUUCAAAGCCACAUCAUCAAUUUACAACCCUUUCUGACUUCAUUUGUUAUUUUUCAUGCAUUUACUGAUUAUUUUCACCUAUAAGACCAUGAAAUUGAAAAGCAUUUGAAAUGAACUCUCGAAAGGUUCCAAGUUGGCAUGGUAUCAUCAUUUCACCCACAUAGCAUGUNNNNNNNNNNNNNNNNNNNNNNNNNNNNNNNNNNNNNNNNNNNNNNNNNNNNNNNNNNNNNNNNNNNNNNNNNNNNNNNNNNNNNNNNNNNNNNNNNNNNNNNNNNNNNNNNNNNNNNNNNNNNNNNNNNNNNNNNNNNNNNNNNNNNNNNNNNNNNNNNNNNNNNNNNNNNNNNNNNNNNNNNNNNNNNNNNNNNNNNNNNNNNNNNUUUACAAAGGGAUUUCAUUUUUUUGAACUUAUUUUAACCCCCUUGAUUUUCUGUGUUCAAAAUGCACCAUUCAAAGCCACAUCAUCAAUUUACAACCCUUUCUGACUUCAUUUGUUAUUUUUAUGCAUUUAUUGAUUAUUUUCAGCUAUAAGACCAUGAAUUUGUAAAGCAUUUGAAAUGAACUCUGAAAAGGUUCCAAGUUGGCAUGGUAUCAUCAUNNNNNNNNNNNNNNNNNNNNNNNNNNNNNCCAGCUAUAAGACCAUGAAAUUGAAAAGCAUUGAAAUGAACUCUGAAAAGGUUCCAAGUUGGCAUGGUAUCAUCAUUUCACCCACAUAGCAUGUGCAAGAAAGUAGAGAGGCUUACGGCAAAAACUGGAUGCACUUCGUGUACAAAACGGACAAUCUCCUUCGAAGUAUCAGGGUUUAAUACAGAAACUCGUCUGUUACAAAGGGAUUUCAAUUUUUUUUAACUUAUUUGAACCCCCUUGUUUUUCUGUGUUCAAAAUGCAUAAUUAAAAGCCACAUCAUCAAUUUACAACCCUUUCUGACUUCAUUUGUUAUUUNNNNNNNNNNGUACAAAACGGACAAUCUCCUUCGAAGUAUCACAGUUUCAUACGGAAACUCGUCUGUUACAAAGGGAUUCCAAUUUUUUUGAACUUAUUUGAACCCCCUUGUUUUUUUGUGUUAAAAAUGCACCAUUCAAAGCCACAUCAUCAAUUUACAACCCUUUCUGACNNNNNNNNNNNNNNNNNNNNNNNNNNNNNNNNNNNNNNNNNNNNNNNNNNNNNNNNNNNNNNNNNNNNNNNNNNNNNNNNNNNNNNNNNNNNNNNNNNNNACCCCCCUUUAGUCCCGGGUGGAGCCACGACCCGGGACUAAAGGCCCUUUUUCGGCUGACCAGAAGGCGGGAAGCAGGGGCCUUUAGUCCCGGGGCGUGGCUCCACCCGGGACUAAAGCCCCUCCUCGGUUGCACGAUAAGUUUAGUCCCACCUCGCCCAGCGAGGGGGACUAACACUUGAUUAUAACCCCCGUCGCAGCUUCUCCAUCGACCUCCUCUCUAAAGCAGGCUUACGGGCCUAAACUGACUGAAAAUUGAAACUAUAUUCGAAAUUAUGGAGAAAAUUCAACCUGAAUUCAAAGUGAGUUCAAUUUGAAUUUAGAUUGAAUUUUCUCUAUAAAUUCUCAUAUAGUUUCAAAUUUUUUCUAUUUUCAUAAUUAAUAAUUUUGACUAUCCAAACUAUUAUCUAUUUUGUUAUUUUCAAUUAAAAANNNNNNNNNNUUUUAAAAGUAAUUAUUUUGACUAUCCAAACUAUUAACUAUUUUGUUAUUUACAAUUAAAAANNNNNNNNNNGUUCAAAAGUAAUUAUUUUGACUAUCCAAACUAUUAUCUAUUUUGUUAUUUUCAAUUAAAAACUAUGUUUAUUCAAAUUCUUUUUGCAUAUUUGAGAAUUUGACAAAACUAUGAUAAUGAAAAGUGUUUGAAAUUGAAUAAAUAAUGCAAAACUAUUUUNNNNNNNNNNNNNNNNNNNNNNNNNNNNNNNNNNNNNNNNNNNNNNNNNNNNNNNNNNNNNNNNNNNNNNNNNNNNNNNNNNNNNNNNNNNUAUUUUUUUUUAGCUAGUUGACCCUGAAAUUGAAAAGCACUACAAAUGAACUCUGAAAAUGUUGAAAGUUGGCAUGCUAUCAUCAUUUCACCCACAUAGAAUGUGUUAAAAAGUUGAGAGGGCUACGACAAAAACUGGAAGCACUUCGUGUACAAAACGGAAAAUCUCUCUCGAAGUAUCAACGUUUCGAACGAGAACUCAUCUCUUACAACGGGAUUUCAUUUUUUGAACUUAUUUGAACUCCAUACUUUUUGUGUGUUCAAAAUGCANNNNNNNNNNNNNNNNNNNNNNNNNNNNNNNNNNNNNNNNNNNNNNNNNNNNNNNNNNNNNNNNNNNNNNNNNNNNNNNNNNNNNNNNNNNNNNNNNNNNAAUACUUGACACGCAGAAAACAGUAGCAACAAAAUGACACGAUCAACAUGCUACAUCUAUUAGUUUGGGUCUAGUCCAUCACGUGAUUCUCCCAAUGACGUGAUCCAGUUAUCAAGCAACAACACCUUGUUCAUAAUCAGAAGACACUGACUAUCAUCGUUCAACUGGCUAGCCAACUAGAGGCAUGCUAGGGACGGUGUUUUGUCUAUGUAUCCACACAUGUAAAUGAGUCUUCAUUCAAUACAAUUAUAGCAUGGAUAAUAAACUAUUAUCUUGAUACAGGAAUUAUAAUAAUAAUUAUACAUUUAUUAUUGCCUCUAGGGCAUAAUUCCAACAUCUCUCGCCCGGAGGCGCUUUGGGAUUGGCGAGCACGAGCGGCGCUCUCGGCGAGGCUGGGCGCCGGGGCGACGACCCCGGCUUGGACCUGCGGUGGUGACGGCAGCGGUGGCCGCGGGGACCGCGCCUCGGCGCGUAGAGGUGGCUGGGAAGGCUUGACCCCUUGUGGGCAGGACUCGAUCUGGCUCAGCCAUAUCUGGUUUCCGGGACUGCAGGCGGUGCNNNNNNNNNNNNNNNNNNNNNNNNNNNNNNNNNNNNNNNNNNNNNNNNNNNNNNNNNNNNNNNNNNNNNNNNNNNNNNNNNNNNNNNNNNNNNNNNNNNNAAACCCUUAUAAAUAACUGUUUUUUUACAGUUUGCGAAUAAAAAAACGCAUAGACUAGAACCCCUUAACCCUCAAACCCUUAAAAAAAAUUUGAGGAUCCAACCCUCAAACUCCCUCUCAACCUGUAGAAGUGAGGGUUGGAGAGCGAAAACUACCCCAACCCUCAAACCGUUCCAUCGUCGCGCGGGAGGGACUUUUCCCCGUCCCCAACUGCCGCCGCCAUUCCGACCACCGCCGCCGCCCCAUGCUGCCGCCGCGCCCCGCCGCCCCGAGCCGCCGCCGCGCCGUGCCCCACGGCCGCCCGCCGCGAGGCCGGCCCCAGGCCUCCUUGAGCUCUCCUCGCCGCCGCGCCAGAGGCGAGGCGGGCCAGAGGCAGCCGCGCCGCCACGAGCUCUCCUGUUUUUGCCCCUGUUUUUGUUAUAAGGGUUGGGUUUGAGGGUUCUAGUCUUUGCCCCUGUUUUUCAACCCUUAAAAGUGCCAAAAAAUGCAAAUUCUCAACCCUUAAAACUGGUUUGAGGGUUUGAGGGUACUCCUAAAGAUGCUCUCAGAUGAUGCCUCCAACCAUUUCAGGUAAAGACAUCCUUGUCCUUCUGUUCCAUCCACGUACACACGGCUAUAAACAGUUGUUAGUGUUCAGAUCACUGAAGAAUAGACUACAAAGGGACCCAUUGCGUAGACUUCUAGAUAACCUGUAGCAAAGAGAAAUCUGACUUAUAACUAAUUUGUUUUCGAAAAGAAGGAUUACUCCCGGCUAAGCCUGGGCAUACCCCGGGCCGGGCCGGGCCGGGCNNNNNNNNNNNNNNNNNNNNNNNNNNNNNNNNNNNNNNNNNNNNNNNNNNNNNNNNNNNNNNNNNNNNNNNNNNNNNNNNNNNNNNNNNNNNNNNNNNNNCUUCUUUUCUUCUCCUUCCCUUUUUCUUCCUUUCUUCUCCUUUUUCUUCCUUUCUUCUCCUUUUUCUUCUUUUCUUCUCCUUUUUCUUCUUUUCUUCUACUGGCCGGAGUGUUGGGGAGGGGCGGGGGGCUUACCGGCCGGAGGAGGGGGCGGGGGGCUUACUACCCGGAGGUGUCGACGGCGCGCGGCGAGGAGGACGGCGGCGACGGCGAGGAGGACGGCAGGCGGNNNNNNNNNNNNNNNNNNNNNNNNNNNNNNNNNNNNNNNNNNNNNNNNNNNNNNNNNNNNNNNNNNNNNNNNNNNNNNNNNNNNNNNNNNNNNNNNNNNNNNNNNNNNNNNNNNNNNNNNNNNNNNNNNNNNNNNNNNNNNNNNNNNNNNNNNNNNNNNNNNNNNNNNNNNNNNNNNNNNNNNNNNNNNNNNNNNNNNNNNNNNNNNNNNNNNNNNNNNNNNNNNNNNNNNNNNNNNNNNNNNNNNNNNNNNNNNNNNNNNNNNNNNNNNNNNNNNNNNNNNNNNNNNNNNNNNNNNNNNNNNNNNNNNNNNNNNNNNNNNNNNNNNNNNNNNNNNNNNNNNNNNNNNNNNNNNNNNNNNNNNNNNNNNNNNNNNNNNNNNNNNNNNNNNNNNNNNNNNNNNNNNNNNNNNNNNNNNNNNNNNNNNNNNGGGACUAAAGCCCCUCCUCGGCUGCACGAUAAGUUUAGUCCCACCUCGCCGAGCGAGGGGGACAAACACUUGUUUAUAAGCCCCGUCGCAGCUUCUCCAUCGAGCUCCUCUCUAAAGUAGGCUUACGGGCCUAACCUAACUGAAAAUUGAAACUAUAUUCGAAAUUAUGGAGAAAAUUCAACCUGAAUUCAAAGUGAGUUCACUUCGAAUUUAGGUUGAAUUUUCUCUAUAAAUUCUCAUAUAGUUUCAAUUUUUUUCUAUUUUCAAAAUUAAUUAUUUUGACUAUCCAAAUUAUUAUCUAUUUUGUUANNNNNNNNNNNNNNNNNNNNNNNNNNNNNNNNNNNNNNNNNNNNNNNNNNNNNNNNNNNNNNNNNNNNNNNNNNNNNNNNNNNNNNNNNNNNNNNNNNNNNUAAAGACCCCCUUUAGUCCCGGGUCGAGCCACGACUAGGGACUAAAGACCCCUUUUCGUCAGGCGGAGUGGCGGGAAACGAGGUUCUUUAGUCCCGGGUCGUAUCUCGACCCGGGACUAAAGGUGGUAAGUUUUAGUCCCACCUCGCUUGUCAAGAGGCGGUGCAACUAGUUUAUAAGCCCCACCGCCCCGAACCGUCUCGAGCUCUUCUCUAAAGCAGACUUACUGGCCUAAACGCACUCUAAAUUUAAAAAUGAAAAAAUAUAUAUGAAAUUAAAGACAAAAUUCAACCUAAAUUCAAAGUGACUUUGAAUCACUUUGAAUUUGGCUUGAAUUUUCUCUAUAAAUUUUCAUAUAGUUUCAAAUUUUCCAUUAUUUUUGUUUUGUUCUUUGCUUUAUUUAUUUUGUUUUUUUCUACUUACAACUAAAUAUUAAGUUUUCAAAUUUAAAAUUCUUUGAAAUUUGUGAAUACCUUUACUUUCAUUUUUUGCUAUUAAAGAUUAUUUUUUCUCUUCUAUUUUAGUUUACUAUUAAAGAUUUUUACCAGAAAACUUUAUGAAAACUCUUUUGAGCCUAAACGCACUCUGAAUUUAAAAAUUUGAAAUAUAUGUGAAAUUCAAGAUAAAAUUCAACCUAAAUUCAAAGUGAAUCACCUUGAAUUUGGGUUGAGUUUUCUCUAUAAAUUCUCAUAUAGUUUUAAUUUUUUUCCAUUAUUUUUAUUUUGUUCUUUGCUUUAUUUAUUUUGUUUUUUUCUACUUACAGCUAAAUAUUUAGAUUUCAAAUUUUAAUUCUUUUGAGUUGAUCUUUUUAUUGUUUAUUUUUAGUUAAUGUUUUACUUAAAUCUUUUAAACAAAUAAGCACUUUGAUAAUUUUAGUUGAUUAUUUUUAAUUCAUUCAUUUUAUUUAAUGUUUUAGUCGAUUCUUUUUAGUUAACUCUUUUUUUCUAUGAAAUAUUUUAACAAAUUUUUAACAAUUUGUAACUUCAUUUGGUAUUUUUCGUGCAUUUACUUUUUUUUGGCUAGUUGACCCUAAAAUUGAAGAACACUACAAACGAACUCUGAAAAUGUUGAGAGCUCGCAUGCUAUUAUCAUUUCACCCACAUAGCAUGUGCUAAAAAGUUGAGAAGGUUAUGACAAAAACUUGAUGCUCUUCGUGUACGAAAUGGAUAAUCUCUCUCGAAGUAUCAGGGUUUCGAAUGAGAACUCAUCUGUUACAAAGGAAUUUCAUUUUUUGAACUUAUUUGAACNNNNNNNNNNNNNNNNNNNNNNNNNNNNNNNNNNNNNNNNNNNNNNNNNNNNNNNNNNNNNNNNNNNNNNNNNNNNNNNNNNNNNNNNNNNNNNNNNNNNCCAUACUUUUUGUGUGUUCAAAAUGCAUCAUUCAAAGGCACAUCACAAAUUUUCAACAAUUUCUGACUUCAUUUGGUUUUUUUCAUGUAUUUACUUAUUAUUUUUGAGCUAGUUGACCCUGAAAUUGAAUAGCAGUACAAAUAAACUCUGAAAAUGUUGAAAGUUGGCAUGGUAUCAUCAUUUCACCCACAUAGCAUGUGCUAAAAAGUUGAGAGGGUUACGAUAAAAACUGGAUGCACUUCGUGUACAAAACGGACAAUCUCUCUCGAAGUAUGAGAGUUUUGAACGAGAACUAAUCUGUUACAAAGAGAUUUCAUUUUUUGAACUUAUUUAAACUCCAUACUUUUUGUGUGUUCAAAAUGCACCAUUCAAAGGCACAUCACAAAUUUUCAACAAUUUCUGACUUCAUUUGGUAUUUUUCGUGCAUUUACUUAUUUGUUUUUGAGCUAGUUGACCGUGAAAUUAAAAAGCACUACAAAUGAACUCUAAAAAUGUUGAAAGUUGGCAUGGUAUCAUAAUUUCACCCACAUAGCAUGUGCUAAAAAGUUGAGAGGGUUACGACAAAAACUGGAUGCACUUCGUGUACAAAACGGAUAAUCUCUCUCGAAAUAUGAGGGUUUCGAAACUCAUCUCUUACAAAGGGAUGCAUUUUUUUAAACUUAUUUGAACUCCANNNNNNNNNNNNNNNNNNNNNNNNNNNNNNNNNNNNNNNNNNNNNNNNNNNNNNNNNNNNNNNNNNNNNNNNNNNNNNNNNNNNNNNNNNNNNNNNNNNNGGGACGUGAGGACGUUCCACUACAUCAACCGCGUUCACUAACGCUUCUGCUGUACGAUCUACAAGGGUACGUAGAUCACUCAUCCCCUCUCGUAGAUGGACAUCACCAUGAUAGGUCUUCGUGCGCGUAGGAAAAUUUUUGUUUCCCAUGCGACGUUCCCCAAGAGUGGCAUCAUGAGCUAGGUUCAUGCGUAGAUGUCUUCUCGAGUAGAACACAAAAGGUUUUGUGGGCGGUGAUGUGCGUUUUGCUGCCCUCCUUAGUCUUUUCUUGAUUCCGCGAUAUUGUUGGAUUGAAGCGGCUUGGACCGACAUUACUCGUACGCUUACGAGAGACUGGUUUCAUCGUUAGGAGUACCCCCCUUGCUCAAAGAUGACUGGCAAGUGACGGUUUCUCCAACUUUACUUGAAUCGGAUUUGACCGAGGAGGUCCUUGGAUGAGGUUAAAUAGCAACUCAUAGAUCUCCGUUGUGGUGUUUGCGUAAGUAAGAUGCAAUCCUACAAGAUACCUUUGGUCACCACGUAAAACAUGCAACAACAAAAUUAGAGGACGUCUAACUUGUUUUUGCAGGGUAUGAUUGUGAUGUGAUAUGGCCAAUGAUGUGAUGUGAUAUAUUGGAUGUAUGAGAUGAUCAUGUUGUAAUAGAAAUAUCGACUUGCACGUUGAUGGUACGGCAACCGGCAGGAGCCAUAGGGUUGUCUUUAUACUAACGUUUGUGCUUGCAGAUGCGUUUACCAUUUUGCUAGGAUGUAGCUUUAGUAGUAAUAGCAUAACUAGCACGACAAACCCGAUGGCAACACGUUGAUGGAUGAUCAUGGUGUGGCGCUGGUGACAAGAAGAUCGUGCCGGUGCUUAGGUGAUGGAGAUCAAGAAGCACGUGAUGAUGGCCAUAUCAUGUCACUUAUGAAUUGCAUGUGAUGUUAAUCCUUUUAUGCACCUUAUUUUUCUUAGAACGACGGUAGCAUUAUGAGGUGAUCUCUCACUAAAAUUUCAAGACGAAAUUGUGUUCUCCCCGACUGUGCACCGUUGCUACAGUUCGUCAUUUCGAGACACCACGUGAUGAUCGGGUGUGAUAGACUCAACGUUCACAUACAACGGGUGCAAAACAGUUGCGCACGCGGAACACUCGGGUUAAGCUUGACGAGCCUAGCAUGUGUAGACAUGGCCUCGGAACACAUGAGACCGAAAGGUCGAUCAUGAAUCAUAUAGUUGAUAUGAUUAGCAUAGGGAUGCUUACCACUGAAACUACUCUCGACUCACGUGAUGAUCGGACUUGGGAUAGUGUAAGUGGAUCAUGAACCACUCAAAUGACUAGAGAGAUGUACUUUUUGAGUGGGAGUUUAGCAUAUAAUUUGAUUAAGUUGAACUCUAAUUAUCUUGAACAUAGUCUAAGUCCAAUUUGAAUAUAUUUGUGUUGUAGAUCAUGGCUCACCCAAGUGUCAUCCUGAAUUUUAAUACGUUCCUAGAGAAAGCUAAGUUGAAAGAUGAUGGAAGCAACUUUGUAGACUGGGCUCGUAAUCUUAAGCUAAUCUUACAAGCUGGAAAGAAGGAUUAUGUCCUUAAUGCUGCGCUAGGAGAUGAACCACCCGCUACGGCUGAUCAGGAUGUUAAGAACGCUUGGUUAGCGCGUAAGGAGGACUACUCAAUAGUUCAAUGUGCAGUCUUGUAUGGCUUAGAACCGGGACUUCAACGUCGCUUUGAGCGUCAUGGAGCAUUUGAGAUGUUCCAGGAGUUUAAAUUUAUCUUUCAGAAGAACGCCCGGAUCGAGAGGUAUGAGACCUCCGAUAAAUUCUAUGCUUGCAAGAUGGAGGAAAACUCGUCUGUCAGUGAACAUGUGCUCAAAAUGUCUGGGUACUCAAACCGUCUAGCUGAACUGGGGAUUGAACUCCCGCAAGAAGCUAUCACUGACAGAAUCCUUCAAUCACUGCCGCCAAGCUAUAAAGGCUUUGUGUUGAACUACAACAUGCAAGGGAUGAACAAGUCUCCCGGCGAGUUGUUUGCGAUGCUGAAAGUCGCAGAGUCUGAACUCCGUAAAGAGCAUCAAGUGUUGAUGGUGAGCAAGACCACUAGUUUCAAGAGAAACGGCAAAGGCAAUAAGGGCAAUUCGAAGAAGAGCGGCAAGCCUGUUGCCAAUCCGCCAAAGAAACCCAAGGCUGGACCUAAGCCUGAAACAGAGUGCUUCUAUUGCAAGGGUAUGGGUCACUGGAAGCGCAAUUGCCCCAAGUAUCUGGCAGAUAAGAAGGCGGGCAAAGAAAAAUCAGGUAUAUUUGAUAUACAUGUUAUUGAUGUGUACUUAACCGGCUCUCGUAGUAGUGCCUGGGUAUUCGAUACCGGUUCUGUUGCUCACAUUUGCAACUCGAAGCAGGAACUGCGGAAUAGACGAAGGCUGGCGAAAGACGAAGUGACGAUGCGCGUAGGAAAUGGUUCCAAGGUUGAUGCAAUCGCCGUCGGCACAGUGUCACUUCAACUACCAUCGGGAUUAGUGAUGAACUUAAAUCAUUGUUAUUUAGUGCCUGCGUUGAGCAUGAACAUUAUAUCUGGAUCUUGUUUAUUGCGAGACGGUUACUCUUUUAAGUCUGAGAAUAAUGGUUGUUCUAUUUCUAUGAGUAACAUCUUUUAUGGUCAUGCACCGAAUGUGAGAGGAUUGUUCAUAUUGAAUCUCGAUAGCGAUACGCAUAUACAUAACAUUGAGACCAAAAGACUUAGAGUAAACAAUGAUAGCGCCAUAUUUUUGUGGCACUGCCGCUUGGGUCAUAUUGGUGUAAAGCGCAUGAAGAAACUCCAUGCUGAUGGACUUUUGGAGUCACUUGACUUUGAUUCACUUGACACGUGCGAACCAUGCCUCAUGGGCAAGAUGACUAAGACUCCGUUCUCCGGAACAAUGGAGCGUGCAAGUGACUUGUUGGAAAUCAUACAUACCGAUGUGUGUGGUCCGAUGAGCGUGGAGGCACGCGGCGGAUAUCGUUAUUUUCUCACCUUCACUGACGAUUUAAGUAGAUAUGGUUAUGUCUACUUGAUGAAGCACAAGUCUGAAACAUUUGAAAAGUUCAAGCAAUUUCAGAGUGAAGUGGAAAAUCAUCGUAACAAGAAGAUCAAGUUCCUACGGUCUGAUCGUGGGGGUGAAUAUCUGAGUUUCGAGUUUGGUACUCACUUAAGACAAUGUGGAAUUGUUUCGCAGUUAACACCGCCUGGAACACCACAGCGUAAUGGUGUGUCCGAACGUCGUAAUCGUACUUUGUUAGAGAUGGUGCGAUCUAUGAUGUCUCUUACUGAUUUGCCGUUAUCAUUUUGGGGUUAUGCAUUAGAAACAGCUGCAUUCACUUUAAAUAGGGCACCAUCAAAAUCCGUUGAGACGACACCAUACGAACUGUGGUAUGGCAAAAGACCAAAGUUGUCGUUUCUUAAAGUUUGGGGAUGUGAUGCUUAUGUCAAAAAGCUUCAGCCUGAAAAGCUGGAACCCAAAGCAGAAAAGUGCGUCUUCAUAGGUUACCCAAAAGAGACAGUUGGGUACACCUUCUAUCUCAAAUCCGAGGGCAAAGUGUUUGUUGCUAAGAACGGAACUUUUCUCGAGAAGGAGUUUCUCUCGAGAGAAUUGAGUGGGAGGAAGAUAGAACUUGACGAGGUUGUCGAACCUCUCAUCCCUCUGGAUGGUGGCACAGGGCAAGGGGAAACCUCUGUCGUUGCGUCGCCGGUUGAGGAGGAAGUUAAUGAUGAUGAUCAUGAAACUCUAGUUCAAGUUUCUGUUGAACCACACAGGUCGACGAGAUCACGCGCUGCUCUAGAGUGGUACGGUAAUCCCGUCUUAUCAAUCAUGUUGUUAGACAACAAUGAACCUGCAAAUUAUGAAGAAGCAAUGGUGGGCCUAGAUUCCAACAAAUGGCUAGAAGCCAUGAAAUCCGAGAUAGGAUCCAUGUAUGAGAACAAAGUGUGGACUUUGGAGAUACUACCUGAGGGCCGCAAGGCUAUUCAGAACAAAUGGAUUUUUAAGAAGAAGACGGACGCUGACAGUAAUGUGACCAUUUAUAAAGCUCGACUUGUGGCAAAGGGUUUUUCACAAGUUCCAGGAGUUGACUACGAUGAGACCUUCUCACCCGUAGCGAUGCUUAAAUCUGUCAGAAUCAUGUUAGCAAUAGCUGCAUUUUUCGAUUAUGAAAUCUGGCAGAUGGAUGUCAAAACGGCGUUCCUUAACGGUUUCCUUAAGGAAGAGUUGUAUAUGAUGCAACCCGAAGGUUUUGUCGAUCCUAAAAAUGCUGACAAGGUGUGCAAGCUCCAGCGAUCCAUUUAUGGACUGGUGCAAGCAUCUCGGAGUUGGAACAAACGCUUUGAUGAGGUGAUCAAAGCAUUUGGGUUUAUACAAGUGGUUGGAGAAUCUUGUAUUUACAAGAAAGUGAGUGGGAGCUCUGUGGCGUUUCUAAUAUUAUAUGUGGAUGACAUAUUACUGAUUGGAAACAACGUAGAGCUUUUGGAGAGCAUAAAAGGUUACUUAAAUAAAAGUUUCUCUAUGAAGGACCUAGGAGAAGCUGCUUACAUUCUAGGCAUUAAGAUCUAUAGGGAUAGAUCAAAACGCCUGAUACGACUUUCACAAAGCACAUACCUUGAUAAAGUUUUGAAGAGGUUCAAAAUGGAACAGUCCAAGAAAGGGUUCUUGCCAGUGUUACAAGGUACGAGAUUGAGUAAGACUCAGUGCCCAGCAACUGAUGAAGAUAGAGAGCAUAUGCGCUCCGUCCCCUAUGCUUCAGCCAUAGGUUCUAUCAUGUAUGCGAUGUUGUGCACUAGACCGGAUGUUAGCCUGGCCAUAAGUAUGGCAGGCAGGUUCCAGAGUAAUCCAGGAGUGGAUCACUGGACAUCGGUCAAGAAUAUCCUGAAGUACCUGAAAAGGACUAAGGAGAUGUUUCUCGUGUAUGGAGGUGAUGAAGAGCUCGCCGUAAAAGGUUACGUCGAUGCAAGCUUUGACACAGAUCCGGAUGACUCUAAGUCGCAAACCGGAUACGUAUUUAUUCUUAAUGGGGGUGCAGUAAGCUGGUGCAGUUCCAAGCAAAGCGUCGUAGCAGAUUCUACAUGUGAAGCGGAGUACAUGGCUGCCUCGGAGGCGGCUAAGGAGGGUGUCUGGAUGAAGCAGUUCAUGACGGAUCUUGGAGUGGUGCCAAGUGCACUGGAUCCAAUAACCUUGUUCUGUGACAACACUGGUGCCAUUGCCUUAGCAAAGGAACCAAGGUUUCACAAGAAGACCAGACACAUCAAACGACGCUUCAACCUCAUUCGCGACUACGUCGAGGAGGAGGACGUAAAUAUAUGCAAAGUGCACACGGAUCUGAAUGUAGCAGACCCGCUGACUAAACCUCCUCCACGGCCAAAACAUAAUCGACACCAGAACUGUAUUGGUGUUAGAUUUAUUACAAUGUAAUUCACAUGAUAAUGUGAGGGCUAGAUUAUUGACUCUAAUGCAAGUGGGAGACUGUUGGAAUUAAGCCCUAGAGGCAAUAAUAAAUGUAUAAUUAUUAUUAUAAUUCCUGUAUCAAGAUAAUAGUUUAUUAUCCAUGCUAUAAUUGUAUUGAAUGAAGACUCAUUUACAUGUGUGGAUACAUAGACAAAACACCGUCCCUAGCAUGCCUCUAGUUGGCUAGCCAGUUGAUCGAUGAUAGUCAGUGUCUUCUGAUUAUGAACAAGGUGUUGUUGCUUGAUAACUGGAUCACGUCAUUGGGGGAAUCACGUGAUGGACUAGACCCAAACUAAUAGACGUAGCAUGUUGAUCGUGUCAUUUUGUUGCUACUGUUUUCAGCGUGUCAAGUAUUUAUNNNNNNNNNNNNNNNNNNNNNNNNNNNNNNNNNNNNNNNNNNNNNNNNNNNNNNNNNNNNNNNNNNNNNNNNNNNNNNNNNNNNNNNNNNNNNNNNNNNNCCUCACGUCCCUCGAUCCGCCCCGCGAACAAUCCCGCGAUCAGUCCCACGAUCUAGUACCGAACGGACGGCACCUCCGCGUUCAGCACACGUACAGCUCGACGAUGAUCUCGACCUUCUUGAUCCAGCAAGAGAGACGGAGAGGUAGAAGAGUUCUCUGGCAGCGUGACGGUGCUCCGGAGGUUGGUGAUGAUCUCGUCUCAGCAGGGCUCCGCCCGAGCUCCGCAGAAACGCGAUCUAGAGGAAAAACUAUGGAGGUAUGUGGUCGGGCAGCCGUGAGAAAGUCGUCUCAAAUCUGCCCUAAAAGCCCCAUAUAUAUAGGAGGAGGGAGGGGAACCUUGCCUUGGGGUCCAAGGGACCCUCAAGGGGUCGGCCGAGCCAAGGGGGGGAGGACUCCCCCCCCAAACCGAGUUGGACUUGGUUUGGUGGGAGGAGUCCCCCUCCCUUCCCACUUCUUCCCUCUUUUUUUCUUUUCCUUUGAUUUCCUUUCCUUGGCGCAUAGGCCCCCUUGGGACUGUCCCACCAGCCCACUAAGGGCUGGUGUGUCUCCCCAAAGCCUAUGGGCUUCCCCGGGGUGGGUUGCCCCCCCCGCUGAACUCCCGGAACCCAUUCGUCAUUCCCGGUACAUUCAUGGUAACUCCGAAAACCUUCCGGUAAUCAAAUGAGGUCAUCCUAUAUAUCAUUCUUCGUUUCCGGACCAUUCCGGAAACCCUCGUGACGUCCGUGAUCUCAUCCGGGACUCCUAACAACAUUCGGUAACCAACCAUAUAACUCAAAUACACAUAAAACAACGUCGAACCUUAAGUGUGCAGACCCUGCGGGUUCGAGAACUAUGUAGACAUGACCCGAGAGACUCCUCGGUCAAUAUCCAAUAGCGGGACCUGGAUGCCCAUAUUGGAUCCUACAUAUUCUACGAAGAUCUUUAUCGUUUGAACCUUAGUGCCAAGGAUUCGUAUAAUCCCGUAUGUCAUUCCCUUUGUCCUUCGGUAUGUUACUUGCCCGAGAUUCGAUCGUCAGUAUCCGUAUACCUAUUUCAAUCUCGUUUACCGGCAAGUCUCUUUACUCGUUCCGUAAUACAAGAUCCCGCAACUUACACUAAGUUACAUUGCUUGCAAGGCUUGUGUGUGAUGUUGUAUUACCGAGUGGGCCCCGAGAUACCUCUCCGUCACACGGAGUGACAAAUCCCAGUCUUGAUCCAUACUAACUCAAUUAACACCUUCGGAGAUACCUGUAGAGCAUCUUUAUAGUCACCCAGUUACGUUGCAACUUUUGAUACACACAAAGCAUUCCUCCGGUGUCAGUGAGUUAUAUGAUCUCAUGGUCAUAGGAAUAAAUACUUGACACGCNNNNNNNNNNNNNNNNNNNNNNNNNNNNNNNNNNNNNNNNNNNNNNNNNNNNNNNNNNNNNNNNNNNNNNNNNNNNNNNNNNNNNNNNNNNNNNNNNNNNUCAUGUAUUUACUUAUUUUUUAGAGCUAGUUGACCCUGAAAUUGAAAAGCACUACAAAUGAACUCUGAAAAAAUGUUGAAAGUUGGCAAGGUAUCAUCAUUUCAUCCACAUAGCAUGUUCUAAAAAGUUGAGAGGGUUACGACAAAAAUUGGAUGCACUUCGUGUACAAAACGGACAAUCUCUCUCGAAGAAUGAGGGUUUCGAACGAAAACUCAUGUGUUACAAAGCGAUUUCAUUUUUGGAACUUCAUAUUUUUUUGUGUUCAAAAUGCACCAUUCAAAGGCACAUCACAAAUUUUCAACAAUUUAUGACUUCAUUUGGCAUUUUACAUGCAUUUACUUUUUUUGAGCUAGUUGACCCAGAAAUUGAAAAGCAGUACAAAUGAGCUAUGAAAAUGUUGAAAGUUGGCAUGGUAUAUUUAUUUCAACCACAUAACAUGUGGUAAAAAGUUGAGAGGGUUACGACAAAAACUGGAUGCACUUCAUGUACAAAACGGACAAUCUCUCUCGAAGUAUGAGGGUUUCGAACGAGAACUCAUCUAUUACAAAAGGAAUUUCAUUUUUUUGAACUUAUUUGAACUCCAUACUUUUUGUGUCUUCAAAAUGCAUCAUUCAAAGGCACAUCACAAAUUUUCAACAAUUUCUGAUUUCAUUUGGUAAUUUUCAUGCAUUUACUUUUUUUUGAGCUAGUUGACCCUGAAAUUGAAAAGAUCAACAAAUGAACUCUGAAAAUGUUGAAAGUUGGCAUGGUAUCAUAAUUUCAUCCACACAACAUGUGCUAAAAAGUUGAGAGGGUUACGAGAAAAACUGGUUGCACUUCGUGUACAAAACGGAUAAUUUCUCUCAAAGUAUGAGGGUUUCGAAAGAGAACUAAUCUGUUACAAAGGGAUUUCAUUUUCUUGAACUUAUUUAAACUCCAUACUUUUUGUGUGUUCAAAAUGCACCAUUCAAAGGCACAUCAUAAAUUUUCGACUAUUUCUGUUUCAUGUAUUUACUUANNNNNNNNNNNNNNNNNNNNNNNNNNNNNNNNNNNNNNNNNNNNNNNNNNNNNNNNNNNNNNNNNNNNNNNNNNNNNNNNNNNNNNNNNNNNNNNNNNNNGGACAAUGACAAGUGCCAGUUGUGCGGGAUGCAAGAUUCAUGGAGACACUCGCUUAUAGCAUGCUCGGUUGCAAGGUGUGUUUGGGCUCUCGAGGAUGAAGAUAUAGCAGAUUACAUUCAGAAAGCUACAGAUCCUAGAACAAAGCAGUGGUUUUUUGCAACAAUAGAGGAUUUGUCUCAUGCUAGGCUGAUCAAGCUAUCCACGAAGAAAUUUUGCAGAGCCCUCAUGCAACUAAUGCUUUUUUAACAAACUAUAUUGUUGAACUUGCAAGCAUCAAAGAAAAGAAGACACGAGGAACUUGUUCUACCAUGGGUGCCCCCAGGAUUAGGCCGACCCGGUGGAUUGCUCCUGCCCAGGGAGUAGUAAAGAUUCAGGUUGAUGGGGGUAUCUCCAGGAAUGGCACCAAGGGUGCAACGGCAACCAUUUGUCGUUAUCAGAAGGGACUUUUCCUGUGUUCUUCAGCACUGGUUUUCACUGGAGUCAUGGAUCCACCAACUCUUGAAGUUCUCUCGUGUUGGGAAGCUAUGGCUUUAGCGUUUGAUCUGUCCUUGAAUCAAGUUGUUAUUGCUUGUGACUAUGAAGUAGUUAUUAAAGACAUCAAGUCUGGCACAGAGGGAAGAUAUACUUCCAUCAGCAAGGAGAUAAAAAAUGCUGCUCUUAAUUUUACCAAGUGUGAGUUUAUUUUCGAAGGCGAGAAAGGAAUGUUGAUGCCCAUAAUGUAGCUAAAUUUGCUUUUACUUUAGAUGAUGGGCGCCACCUGUGGCCGAGUUCAUCCCAUGACCCUUUUGUCAUACCUGUAAACCGUUCCCCUAAUCAAUAAAGGCUGGUUUACCACUCAAAAAAAAGCUGAUUGUUGCCCUUACGGAGGACCUCUCACUUCAGAAUAUUGUGGUGGCAUGCGAUGGCAAAGUAGUAGUUGAUGACAUACACGGAGGAGAGGGUGGAUCUUAUGUGACAGUCAUUAAGGAGAUUUCCAUGCGCAGAUCUUUUUUCAAUAUUCGUAAGUUUAUUUCUGAGGGUAGAGCAUCGAAUAGCGAUGCACACAAUCUUACUAAGCACUCGUUAUUACUUGAUCGGGGUCGUCACUUGUGGCUCAUUCAUGCCACGACCCUUCUUGUAUCCCUCUUUGUGUCCAAACAGAUCAAUUAAGUUUUGGCAUUUCUCAAAAAAAAAAAAAGAACUUGCCAUAUAAUUUUCCUCAGAUUUUGAGUCGAAUAAGCUAGCCAGCCAGCUUAGCAAAGUUCAAUUGCCCUUCUGUUUGAUUGGAUGAGACCCAUGAUGGCAUUAUCUCUCUGCUUGUUCAUGAUGUGACUUUGAUCACCAAUGAAUAAGAGGGGGUGUGAUUUAACAAAAGACACAAAAAAACUCCGUUCUUUUAGAGAAAACGGCAAAACUCAAGAAGGACCUUAUUGUUUGGGACAUUCAUAAGAGGUAAGCAGCAAAGGCAAAUUAAGAUUGUAGUAUUUGGUACCAUACAACGCGAGGACUGGAAAGAAAGACUUCAUUAUAGUAGUUUUGUUCACAAAAACUAUAUGGCCAACGUUCAGAUUUUAACCUUGCUACUCGAGCACUUCGAGAGUAACUCACUGGUGGAGCUAUUGCAAUGCCAAAUGUGUCAUGUGCUGCAUUUUACAAUUUGUACACUGAUUUUUUCACUUCUCGGUCUUGAAACAUCCGCUCACUGACUAUUUUCUUCGAGUGCGAGAGAGAAAACUUCCCACCCUCGCGUCGCCCCGCUUGGGCGACUCGGAGGCGACAACCCUAGGUCGUCGUCGGGCGCCCCUUCCCGAUGCUCCUCGCUGCCGUGGGGAGUCCUGGACCUGAGCGGCGGCUCCUCUGGUGAGGCUUCGUCGGAUCUGCGGCCUCCGGCGGUGCGGCCGACGGAUUCGGGGUCCCUGUCACUUGGGUGGUGGGAUCUUGGUGGAGGAGGUGAGCGGCUGGUUGCUGCUUUGGCGGCCAGCGACACAAGAUCCCUGGCGUUCCCCUCCCUUGAUUGGCGUGCGGGCACCUCUGGCCAGGUGGUGCCUUUUAUGGUCGCCGUUACCUGAAGAGGGGGUGGCUUGUGGGGUUGGGGCGGCCCUGGCGUAAUCCAUGGCCGGCUUGGCCGGCCGCGCCAACGGCGAUGCGUGCGGGCAUCGUGCCCCUUCCUGGAGGCGUUGGUAUGGACUGCCCCCUCCACUUCCCCUUCCUCUAGGUCUCCGGGUCGAAAGCCCUAACUUUGUUGGGCGGCGACGACGCUUGCAGUGUCGUUCCCUUCUUGAAGGCGUCGCCUUUGGAGCCUUGUAGUUGGGGGCGCUUGUGGUUGGUUGGUGGCACCGGCAGUGUGGCCCUCUUCGUCCUGGUAUGAUGCUCCCCCUCUUCCAGUGCUGGAUGUGUGCAGCGGCCUUGUUCUGCGCAAGAAGAGUCUCCGGUGACUCGUGGGGAUGCGUUGACCCUCUCUAUGUGACCAUCUCCGGCGGCGUCCACCACACCUGUCGACGGUGCGGCGCCUUCGAUCCAGGCGAGGAGGUUGUGGCCUCCUUCGAAGUUGGGUGUUGGAUGCGAUGUGUCGGGGUCCGUAGGUGCAUGGCGACGGCAUGCCAUGCUGAUGUCGGUCCCUCUCUCCUUUGUUCCUGCACGAUCUUGCUUCUGGUGCUAUAUUCUCGGUCGAGGACCUCGGCAUCUUCGGCUUCACCCUUCACUGCUUAUCUUCAGUUGCCGUGGUGUAUGAGGCUUAGUUUCAUGUUGUCCGUCGUUUUUGUAUCUUUCGCCAUGUAUUUUCUUCUUUUUGCUUGAGGGCGUGUGCUUGUAAUCCUGCACGAUUGAUGGCUUUGUUAAUUCAAAGUCGGGCUAGGCUCGAGCCUCAUCUCGGUCUCGGUUGAUGUCUUUUUUAAAAAAAAAACAUAUUUUCUUCGGUUAUGCUUCAGUAUUCUUUUGUUUUUUCUUUGUUUUCUUUCUGUUUCUUUCUCGGCUCAUCACUUGGUUUUCCCCUGUACGUUGGUGGGUUAUUUCCCCAUAUUUUCCUUUUUUUUCAUCAUACAUCAACUUAUCAGUUGAUUUUUUUUCUCCCACGAAGAGUUCUCCUGUUGUAUGUGGGUGGUUAGUCCUUACAACAAAUAUAGCUUGGCAAAGUUACCAAGUUAUAGGUUUCUUCACAAGUAAAAAACGCUGAUGUAUAACUACGUACGUGAAACAUAUUAUAUUAUUAUUAUUAUUAUUACUACUUCAAAUAACAAACAAAUGUAACACACACGUGAAGAAGUCAACUACAUGCUACAUCAAUUUAUUCGGUAACAAACAGAGGAUUAUUUUCUUCCAAAACGGAUGAUGGAGAGAGUUGCCGACGGCAGAGGCUCCCUACUUGAACCUGGCCUUGACGGCGUCGAUGUCUUCGUUAUCAACCCGGAAGGCCUUGGCCAGCACGUCGGUCGGCACCGGCGGUGAGGCAGCCAAGAGCGUGGUGGCGAUGGCUUGGGUGCCCUGAAGCUGGCUGUUGAAGGCGGCGAUGACGGAGGCGGGGCCAUGUCCCCUGUUCUGCUGGAAGUGCACGAGCCCGCGCGGGAAGACGAACACCUCACCGACGGUGACGAACCUAGUGAAGAGCUUGUUGGCGGUGGUGAUGAAGCCCACCUCGAGGGUUCCCUGGGUGACGAAGAUGAUCUCGGUGGCGCGUGGGUGGGUGUGCGGCGGGUUCUGCCCUCCGACCGCGUAGUCGAUGCGCGCCAUGGACACGCCGAGCGUGUUCACCCCGGGGAAUGACUGCACGUUCGCCGCCGUGACGACCGACCCCGCCGGGUUGUUGGUGUUGCCGGCCUUCUUGAGACCGGCGAAGAAGAAGUCGUCCGCCGUGAUGUUCGCCUUGCACGGGAAGCCGUUGAUCUUGAUCGCUGCCGCAAACCAUGCAUUUGGACCAACACGCAGCGUCAGCAAAAGUCAGCGCACGGGAUGCAAGAGCGAGGUUGACAAACUACGAUGAACACAUAAUUUUGCAGGAUGACUCACGGGAUGCCAGGUCGGCGACGCAGACGUCCUGGAGCAUGUCGGGGUCGCCGGCGAGGGAGGGAGCGGCGAGCGCGAGGAGGAUGGCGCAGGCCGCUAGGACGGAAAGCUGAAGCCUGGCCAUGGUGAAUUCGUCAAUGCUUGCUUGCUAUCAGCUUGGUGGUAUAGCUUGGGUCUGGAAAUAGCAGAGGUAGGAGGUGGUACUUGUAGGCAAGGUGGUUCGCGUGUGGAACUACGGAUAGUAUCGCCAUUAUUCAAGGAGGGGUGGCUGCGACGAGGCGACAUGGCCGGAUGGGAGGGGCAUCCAAUUCCAUUAAUUUGGAGCCAAUUCAAUGGGGCUAUACUACUACUACUUGUUUAUGCGCUCCUUGCAGGCUACCAUGUGCCUUCUACACAUGCAUUUCUGAUCAGAUCCACGCUUCAUCCAUUACUAACACUAGGCGUAGGUAAAAUUGAUAAAUUUGAUUCAAAAGCCAAAGAAUUCCAUAAACCGUACCUAAAUAUAAGUCUUUUAAGAUAUUUCACUAGGUAUCUACAUACGAAGCAAAAUGAAUGAAUCUAUACUCUAAAAUAUGUUUAUAUACAUACGUAUGUAGUUCACUAGUUGAACCUCUAUAAAGACUUAUAUUUAGGAAGGGAGGGAGUACGUUUGAAAAAAUUUCACCCAGCCGACCCUUUUGUGUGACGUCUUUAUCUUAAACGUCACACUACACUGUGUGACGUCCGACACUACGUUGUGUGACGUCUGAGACCUAGUGUGACGCCUAAGACAUAAACGUCACACUACACUGUAUGACGUCACACGGUGUAGUGUGGCACCUGACUGUCGGACGCCACAUAAAAGGAUCAGCUGAGUGAAAAAAUUUCAAACAUAGUUUAGUUUGUGAAAUCCUUUAGGUCCUAGGUUAAAUUUAUCAAUUUUGCCCUAGGCGUAUGAUGCGUAUCCUCUCGGAAACUACACCCCUGUUUCGUGGGUAUGGAUCGCCAGGAACAAUGCAGGAUAGCACAUGCGACGGGUGGCAUAUCGAGUAGUUGCACAUGCUAGUUCGUACCGUUGGAUCUCAUACUCCUUCCUGAUUGAUGGCGAGUUGAGUUUCUGCUUCUGGGCGGUUGACCAGUGGAUAUAUUACCCCUUCCUGAUUGAUGGCAAGCCAAGCUAUCUCGGCCAGUAACCAAUUCCACUUGCGUCAGAGAGGAGCCAUUCUGGUCAAGGUCGUCAAUAACUCCAUCCUGAUUUUGCUACAGGCAAGGAGGAGGAGGAGGAUAACUUUUCAUGACUACUUCCUCCGUUUGUAAAUACUGGUCGUAGACAUGGAUGUAUCUAUAUGUAUUUCAAUUUUAAAUACACUCAUUUGUAUUUAAUUUUCAUGGUAAGUAAUUCCGAACGAAGGGAGUAUUUUGCUGGCGAGGCUGAGCUGGAACAGCCCUCCUACAGGGUAGAUUUGAUGUAUAGAAGUACGAAUUGGCGCUGGAAAUCAGGGUGCCCAACACCAUGCCCCAUAUGAGACUUUUUGUUUCUUGUGGGAAUAUUUUUAUCCGGGCUAAACCGAGCACUCAGCCACUGUCCAUAUUCAAAUAUAGCGGACGAAGCAGCAAGGGCGAGGGGACACUUAUGCCAAAGAAUCAGAUGCGGUCCCUCGUGGUUAGUCGUCACAGAGUAAAUCCGUAGCUGUCCGGCCGUCUCUACCACCGACGGCUUGCGUAUUUUUUUUCUUCUAUGAAUAGAUAAUAGAGAAAGUACUACUACAAGGUAAGGUACAACACACUACAUGAUGUUUGCUUACCACCAAAAGGAUACUCCUAGAGGCCAAGUGUGAAACUCUAGAAGUUUUCAAUGUGGUGUAUGAUGAUUUUACCGUCGAAUUUGAAGUGAGGUCAAAAGUUGAUGGUUUUCGAUGGGUGCUUGUGGCAGUUUAUGGAGCAGCUCAACAGGAGCUCAAGAAACUGAAUUUCUUUCAGAUCUUGUGAGGAUCAGUGGAAACGAAGGGCUGCCAAUUUUAGUUAGAGGAGAUUUCAAUAUCAUUCGGAGAAGAGAAAAAUAAUGAUGAUUUUCAUGCUAGAUGGUCAUACAUGUUUAACAUGAUUAUUGAGAGUCUUGACUUACGGAAAAAUGAACUCACCGGUAGACAAUUUACAUGCGCGAAUUCACUACCCAUCACGACGUAUGAGAAGCAAGAUCGGUGAGUGUUGAGUGGGAACAGACGUUUCCUCUUGUGACGGUCCAGGCUCUGCAGAGAGCAGUUUCGGAUCACACUUCACUCCUCGUCGACUCAGGGUAGGCGACACAUGUGGGCAAUAAAAGUGUCUUCUCUAUUGAAUUAGGAUGGUUCGAGAGAGAGGUAUUUUUGGACCUAAUAGCUAAUGAAUGGGCUAAAGAGACUGGAGGGACAUCUAGCAUGGAUAGAUGGCAAAAUAAAGUCAGGCAUUUACGCUAGUCCUUGAGGGGCUCGGCCAAAAAUCAAAGUGGGAUUUACAGAGUAUAAAAAGAAAGACUUAUUCAUCUUAUCAAAGAGUUAGAUCUGAAAGCUGAAGCAUCAGUUCUUAAUAGCUAUGAUCGGAGUAUUAAGUACGAGGCUGGGGAGAAGCUUCGUGCUUUAUUCAGAGAGGAAGAGAUUAAAUGGACACUGAGAGCUAAGGUGUCUACGGCCAUCCAAGGGUAUGACAACACACAAUUCUUCCACAUGAUCGCUAAAGGAAAGCGAAGAAAGAAGAAAAUAAUUCAACUCAAACAAGAUGAUGGUACAAUUGUAGAGCAUGAAAACCUGAAAUUGUAUAUCUCUGAAUAUUAUAAAAAACUGUUCAGAGCUCCCGAAGCUAACUCUAUAUCCCUAGAUGAAAGUGUAACAGAGGACAUUCCUCAACUCAAUAUAAAGAGAAUGGGAUGCUUUCGUCUCUGUUUACCGAGAAAGAGGUGUUUGACGCAAUCAUCCAACUGAAAACAGAACAAGGCUCCAGGACCGGAUGGGUUUCCAGCGGAGUUUUAUAAGAUGUGUUGGCAUGUCAUCAAACAUGAUGUUAUGCCCAUGUUCCAUUAUUUAUUCAAUGGGCAAUUAAAAUUAUUCCACCUAAACUUUGGGGCAAUUACAUUGUUACCAAAGGAGGGGGUUGUAUGCAUUAAGCAGUUCAGGCCGACUUGUUUGCUUAAUGUGUGUUUCAAUUGUUUUUACCAAGGUGGUAACAAAUAUGUUGACGCAGAUAGCCCAUUCGGUUGUACAACAGUCUCAUACAAGUUUCAUGCUAGAUAGGCACAUCCUAGAAGGGGUUGUGGUACUACAUGAAAAACUUCAUCAAAUUCACACCAAGAAACUCGAUGGAGUCAUCUUUAAGGUGGAUUUUGAGAAAGCCUAUGACAAAGUCAAAUGGCCUUUUCUCCAACAAGCUUACGUAUGAAGGGAUUCAAUGAAGCAUGUAGGAAACAGGUUGAUUCAUUUGUUCAGAAAGGUAGUGUUGGGAUAAAGAUGAAUGAUGACAUGGGUCAUUACUUUCAAACUCAUAAAGGUUUAACCCAGGGAGAUUCGAUGUCCCCCAUCUUAUUCAACAUAGUGGCUGAUAUAUUAACAUUUCUCAUAGGACGAGCUAAAGAGAACGAUAUAAUAGGAGGACUAGUACCACAUAUUGUGGAUGGAGUGGUUUCCAUCUUACAAUAUGCGGACGGUACGAUUAUUUUCAUGGAGCAUGACUUCGCAAAAGCUAGAAACAUGAAGUUGGUUCACUGUCAGUUUGAACAAUUAUCGGGACUCAGGAUAAGUUUUCAAAAGAGCGAAUUGUUCUGUUUUGGCCGAGCCAAGGAAGAACAAGAUGCUUACAGAAAACUAUUCGAUUGUGAGAUGGACUCCAUGCCGUUUAGUUAUUCGGGUAUACCUAUUCAUCACCGUAAGCUUACCAACAAGGAAUGAAAGUGCAUAGAAGACCGGUUUGAAAAACGACUAAGCUGCUGGAAAGGAAAGCUUAUGUCUUAUGAAGGUCGGCUAGUGUUAAUAAAUUAUGCGUUGACAAGUUUGUCGAUGUUUCUAUUACCAUUCUUCGAAGUACUAGUAGGGGUAGCGAAAAGACUUGACUUCUAUAGAUCUAGAUUAUUUUUGGCAAAAUGAUGAAAGUAAGACGAAAUAUAGACUGGCUAAAUGACACAUGAUGUGUAGACGCAAAGAUCAGGGUGGAUUAGGAAUUGAAAAUUUACAAACUAAAAAUAGAUGUCUUUUCAGCAAAUGGGUGUACAGACUCUCUGUGGAGGCAAAAGGUACGUGAAUACAAAUUUUGCGUAAUAAGUACCUACAAACAAAGUCCCUGGCUCAAGUUACAGUGAAACAUUCGGACUCACAAUUCUGGAAAGGCUUAAUGAGGACAAAAGAAGCUUUUUUCAUAGAGUCAAGUUUCACAUUGAGAAUGGUAACAAAAGCAGGUUUUGGAAAGAUGCGUGGUUAGGGGAGAUGCCCCUGGCUACACAAUAUCCAUUUUUAUAUAACAUCGUGGAACGCAAAGAGGCCUAUGUGGCUACAAUUUUGCAGACUGUCCGUAUGAAUAUUCAAUAUAGGAGAUCUCUGGUAGGGGAACGAUAGAGUGCGUGGCUCCACUUGGUACAUAGAUUGAUGGAAGUUCAACUUCCGGACCAACCAGACACAAUUCAUUGGAAAUUAACUACAAGCAGUAGUUCCUUCGACAAAUCAAUGUAUCUAGACCUUAUUAAUAACGGGCCAAUACCUACUUCUCCAUACAUUUGUAAAAUAAAAAUACCGCUUAAGAUUAAGAUCUUUAUGUGGUUUGUUCACAGAGGAGUGAUACUUACAAAAGAUAAUUUGAUUAAGCGAAGAUGGGUGGGUAAUUCUAGAUGUUGUUUUUGUGAUCUGUCGUGGGUAUAAGUCUGACAGUAGAUGUGUAGGGUACGAAAGGAUGGGCAGAGCCUUAGCUACGGCGAGGUUGUAUGAGUUCAGGCCCCUCUACGGUGGAGGUAAUAGCCCUACGUCUCAGUGCUCUGGGAGCNNNNNNNNNNNNNNNNNNNNNNNNNNNNNNNNNNNNNNNNNNNNNNNNNNNNNNNNNNNNNNNNNNNNNNNNNNNNNNNNNNNNNNNNNNNNNNNNNNNNNNNNNNNNNNNNNNNNNNNNNNNNNNNNNNNNNNNNNNNNNNNNNNNNNNNNNNNNNNNNNNNNNNNNNNNNNNNNNNNNNNNNNNNNNNNNNNNNNNNNNNNNNNNNNNNNNNNNNNNNNNNNNNNNNCCCUCCACAACGGUUCGGUGCACAGGGGUGGAGUAGUGGCGAAUAAAUGCCUACGUUACAGGUAACGUAUGUCUUGAAUGCUAAUAAAGGCACAUGGAAACGUACAACCAUUUCCCUCUAGGGGGGUUACGAUGCACAGAGUGGAAUCCAGUCGGUUAAUUUGUUACACUCCGAAUGCUCAUCUCCGACUGGAUGGUGGAGGAUUUGUUACCGACUGGAUGAUGGGAAGUCCAUAAGACAGUCGGAACUGACUAAGGGUCUUAUCCCUUAUGAAGGGUAGUCCUUGGGUAGGACUUAUAGGGCAGGCCUAUGACCCUAUCCUAGGACUAUAACCCCAUCAUUAGUCCCCGAAUGGAUUGGGGUUGGAACGACGAAGCGAUGUUUGAAGUAUGGAUCCGACUGGUACGGAUGCGACUUUGGCGCUGCUUGCCUUGAUCCAUUUUGUCUUCUUUGUCCAACGAUCCGAGUCGAAGUAUUUGUGAAGCGAACUGUCGGGAACCGAGUGCUUCCGUGGUAUCUUCUGACGUGACCAGUCAACUCACAGCGGCGGAUUUUCCGGGAUCCUCAAAUUUCGGUUGCCGCGCGCUCAGUGGGGAUGACGACAUCGCGCUCGAGUAGUACCUGACGCCUCGAUUUCGCCGCGACCGGUCGGGGGAUAAGAUUUCGGGGCCACUUGCGAGUGACCCAGUCGGAACCUUAUUUAAACCUCAGCGGCGAGGGUUUUUUCGUUACACUCGCCGGAUAACUUGCCUUUGCCUGCCCCACUUCUCUCGCCACCUCCUGCGCAUCCCAAGCUCCUUCCUUCUUCUUCUCCCUCGCGGAUCAGCAGCCUUCGCCAUGACAAAGGGGCAGACUAGCAAGCUAGAGGUGAAGAAGAAGAAGGGGAAGACGGCAGCUCCUACCCAGCGGCGGCAGCGCACGCUACCGGCGGGGUGGAUCCAGGGGGAUUUCCUCCCCUCCACGGUGACGGAGGAGAACCUGUUGGAGUUGGUGGAGCAUGGGAUGAUUGCGCACAAGUCGUGGAGGUUGCCGGUGGAAGGCGAGACCGAGUCGGCGCCCCGGGAGGGGGAGCGCGUCUUGCUGCUGAGCCAUGUGUACAGAGGUUUCUCUCUGCCUCCUCACCCCUUCUUCAAAGGUAUCAUGAACCACUUCGGGGCGCAGCUCCACCAUUUUCCUCCCAAUGCCAUAGCUCAUCUCUCUGCCUUCGUUGUGCUGUGCGAGUGUUUCAUCGGCUGUCCUCCCCAUUGGGGGGCUUUUCAAACAUAUCUUCUCUGCUAGAUCCCAGACCAUCAAACGGCUUAGCCAGUCGGAUGACAAAACCCACCUUCUCCAGCUCUGCGGAGGCUUAGGCUUCCAAAAGAAAAGUAAAAGUAGCUAUCCUGCUCUGUAGUUGAGUGAACCUAUUAGGAACUGGCAGUCGACAUGGUUCUACUGCCAGGACGUUGCUUGCCCGAAUGCUACCACCGGACUCCCCCCUUUUAGCUUAGACCGACCGGCUCCUCCUAGGCAGCUCGCGCUCACGAAGGCGGAGAAAACCCAGAUCCAGCCUCUGUUCGAUGCGCUUGUAGAGGUCGUCCGAAGGGGAGUCACUGGCAUAGAUUUAAUGGAGGUUUUCCUGGGUCGGCGUAUCCAGCCUCUGCAAGCUUGAGACCACGCCAUGUGGCAUUACACAGGGCCUGAGGACUCCACUCGGACUAACGUCGAGUGCGUGACCGGGGAGAUGGUGGCGUCGUGGGUCCUCAACAUCACCGGCGCCUGCGAAAACCCUAGAGGAGCUCGGCGAGUGAAGGCCUUCCGGGCGGGCAACCCUCCUCCAAACGCAGUGAGUACAACUUGUCGAGCGUACACAACUGUCUUAGAUUUAUUGCUUCCUUGAAUCACUGUCUGACGUCUAAUGUCGUCGACUGUAUCUUGUGCAGGAGUGGACUAACUGGUUUUCUCCCGUCUCGAAUGGGAAUCCGGCCGAGGAGGAGGAAGGCAGCCAGGAGGGCAGCGUGGAGAGCGGCGAGUACGUCUCCGACAGUGGGGAGACGGAAGAGGAGUCCGCAGAAGAAGAAGAGGCAGAUGAGGAGCAGAACUCACCACCUCCACCGCCAGAGCCUCGGACUAAGCGUCGUCAUGAACCUGUGGUUCCUCCAGCUCCUCCAGCAUCCUCAAGUGUGCCGCCAGCUCCGCCAGCUGCUCCUGUGGUACCGAGUGCUUCGCCAGCUGUUCCCGUGGCUCCGAACGUUCGGAGCACAAAGAGGACCAGGGACUCUGCUGCUGAACCUGUGGGUCAGCCCUCUAAGGUAGCUAAACCGAGUGGAUCUAAGCCUCGGAAGGCUCUGCCGCGGAUGAGGGUCACAGUUCCCGUCACCUCAACGUAAGUGCAUGGUUCUUCUAUCUUCUUCCGGUAUUUGAUUGAACUCCUGCUUAUUGGUCGAAUGAAUUUCACUCGACAGAGUUGCCACCUCUGCCACCUCUCCGGCACGCCAGGGGGACGAUCCCAUGGACAUGGACAACAUUGUCACAUCCCAGCCAGGUGCGUCAUAGCGAUUCCGAGAGUUUACAUUAUUGCAUCACGAAUUCUGUCUUUGGUCUUGCCUUUUUCCCUGUGAUCUCACGUCGUUCGGUCGGGUUUCCCUCAGGGGUGAUUUAUGUGGAGGAGGGCGACCAGGGGAGGUCUGAGCAAGCUGCGGUGCCUGUCCUUGAGGCUAUUCCGCCGGUUGCUACUCUCGCCAUGGACGCGCCGCCGACUGAGGCGAUGCUGUCGACUGAAACGACGUUGGUUGCUGCUGAACCGACUAGAGCAGGUCUUGGGAUGCCCAAGGAGCCUCCUACGAUGCCGGGCCCGUCGACUGUCGAGUACAACGUCCAGCGCCUCCUAGAAGAUCAGGUGGGAGCUGCCAAGGGGGCCGUGGUGCAGGCGGAGCUGAUGGCUGGAGAGGCCAAGAAGGCGUACGACUCCAUCGCGUCCUUGUACAAGCGAAGCUUGGAACUGCGGGACGAUAUCCGAGUAAGUGGGCUAGUAAGUAUUUACUUUCCUCUUGUAACCCACUGGGUGUGCUUGGAUAGCGUAUGAUUUUUUGCAAUGGGUUCACUCGUAGUGAACCCAGUGGGUGUAGUCCCCGAGACUUCUGUCGGGUGCUUGCACCGGCAGUUGUCUUUAUGCAUGUUCUUUAACUUGAUCAGAUCAAAAAUUAAUCUGUUCGAAUGUUAACAGUUGGGGCACUCGGAGUGCACCUACUGGAUGAGUCCCCGAGAGUAAUUUUACUCAGGUCGGGUAGUAGUAGCCUCAUAGGCUUAUUUGUUGUCAUGUAGCUCAAUAGGGCGGACAUGUUUGAGUUUCAUGCCAGUGGGGUCACUCUUAGUGAACCCACUGGGUGUAGUCCCCGAGACCACUGUCGACUGCUUGCGUCGACAGGGGUCUGAAGAACUUAGAAUUUUUAUUGUUGUCCUUGUUGAAUUUGUCUGACCGUCUCUUGGCGCUGACUUGCAGAAAACUUGCGAGAUGGGGACAGCGUAUGAGACUCUGAGGCUGAAAAGGUUCAGUUUGCUGGUGAACUGGAUGCAGCAAUGGUUGCAAUGGCUGGUAUGAAGGAUGUUCUGGUGGAACGAGAAAAGUCCUUGGAGCAGGCCCGUGAGGCAAACAAGGCAUUGACUGCUGAAGUGGAGAAAAUGGGGAAACAAAGGACGGAACUGAUGGGGCAGAUGAAAAUGUUGAACAGGCGGUGCAUAGCACAGGAAAAUUACGUCAGUGACUGGGCCCGGAAGAUGAUAGCGCUUCUCGGUGGUAAGUUCUAUUUUUCCGAGUGCUUGUGGACUGUGCAUUUCAUUCUGCGCUGACUGUUUGCUCGUCCUGUCUUUGCAGAUUUUUGCAUGGACGCGGAGGUUGAAGCGGCUGACGUUGAGCGGUCGAUUCUUGAGAACAUUCCACUCGGCGAGGACGCCAAUCGAGAUCUGCUCCGAGCGCACAUUCGCCUGGGCAAAGUUGGACCUUUCAUCGGUCGACUGAGAGAAGUCGUCGGCCGAAUUGACAAGGAGCUUUGGCCUGAAGACGAGUCUCGGCACGAGAUGGAAGGCUUGAUGACUCGGCUGGAGGAGGUCCCGAACCGAGUGCAGGCGUGGAAAAAGUCUGCGGCUCGCUGUGGUGCGGACGUCGCUCUGUCUUUGGUCCGAGUGCAUUGCAAGGAGGCGCGCAAAGAGAAGCUGAAGGCGUUGUAGGUCGCCAACACGAAAAAGCUUCGAUUCGAAGACUUCAUGGAGACCUUCCUUGAGAGCGCCACCCGCAUCACCGACGGGAUCGACCUCGACACGUUCGUAGAGCCUGCCAGUCCUGACGACGUUUGAGAAAACUUUUACCUCGGUAUGCCGAGUGUUGGUUGUAAGAAACUUUGGCCACUGUUGUUGGCCGCCACAUUCUUGGUUCGGUGUGGAUAAGCUUGAUCUACACCGAGCCAACUAUCCUUAGGUGAACAUUGAAUUUGAAUCGAAUCUUUUUCUCUUCUUUUGCCAAAGAGUUGUUGAUACGAUUUUGGCUCGUGGUGUUUGUUUGGCGUUUCUUGGUGAAGCCAAUGGCAAACAUGCGGAGCAUGUAAUUGUCAGUUGUCUUGACAUCUGCAUGAGCCUCACUGAGGGUCUGCUGAGUGUCCGAGUGGAUCUGUAGGAUACACUCAAAGGCAAUAGAGUACUUAGGCGAUUCGGGAUCGCGGCUAAGUCUUCGAGUGCGACUGUGAGGUCGUACUCGGAGCGAGUUGUUACUCAUGUAAUUGUCAGUGGUCUUGACAUCUACAUGAGCCUCAAUGAGGUUCUGCUACUCAUGUAAUUGUCAGUUGUCUUGACAUCUGCAUGAGCCUCACUGAGGGUCUGCUACUCAUGUAAUUGUCAGUGGUCUUGAGAUCUACAUGAGCCUCAAUGAGGGUCUGCUACUCAUGUAAUUGUCAGUUGUCUUAACAUCUGCAUGAGCCUCAAUGAGGGUCUGCUACUCAUGUAAUUGUCAGUUGUCUUCACAUCUGCAUGAUCCUCAAUGAGGGUCUGCUAAGCCUCCGAGUGGAUCUGUGAGAUACACUCAAAGGAAGCUUUCUUUUUAAGCGAUUCUUAAUCGCAGUUAAGUCCUCGAGUGUGACGGUUAGUGCACGCGUGGAGAAAAUUUGUACUUAGGCGAUUCUUGAUCGCAACUAAGUCUCCGAGUGCGACGUGAAGUGCACACUCGGAGAAAGUUAAUACUUAGGCGAUUCUNNNNNNNNNNNNNNNNNNNNNNNNNNNNNNNNNNNNNNNNNNNNNNNNNNNNNNNNNNNNNNNNNNNNNNNNNNNNNNNNNNNNNNNNNNNNNNNNNNNNNNNNNNNNNNNNNNNNNNNNNNNNNNNNNNNNNNNNNNNNNNNNNNNNNNNNNNNNNNNNNNNNNNNNNNNAAGUGCACACUCGGAGAUAGUUUGUACUUAGGCGAUUCUUGAUCGCAGCUAAGUCCCCGAGUGCGACGUGAAGUGCACACUCGGAGAUAUUUAGUACUUAGCCGAUUCUUGAUCGCAGCUAAGUCCCCGAGUGCGACAUUUAGUGCACACUCGGAGAAAGUCAAUACUUAGGCGAUUCUNNNNNNNNNNNNNNNNNNNNNNNNNNNNNNNNNNNNNNNNNNNNNNNNNNNNNNNNNNNNNNNNNNNNNNNNNNNNNNNNNNNNNNNNNNNNNNNNNNNNNNNNNNNNNNNNNNNNNNNNNNNNNNNNNNNNNNNNNNNNNNNNNNNNNNNNNNNNNNNNNNNNNNNNNNNNNNNNNNNNNNNAGUGCACACUCGGAGAAAGGUAGUACUUAGGCGAUUCUUGAUCGCAGCUAAGUUUUUUUUUUGAGACCGGAGUCUGCGACCGCGGAAGAAUUUUGAAUCUGCAAAAACUCGAUCUGCUUUGUAUUAUUUCACCAAUACUUGUUCUUUACAUUGCUUCAGUCGACGGUCACGUGUAGAAGCGCUUCAGGAGAUCUCCGUUCCAUGCUUGCGGCUCGUCUGUUUCCCUGUCGAUGUUGUAGAGUCUGUAUGCUCCGUUGUUCAGCACCUUGGAGAUGAUGAAGGGUCCUUCCCAGGCGGGAGCCAACUUGUGAGGUCUUUGCUGAUCCACCCGGAGCACCAGGUCGCCUGCUUGGAAUGUACGACUCCUGACGUGUCGCGCGUGAAAGCGCCGCAGAUCUUGCUGAUAAAUGGUUGAGCGAGUGAGUGCCAUCUCGCGCUCCUCCUCUAGAAGGUCCACUCUGUCUUGCCUUGCUUGUUCUGCUUCAGCUUCGGAGAAGAGUUCGACUCGUGGAGCAUUGUGAAGCAAGUCACUCGGAAGGACCGCUUCUGCUCCGUAAACGAGGAAGAACGGGGAUCGCCCCAUAGAUCUAUUCGGGGUUGUGCGGAGACCCCAAAGCACUGAAGGUAGCUCGGCGACCCAUGCGCCAGCGGCAUGUCCCACCUCUCGCAGGAGCCGGGGCUUCAAACCUUGUAGAAUAAGUCCAUUCGCCCGCUCUGCUUGUCCGUUUGUUUGAGGAUGCGGCACAGAUGCAAAAUCCACUAGGAUACCUUGGCUUGCACAGAAACCUUUGAAUCUGUCCGAGUCAAAGUUUGUCCCGUUGUCCGUGAUUAUGCUGUGAGGUACUCCGAAUCUGGAGAUGAUGUCCCUGACAAACUUGAUGGCUGUUAGGGCGUCGAGCUUCUUGAUGGGCUUGCCUUCAAUCCAUUUUGUGAACUUGUCGACUACCACCAACAGAUGUGUGUAUCCCCCUUGGCCUGUCCUGAAUGGACCGACUGUAUCUAAUCCCCAUACUGCAAACGGCUAAACAGGAGGGAUUGUCUUCAACGCAGAUGUUGGCUUGUGGGACUUGUUGGAAUAGAAAUGAUAGCCUUCACAUCGGUCGACCAUAUCUUUAGCCAUUUCGUUCGCCUGCAGCCAGAAGAAGCCAGCUCUGAGUGCUUUGGCGACGAUUGCUCUUGAAGAGGCGUGAUGACCGCAGGUUCCCGAGUGAAUUUCUUCCAGGAUUAAUUGUCCUUCCUCAGGGAAGAUGCAUCGUUGAAGAACGCCUGAAACGCUUUCCCUGUACAACUGGCCAUCAAUGACAGUGAACGACUUUGACCUGCGGACGAUCUGCCUGGAUUGGACUUCGUCUUCUGGUAAUUCCUGCCUCCGGAUGUAUGCAAUGAUCGGCAUAGUCCAAUCGGGGAUAACAGCAAGAACCUCCAUGAUCAAAUCAACCACAGCUGGUACGUCGACUUCAGUCGGAUCUGUCAAGCUCUUUGGUUGUACUGGUUCCUCUGUGAAAGGAUCUUCUUUAACUGCGGGGAGGUGGAGGUGCUCGAGGCAGACGUCACUCGGGACUGGUCUCUGAGUGGACCCGAGUUUUGCCAACUCAUCAGCCGCUUGGUUCUUCAGUCGCGGAACAUGGUGGAGUUCUAGACCUUCAAACUUCUUCUCGAGCUUCCUCAAUGCAUUGCAGUAUGUGGUCAUGGUGGGGUUCCUGACGUCCCACUCUUUCAUCACUUGAUUAACCACCAAAUCCGAAUCGCCAUAGACCAUCAGGCGACGGAUGCCGAGUGCGAUGGCCAUGCGCAGUCCAUAAAGGAGAGCUUCAUACUCUGCCUCAUUGUUGGAGGAAUCAAAGUGUAUCUGCAGCACAUACUUGAGUUUGUCGCCCUUAGGUGAUAUGAUCACAACGCCAGCGCCGGAGCCGUUCAACAUCUUGGACCCAUCGAAGAACAUUGUCCAAUGAGCCGAGUAGAUGUGGGUCGGUUGCUGUUGUUCUACCCAUUCUGCUAUGAAGUCCGCCAGAGCUUGAGACUUUAUAGCUUUCUUGGCCUCGAACUUGAUGUCGCAGUACAACAUCUCCAUUUCCCACUUCGCCACUCGGCCUGAUGCGUCCCGAUUGUGGAGGAUUUCCAACAACGGAGCAUCAGAAACGACGGACACCGAGUGGUCUUGGAAAUAGUGAGCCACCUUCUUCGCAGUCAUGUAAAUCCCGUAGAAAAGUUUUUGAUAGUGGGGAUACCUCUGCUUGGAAGGAGUCAGGACUUCGGAGACGUAAUACACUGGCCGCUGAACUUUGUAUGCUUUUCCUUCUUCUUCUCGUUCGACUGUGAGAACAGUGCUGACGACUUGAUUUGUAGCCGCGAUGUACAAAAGAAGGGGCUCUUUACUGAGCGGAUCAGUAAGAACCGGCUGGGUGGAAAGUAGGACUUUGAGGUCGUCGAGUGCAACUUGGGCUUCAUCUGUCCACUCGAAAGUAUCUGAUUUCUUCAUGAGUCGGUACAGAGGAAGUGCUUUCUCGCCGAGUCGACUGAUAAACCUGCUCAAAGCCGCUAGGCAACCUGUGAGCCGUUGAACAUCGUGUAUUCUGACCGGCCGCUCCAUUCGGACGAUUGUCCCGAUCUUUUCGGGGUUGACAUCGAUCCCUCGUUCAGAAACGAAGAAACCGAGUAACUUUCCGCUAGGAACGUCGAAUGAACACUUGGCGGGGUUGAGCUUGAUAUCGUACCUACGAAGGUUGGCGAAUGUUUCUGCCAAGUCAGUCAGCAGGUCGGAACCUUUGCGUGACUUGACUACGAUAUCAUCCAUAUACGCCUCCACAUUCCGACCGAUCUGGUCGAGGAGGCAUUUUUGGAUCAUGCGCAUAAAGGUUGCUCCUGCAUUCUUCAAACCAAAUGGCAUAGUGAUGUAGCAGAAGCACCCGAAUGGGGUGAUGAAGGCGGUUUUUAAUUCAUCGGGGCCAUACAGACGGAUCUGAUGAUAGCCCGAGUAGGCAUCAAGAAAUGACAAAGCUCACAACCCGCAGUCGAAUCGACAAUUUGAUUGAUGCGGGGGAGCGGAAAAUGGUCUUUCGGGCAGACCUUAUUGAGAUGCUUGAAGUCGAUGCACAUUCGGAGCGACUUGUCCUUCUUGGGCACCAUGACAACAUUGGCGAGCCACUCGGAGUGGUGUACCUCGCGAAUGAAGUUGGCUACCAAAAGCUUGGCCACUUCUUCUCCGAUUGCCUUCCUCUUGUGCGCGGCGGACCGUCGCAGGCGUUCUCGAACAGGUCGAGCGGUGGGAUCCACAUGCAGUCGGUGCUCAGCCAACUCCCUGGGUACACCUGGCAUGUCAGAAGGCUUCCAUGCGAAGAUGUCCCAGUUCUCACGGAGGAAUUGGAUGAGCUCGGCUUCCUAUUUAGGAUCGAGGGUGAUGGAGAUGUUCGUCGGGGCAGCGGUGUCGUCUGUCGGGUGGAUGCUGACCUUCUUCGUCUCUUCCGCCGACUGGAAUGCGGACUCCGAAGCUGGCUUCUUCGAACGCAUCAAGUCAGCGGGGUCGACCGUUUUCUUGUACUCGUCAAGCUCGAGGAUAGCCAUCUGUUGAUCGGCGAUUCUUGAUCCCUGCUUCAGACACUCCUCGGCCCGCUGUCGAUUGCCUGUGAUAGUGAUCACACCUUUCAGGCCUGGCAUCUUUAGAUUCAGGUACACGUAACAUGGGUGGGCCAUGAAACGCGCAUACGCCGGGCGGCCCAGAAUUGCGUGGUAAGCGCUCUGGAAGUCCACCACCUCGAACGUCAGCUUUUCCUUGCGGAAGUUCUUGUCGGAGCCGAAAAUGACGUCCAACGCGAUCUGGCCGAGUGACUUGGCCUUUCGUCCAGGGACGACUCCGUGGAACUGCAUGCUGCUCUCGCUGAGUUUGGACAUCGGAAUGCCCAUCCCCUUGAGAGUGUCAGCGUACAUGAUGUUCAAACCACUGCCGCCGUCCAUGAGGACUUUGCGCAGUCGAACUCCUUCCACCACCGGGUCGACGACCAGAGCUUGCCUCCCUGGGAUGGGCACGUGUGUUGGAUGAUCUGACUGGUCAAAGGUGAUCGCAGUCUGAGACCAUUUGAGGAACUUGGGGUUGGUCGGCGUGGCCAUGUUCACCUCCCUGUUCACCAGCUUCAGUCGGCUCUUGCUCUCAACGUCAGCAAAAAUCAUCAGUGUUGCAUGGACUUGGGGGAACGGAUCCUCCUUAUCCUCCUCAUCCUGUUCAUUGCCUUUUUCACUCAGUUGCCCUUUGCCGAACCCCUGAAGCAGGAGGCGACAUUGCCGAGUGGUAUGCUUCGGAUAUAUGGCGUUGCCCUCUUCAUCCAUCUUCGUGUGGAUCGGACAUGGCUGGUCCAGGAUGGGGUUGUUGAACUGCUUCUUCUUGGGGGUGAACUGAGCCUUCCCUUUGCCCUUGAACUUGGCAUUGGUAAGAACUGCGACUUCUGCCUGCGGAGUGGGCGGAGCUUUCUGCUUCUGCUUCCGAGUGUUAUUCCCAUCUCCAUCGGCGACUGUUUUGUGCUUGCCGCUACAGAUGCGGUCCUCUUCUUCGCCAUUUGCAUAGCAUGCUGCUAUCUCCAUCAUCUUGCUCAUGGAGAUGUCGCCUGUUCGACCGAACUUCAGGUACAGAUCCUGGUACCGCACACCUGCCUUGAAGGCGCAGACUGCUUGGUGUUCUGUGACGUUCUCCACCGUAUGGUAGAGGGUCGUCCAACGCUGAAUGAAAUCGCGCAGGGGCUCAUUCUGCUUCUGGACACAGUGCUGGAGCUCCACGAGGCCAGCAGGGCGCUUACACGUCCCUUCGAAGGUCCUGACGAACACUCGGGCCAGAUCUCCCCAGCUGUAGAUGCUUGAGGGGGCCAAUUGGGUCAGCCACGCUCGCGCCGAGCCGUCGAGCAUCAGAGGGAGGUGCUUCAUGGCGACGUGGUCGUCCCCUCCUCCGAUCUGGACUGCCACUCGGUAGUCAUCCAGCCACGUUUCUGGCUUAGACUCUCCUGUGAACUUGCUGAUCCCCGUCGCCAAUCGGAAUUUGGGAGGGAUGUCAGCCGAACGGAUGGUCCUGCUUCCACUCGGACGGUCAAUAUCGUGACCAUCGCGGUGGGCUCGGCCCCUGUCGACCCUUCACUGGGCGAUAUGCCCUCUCGCGUCGGGCCUUGGAUCGUAAGUGUCGCCGACUGAACGCCGAUCAUCAUGAUGUCGGGGCCCGUAGGGCCCACCCCGCGGAGGGGUGCGUGAACGGCAACGAUCUUCGGGGUUCAUGGAACGGCUGCCUCCCCUGGGUCGCUGAUGAGAACCAGGGCUGUGAACUGACCGAUGCGUGUUCGCAUGGACAGAACUAUUGUGGAUCAUGUUGUGCGACUCGGAGACCGCCGAGUUUUGCUGCUGCGCCGUGUGCAACAGGGCGCGGAUUUGCUCGAUCCCCCUGCCAGCCUCUGAAUCAGUCGGCUGAAGGGAAUCGACUAUCUUGGCAGCGGCAGCCAAGUUGAGGAUGGGUGUGCGGAACAACUCCACGUUGCUCCGCCGAGUGUGCCGGCUGGCAGAACGGCGAGGUGGACGGUGAGCGCCGGAUGUUUCGCCGAUCUCGUGCUCGUUCCGGCUAGUUUGGCGGGGACUUUCGUGGGAGUUGGCCAUGUGUACUUCUGCUGCAGGCCCGCGACCCAAGUACUCGGAAGGAAACUCAGUCGGAACCGAGUCCCAGCGCUGGGACGGCGGGGCAACCACAACUGACUCUAGGACCGCCACUUGUGAAGAUGCGUUCUGGCGCGCCGGUGCGUGUUGCACCCAACGCUGGAGCCGCGGAUGGCGGGACCGCUUGUUGCGGCGCGUGACGGUGGUGUAGGUCGACACCGGAGCCGACUGCUGGAGAAGAAGAAUGCCGCGGGCGCCGGCACGGAAAUGCGAAGCUCCGCGACGGGGAAGCGGCUCGACGUCGAGAGGGGCGUCCCGAAGCCAUGCUGAAUCAUCGACGAUGAAGGAGAGAGCACCGAAGAGGAUCUCGUGACCCAUGCUCGAAUCUCCACCGAAUGACAUGACGAAAAGAUGUAGUCGCAAACUCGCCGGAAGUCGCUUAGACGCCUGCCCCACGGUGGGUGCCAACUGUCGUGGGUAUAAGUCUGACAGUAGAUGUGUAGGGUACGAAAGGAUGGGCAGAGCCUUAGCUACGGUGAGGUUGUAUGAGUUCAUGCCCCUCUACGGUGGAGGUAAUAGCCCUACGCCUCAGUGCUCUGGGAGCNNNNNNNNNNNNNNNNNNNNNNNNNNNNNNNNNNNNNNNNNNNNNNNNNNNNNNNNNNNNNNNNNNNNNNNNNNNNNNNNNNNNNNNNNNNNNNNNNNNNNNNNNNNNNNNNNNNNNNNNNNNNNNNNNNNNNNNNNNNNNNNNNNNNNNNNNNNNNNNNNNNNNNNNNNNNNNNNNNNNNNNNNNNNNNNNNNNNNNNNNNNNNNNNNNNNNNNNNNNNNNAGUGCGCUACCCUCCACGACGGUUCGGUGCACAGGGGUGGAGUAGUGGCGAAUAAAUGCCUACGUUACAGGUAAUGUAUGUAUUAAAUGCUAAUAAAGGCACAUGGAAACGUACGACCGUUUCCCUCCAGGGGGUAUGAUGCACAGAGUGGAAUCCAGUCGGUUAGUUUGUUACACUCCGAAUGCUCAUCUCCGACUGGAUGGUGGAGGAUUUGUUACCGACUGGAUGAUGGGAAGUCCAUAAGACGGUCGGAACUGACUAAGGGUCUUAUCCCUUAUGAAGGGUAGUCCUUGGAUAGGACUUAUAGGGCAGGCCUAUGACCCUACCCUAGGACUAUAACCCCAUCAUGAUCACAAUGAGACUAUUAAACACUUUUUUCUCCAGUUUCCAUUGGCUAGACUUCUACGCUUACUAUUCAUGUAGCCUUCAAUAUAAACCCUCCAAUAAGUAUGAACACAUUAUUUGGGACGUGGCUUAAUGGAGUGGACGUUAAUUUAUCUAGAUAAAUUCAAAUAGAAAUUUGUGCAAUGCUUUGGGCUAUAUGAAACUGCAGGAGUGACAUGAUAUUUAAGAGGAAGAACGUCGCCAAUUUCUUGCAGGUUAUCUACAGAGCUACCGCAUGGAUCCGUACAUGGUCGUUACUCACACAUGUGGAGUCCAGGGAGCUUUUGGUUACUAGGUGCAACUAGUGGGAGACGACAACAUGGAUUAUCUUCAACCGAUAUGGAUGACGGCAAACUAAUAGGGUAGGUGUUUAGCCAUCGUAGCCUGCUUUUAUCAUGCCACAUUGGCAUGUAUUUUCCUUUUAUUUUCAGCUCUUUGAGCUCCACUUUGGAUACUAUAGUUUCGGUGAACUUUUUUGGCUUAAUAAAAUGGCAGCAUGUAUCAUCAUGAUGCAGAGGCCCGGGAGCAUCCCCUUUAUUUAAAAAAAAACUACAUGAUACAAGAAGACAUGAACAUAGUACUCGGAGCAGACAGAAAAGGAAUACUCAGCCCAAACAAUUGACACGCAUGUGAGCGCGCGCACACACACUGCUAAACCCGUCUAGCCUCCCCUUCACCUAUACAGGGUAAGGAGAUGCGGGUUCACGAGACCCAGACCGCAUCAAGACUAACACGAGGCACCACAACCGAGCGGCCACGACUCAAUGCUCAAUUACAUAAACGUACAUCCGUCUAAACCGCCAAGAGAUCGGCGAGUAAGUAACAGGACCUGGCCAGGCCGGAGGCGGAAGCCCACGUAAACAUCGCCGAGGACAUGCAUAGGGCCCAAAAUGUCCAUGCCUUGAUAGGCGGCCCACCUUUACAUUUUCUCCAAAAUAAAUGCCCAAAUUUUGAAAUUACAUGAACAUUUAAUAAAGCAUUGGAAAUUUUAGAAGUUAUUCAAACCUUUUUGAAAAAAUACAAUAUAAUUUUUUGAAAGAUGAAAACACCUUUUGAAAUUAUAUGAACUUUUCAAAAAUUUGUGACAACUUUUCAAAUCACACAUAAUUUUUAAAUACGUAACUUAUUUUCUUACUUACUAAAAAAGAAAUAACGGCUUUCAUUUUUUUUGAACUUUCAAAAAGACCAUGAAAUUUAUAAAUAGUCAAUACGGUUAAAUAAUUUUCAAACAUUUUAGAAAUAUUCACACAUUUGAAAACUGUUCAAUUAUUUUGUAACAAAAUCAUUCACGCAAAAAAAGGGUUCAUAUCCGUAAAAUCUUCAUGAUCAAGGGAAAAAAUAAAUAAAAUUUUGCAUUAAAAUAAUGAAAAUGAGAAAAAAGUAAACAUUACUAGGGAAAAAGAAAAAUAAUAUAGUAUAAACGAAAUAAAUCCGUCUUACAUGGUACAAAACGACAGGAAAAACACGUCAUGUACAAAACCAUGGAAACCGAGAGAGAUCCAAAGAAAACAGUUUUAGCGGUGAGGUGCGAGAUGAGAGAAAGAACAGAGAAAAGCUUAAUGGGAUGGCUGCCCGAUUUCUUCAAUUUUGCUAGUCCCCAUUGCUACAAGUUCGCAUAAGUGUUCCUCUGUUUUGAAUGCAACAGAUUUUUUUUUCUUUUGAGAAAUGAAUGGACCGGAACAAGAAAUAAGUUUGGACCCUGCGCCAGGAUAUGCGAAUAUACCUCGCCUGACGCGAAGAUGGAAACCAGGCUCGCCCGUGCAGCGCCGUCACAUUGGGACAGGCGGGCCGCCAGGAGGCUAUAUAAGACUCACUGCUCGAUUUGUUCAACAAAACGUACACUUUUCUUAGUGGCUGGAGCUAAUUAAUGCCGUGCGGCCAUGAUCGAAUCCGGCAGUGUACAUUUUUUUUUAAAUAGUAAUACAUUCAGCAAAAUUUAAAAAACACCUUGCAUAAUUUUAAUAAAAAUACUAAGCAAACAUUUCUAAAAAGUUAAAUGUGCAUAAUUGUUUUUUCAUGUAUACAGAAAAUAUACAAUGUGUAUGAAAAAAGUUCAUCAUGUAUUUAAAAUAUAUGUUCAUUAAGUAUUUCAAUAAAAUUAAUGAAUCAUUAGGAAAUGAUAAAUGUGUGUGGGCAAAACUAUUUUCUUGUAUACGAAAAACAUAUAAAAAAUAUAGGUUUGUUAAAUUUUUUAUCACGUACUAAAUAUUUUUUCCCAGAAGAAUAUACUAUCUCCGUCCGAAAAUACUUGUUAUAAAAAUGGAUGUUUCUAGAUGUAGUUUAGUUGUAGAUACAUCAAUUUUUAUAUAUUUGUGCGACAAGUAAUUCCGAAUGGAGGGAGUACUCACUUUUUAUAAAACAUGUAUAAACAUAUGUCCGGAUGUAAAACUGUACAAUGGGUAUGCAAAUAAUAGACACAAAAAUAUACUCUAUUUAGAAAACAUAUGUUUGUAAAAAAUAAAUCAUGUAUCUGAAAAAUAUUCACCAUGUACACAAAAAAUAUUUCCUGUAUUUGAAUAAAAAUUAUAACAUGUGUAAGAAAUGUUCCUUUUCUAUAUGAAAAGAGCAAGAAAAACCCAUAGAUAACCGAGAAAGACAAACAAAACAAAACAAUGAAACCUGAAAAAAGAAAUGAAAGAAAAAACCCAGAGGAAACCAAGAAAGGAAAAGAAAUCAAAGUAUGACAAAAAGAAAAAGUGAAAAACAAGCGGAUAAAAUCCAGUGAAAUCCGAAAAAAGAAAUAACGAAAGCAAAUAAAUCAUAGAAAAAAAUCUAGUAAUACCAAGAAAGAAACAAAGAAGACUAUUGAAAAGAACAAAGUAAACCUAUAAAAAAGGAUAACCAUGAAGAAAACAAAGAAAACCAAAAGAAAAACGAAAAAAAAAUAGCAAAAAACAAAAAAAAUCUGGAAGGAAACCUGACUGCACUAUCAGCGGCCAACCCACCGAGUGGGGUGAGCCAGCGACCCCGGUUAAAAUGCGGAGAGCGAAAUAUUCAGGUGGCAUAUGCCUCGCUAUAAGUGCGAUAUAGGGCGUGGCAAGGGCACAAGGGCGACAAUCUACUAGACAAAAAGGAGAUGCCAACGCAGUACAUAUGUAUACGGAUACAGGGACAUGGUAUAUUGUGAGAUUUUAUUUUUUAUGAUAAUAUGUGUCUCAUUGAUAUUAUAAAAAUAAAAAUACAAGUUACGUAUACCAACAUGACAAAACUAAAAAAAUAACAGAACAUCUCUAAGUUUGACACCAACAUAUGUCGCGUACCUCUGACACUGUCAUAGCAGCCACCAAAGAAAAGAAUGGCGAAUCACCUCCUCAACCAAGCUCGACGCGAUUCCAUCGCUUACAUGCAACUUUGCGGACCUUGAAGGUGACUUAUCAAAAGUGAAGCCAUGAGGCUGGUUGUAACGGGGAGUGUCAUAUACUAGUAUCAUGCAUAUGAUAUUAGUGUAUGAUAGUACAUCCGUAAUGCAUAGUAGCAUGUCCUACUAUCAUAGGACAGUUUAUUUAUUGUCAUGCAUGAUACAUAGUAGUACAACAUUUAAUAUGAUAUGAUAUCAUAAUAUGAUGUUUAAUAUUUUUUUCUUCAUUUAAUUCUAUGUCAUCUCAUCAAAUAUGGCUAGUUUGAUACUACUACUUAUAAUACUUUCAUUAUGACUAGCCUUAUCGUUGAACGAAUCAGACCAGGAUAACACCUCGAACACGCCAUCAAACUUCACAUAUGACACCCCACCGAAAGAUAUAUCUUGCCUAGAAUCAUAUUUAUCAUGUACGUAGUACUCCCUUCAUCUGGAAUUACUUGUCGCAGAAAUGAAUCUGUCUAGACACAUAUUUACUUUUAGAUAUAUCAAUUUCUAUCCAUUUUUACGACAAGUAAUUUGGGACGGAGGGAGUAGAUACCAACCUUUUUAUAGAUCAGAUAUAUACCAACUAAACACCAACUAAACACGUGCACAUGCUAGAUCGGCCGGCCCUUUACGAGGUUUGUCUGUGUGUUUUUCCAGCCGGUUUGGGGAAGUUCUAGAACCUUCCUUAAACUGAACUUUCUCAACAUUUUCUGUGUUUUCCCUUUUUUCAGCUGUUUAUACCAAUUUUUUUUUUUUUUUGGAUUUUGAUUUUUUCAAUUCUCAAACAUUAAUAUUGUUUAUCUUUCUGUCCUCUUCUUUUAUUUUUUUUCCCAUUUUAAUUUUAGAAGAAAUUUGUAAUUCACAUACAUUUCUGUAUUCAUGAACUUUUUUGAAAUUCUUAAAAAAAUUCUAAAACUCACGAAUAUUAUUUCAAUUCAUGAACUUUGUUUGAAUCGACAAACAUUUUCUGAAAUUUGGGAACAAUGUUGUAAAUUUGUGUCCAAUUUUUGAAAUACAUGAAUAUUUUUUAACAUGUCCGGGAAUCAUCAACACGACGACCGCCUAUAUCAACUUUGUCGUCUUCAUCAACAUCUUCAUCAAUUUUUCUGUCUAUUCAACAGUUCUCUCUCCCAGAAUCCUCUGUAAUAUCCUACUUAAACAUGGUGUUGGAUAUUGUUAAUUAUUAUAUGAUGAUUUCUUGUGUCUUCUAUAGGUUUGAGUAGAUUAUUUUUGUCAUAUGGGUUAAUUGAUGAACUGUUGUGAUUGGUUUGAGUUUCAUGUUGUCCUUUGAUACCCAUCAUAUGAGCGCUCACGUUGAUGGCACUCUAGGGUUUGUUCUAUGUUGAUACGACUAUGCAUACGGUGGCUGAAGUGACCAGAACCUCGCCACACUAUUGAAAUUAAUGCAUAUGGAAUUGAAGGGGACCAAUAUAUCUUACUGUUAUGGUUGGGUUUACCUUAACGCGCGUGUUAGCAUUUGCAGAUGCUUACUAAUGGUUUCAAUCAGAAGUACAUAUGAUUAAACAUGAAAAAUAUAUUCCUAGAGGCCUCUCCCACAUAUAAAGCUGUGAUGAUAAUAAUCGGUCUAGUAACUUAGUCAAUUGUCCAGGACGAUGAUAAUAAAUUGUGUCUCGAUCUCUAUAGUGCUUUGGAUACUUUGGAAUUUUUGACACACGGAACAUGAGAAACAUAUCCAUUUCAUGUCCUUCUCAAUCUAUCUCGAUUGGCUGCUUCCAAAAAUCCUGACAACCUAUCCAUGAACCCAUUGCUCAAACUGUUCUUGCAAACAUCCAAGCUCGAUCCACAUCCGCAACAUAACAAAAGUACCACAUUAAUAACCUGCUAUUACAAAAUUAUACGUGCAUCAUAAUUAUAUUAUUAACACAUUAGCUAGCACAUCUAUUUUGUUUACUUUGCAUAUUAACUUUGUCUUGUGAAUUUUUUGUGAAUUUUGCCCAACCUUGUGAGUCAUCCAUUUCAAAUUAUUGACCGGCGGCAACACUCCCUCUCGAAAUGGUGCCCGACAAAACCCCUCCAUAUCGAUUCAGCAACAACUUCCCCCCUCUCAAAACAAUGACUAGUGACAACCUUGCACCUUAGGUUUGUGAUAAGCAGGAGCAAUCAUCCCACUAAACAGGGCAUCAAGUCAAUGGACAAAUCUCACACUGAACUCAUGGUUAGUGACAUGGUAACAAACAUUCCAGGUAGUUUCCAAAUAGCAACCCAGUUUCAUUUUAUAGUUGUCUGCAGUAAGGUUGCUCGUAAUGAGAGUAUCAUAGUUAGUAUAAUGCAUGUCAACUAGGCAAUUUUGAUGUGCUCACAUAAAAUUAAAUGAAGAAAGAUAAGAUUGAACAUUAUAUCAUGGUACCAUAUCAUAAUAAAUAUUGUACUACUAUGUGUCUUACAUGAUAUUAAGUAAAAUCAUCUAUGAUACCAGCAAUAUAAAUAUAAUAUUAUAUAUUAGUAUCAUAUGCAUAUGCAUGAUACUAAGAUAUUAUACUACUCCCUCCGUUUCAAAAUAUAAGUCUUUUAUGAGAUUGCAUUAGGGACUACAUACAAAUAUAUAUAGACAUACUUCAAAGUAUAGGUUCACUCAUUUUGCUUUGUAUGUAAUCUGAAAUCUGUAAAAAGACUUAUAUUUAAAAAACGAAUGGAGUAGUCACUAGCAACAGCCUAAACAAGUAUUACAGGCGGUUUCCAAACUACAUGCAAUUACUGAUCAUGGGGAGCAAUGUACUCCUCUAGUCGUCUUGUUGAUGGAAAAAAUAUUUACAAUCAAAUUAAUCAGUGUGAAUGUUGAUGGAAAUUUGUGUUGGUAAUUACAGCGAGAAAUUAAAGAAGCAGGGCAAUGUGCUCCUCCUGGCGUCGACGAUCAGCGUGACGAAAUCAGCAAGGGUAAUACGCCUUGAGGUGCGCUUGUAAGCAUGGCGAGUCCUUCCAAACCCUAGCGUGCAUCUUGAGCAGCUCCUUGGCCUUGGCCCUGGCCCGCUCGCCGGCAUCCACCUGUAGAACCAGCAGCAGCUUGGCGACCACCCCGACGGCCAGCAUCUCCUGCAGCACGGCCGGCGUCGGCGAGUGCCUAGCCACGGCGUGCAGAGCGCGCACCGCGCUCUCGGUGGUGGUCGGUGACACCCGCAUAGCCUUCUUGGCCACGACGGCCAGCCCUGCCGGGUGCGCCACAAGGUCCGACCGCCCCUCCGCACAGCCGCAGAGGUGGUCGAUGGCCACCACCGCCAGCUCGGUGGGGUGCCGGCCGCCUUCGUCGAGGAGCAGCUCCACCAGCACAGUCACCGCGCCGGCCUCGACGGCCUUGACACGGUUGCGGCCCCACGGACAUAGCCGGCACAGCACGUUCAGCGCCGCCUUCACCGCCUUGGCGGACACCCUGUCAGACACCACGCGUACCACCUCCUGCACCAGCUCGGUUCUCACCGUCAUCAGCCUCGCCGGCUCCAUGACCGACACCAUCGCCUUCAGCAGGAUGAUGCCGUAACAGCGGGACCGGUAGCUCGGUCGCCGCAGCAUGCACACCAGGGUGUCCAGGAAGUCUACGUUUUUCUCGAGGAUCCGGAGCAGGCUCUUCUUGGACGGCUUGAGCGAGCAGAUGACGCUGAGCGCGUCCUCCUCCGGCGAGCUCGUGGACGUCGGGGAAUCCAGCGAAAGUUCUAGCAAAUCUUGAGCCGACUUGGACGUGGUGGCAUGGUUCGUGACGACGGAGACGAGGAACUCGACGGCGCCGGGCGUGGCCUCGACGCAGCGCCUGUUGCGAUCGCUCUCGGCGACGAUGGCCUUGAUCUCGCGGAGCGCGGCCAGCUCCUGCUGCCGGCCGGCACCGUGACCCUCUUGGACGAUCUCGGCGACGCGGCUGGUGUCGAGGGGCGGGCGCGGGGUGGGGAAGCGCUCGACGGCGUGGAGGGAGCACCAGGCCUGGGUGAGGCGGCGGAGCGUGUGGUUGGGCGUGGCAUCCCGGUCGGCCUCCGCAAUCUUCUGCUGCGUGACGGGGCAGGUGGCGUGGCCGUCGGAGAUCCAGCGCUCGAUGCUGGUGCGGUCGUAGGUGAUGCCGGUGGCGAGCGUGACGGGGUCCCGCAUGAUCUCCAGCGAGAUCGGGCACAGGAAGUACGGCGGCACCUCCACCGUCGGCCCCUCCAUGGCCGUAGGUCGCGAAGGAUUGCUCGUGAAAUGGAUCUGGUGGAGAGCAGAGCGAAUGAAGAAGACGCUGACCGAGUUGGUGGAUGGAGUUGAACACAAAUCGAAUGGGAGGGGGAGUGGGUGCGCGCGCGUUUUAUAGGAAGUGGAUCACGCGAAGAAGUCCACGCGUGUUAGCAAGAGAUUAGAGGAGAUUAAUUGCGUGGGUUGGGUUGGGUCGGAUUGACUUGCGGGGUCGGUGUUGAGCUGGCUCCAUGUUUUGACUUUGUGAAUUCAUCUUGCUCGGUCCUUUCUGCUGUUCGACUCCGUUGCUCUUGAAAGAUUCCGUUUCUGUGGGUAUGAAACACCGUUGAAGUUUAGCCGCUGCGUAGAUUGGUUGAAGGGUAAUUUUCGCCACCUCCGUGGUUUUAGAGUAUCUACAACCAGACCCUUAUAUUCGUUUCGAACGUUGGACAGCCGAUCAAUCAGCGUACGGCCAGAGAAAAUCUACCCAAAUGGAAUGCACUAAGAGCAAGCUGCUGGCUAUAAGCCACUGCCAUGUCAUCUAUAGCCCAUCUUAUAGCUAACAUGUACAAUACUUCAUUGUAAAAGUGUAUUACUUCUUCAUUAUAUGGUCCACCUUUCAUACUCAUAAAAUGCCUAGGAGCACGUGCUAGAGCUGGCUCUUAGCUAAGAGGCCGCUUACCUUCUCUCCCCUCUUAGCUAAGAGGCCGUUUCUGUGGGUAUGAAACACCGUUGAAGUUUAGCCGCUGCGUAGAUUGGUUGAUGGGUAAUUUUCGCCACCUCCGUGCACUUAAACAUCUACAACCGGACCCCUUAUAUCUGUUUCAAACGUCCGGUCGACCGGUCGGUCAAUGUCCGAUCGAAAAAAAAGCAAUCCAAACGGGCGUUCUAAACGGGUCUCAAAUACACGAGCUGACCGACAUCCAUCAUAUCUAGCAUAAAUAUGGAGCGAAUAUGUGGAGCCCGUGCGUGCCCGGACAUGCUUGCCUGGCAGGCCUGGGCCACCAUUGACCCCACCGACAUGUCAGUUUGGCCCACCAUGGACACCAUGAAAUAUUCCAAUUCGGUAACCCUAGACAUCCGACAGUUCAGUCUCCAUCCACUCCAUUUCCAAUCCCCCCACUUCGAUCCAAUGGCUGGCCAUGGAAGCAACUCCGACAGAUCGAACAUCGAUGUCGAGGAGGUGGCCCUCUGCAUCGCAUUACUCCGGUCGCUGCAGGACAAAAGGGGCCCCGUCGGCAAUGCAUGUGCAUCCUCCGGGCACGUCGCACACCGACGGAGUGCCGGCGACAUCGCAUGCCCUUCCCGCAAGGCACAUAGCUCCGACCGCUCCUGCUCUGGCUGGUCCGCUCCCGUUCUGGUCGGUACGCUCUAGGUCAGGUACGCCACCCAUCUCCACCACCUCCUGCUCCAAAAGCGGUGCCCGACCACCGUGGAGUCCUCAUGCCCGCGCCGGGGACGUGGUGCACGAUGAUACCGGAGUUCGGGGUGCAUGCACCCGAGCGACAACGGACGAGGAAGAGGGGGGAGGCCUUGGUCGCGCAGCGUUCGACCUUGAGCGCACCGGUCGACCCCGAGGACGCACUCCUCGCGGGCACCUACGUCGCUCGCUGACUACAGCGGAGACGAAUGCAUGCCGCCUCCGCCGCAAGAAUGCUAACUCACCUCGACUAGCCAUCCAGUUAUCAGAACGCGAGGGAGCUAAAGAGGCGGCGGCGAAGGCAAAAGUGGUAUGUCACGCGAAGGAGCAAGACCGCCUACUCCAUAGGCUGUUCAGCAUGCGGGGCAGCUCCGACGAGGACGACAACGACACCUCCACCUCCGGCUCCGAUGUUAACGACGACAAUGCUCCACCGCACGGUGACGUCUAAACGUAGAAGAGGCAUAACCGCGUGGAUGACCGAAAAGGGAAGGGGAUAAAAAUGGAGGGAGUGCUACAAAAGAUGUCCCUGGGGCCUGCUGAUCAUUCGCCAGAAACUGUGGGAAUGAAUAUGAUACAACGCCGUAGUAUCAAUCGGUUUUCACUUUGUUUUUCGUCAACAGCUGGUUACUUUUUCUAACGAAAUGAAAUUUUCUCCUAGAUUGCGCUUUCAGUAGGCAUCGACUGCGUGUUGGAAAACUAUGCAACCAUUCCAUUAUUUGUAAUGGGCAAAACUAUUUUUUUCGUCCUUUUACCUUUUUUUAAAGUUGGUUUGUUGAACAUUAAAUAUACCUGUUGCACGUCCCGUAACAUGUGUAGUUAAAACUUUAAAUAAUUCAGUUGUACUACUAAUAUCUUUUGAUGUGUUAGUUUGAUUUUCAAAACUUUAGAUGACCAGUUGCACAUCAUAUACACACCGUUGCAUAUUUUCAAGAUGUGCAUUUGUGUAGUGUGCAAUGAUUUCUGUGUUAUGUGUAUGUUUUUCAUAAUUUUCACGGGUGCUAUUUUCCGCUUUUUAUUCUUGCUGAUUGAAACUUUGUUUUUUUUCUCCAUGUACUAAUAUAUUUUUCAUAUUACCAAUUAUAUUCACUGACGGAGCGUCGGGGGGACCAAGGAGGGACCUCCCCCGNNNNNNNNNNNNNNNNNNNNNNNNNNNNNNNNNNNNNNNNNNNNNNNNNNNNNNNNNNNNNNNNNNNNNNNNNNNNNNNNNNNNNNNNNNNNNNNNNNNNNNNNNNNNNNNNNNNNNNNNNNNNNNNNNNNNNNNNNNNNNNNNNNNNNNNNNNNNNNNNNNNNNNNCCUCUUACAAGAGGAAAAUUGCAAGGAUAUGCUCCUCUAAGCAUAAACUCUCUGGUAAUCUCCCGGCAUCCUUAAUUUCUCUAGCUAGCCCCUCCUUGGAUUUAGAUUACGCUUCCGCCACUUAGUAUAUUUGUGCAUAUUUGUUGAGCUUUAUUUUCACAUCUUCGUUUGGUCAAGCACAUAUUCAAAGUACCAAUCGGACUCUCUUUAAAAAACAGUUCUAGUGUGCACGCCGGUGUAAAAUCUCGAUGAAAAGAUCGAAUAUGUGAAAUUUAGAAGCUUUGCAGUUUAAUCGUGGCAGGUUUCUUUUAGGAUCUAAGCUAAUGUUUGUUAUAUGGAAUGCAAAGUGUUCCAGUUUAUAAAGAAAGAUCCAAAUUAAACUAAUGCUUAGAGUUUUUGUCAAAGUGUUCCAUUUGUCUGGCCCAGAAUCAAAUGGGUAACUUAACCGAAACCACUUGUCAUUGUAUUCCAUGGGCUUACCUAUGAAGCAUUGAUACAACAAUACAGAAUACGAUAAUUUUUAAAAACAUCAAUACGUCAAUACAGUAAGUAUAUACAAAUAAUAAUAAAAUAAUUGUAAUAAAAACAAACAUAAUAAAUUGUGUUAGAAUAGAUCAAAAUGUACUAGGCGAUGAAUAAAACUCCCUUUCACCCACAAAAAAGUGUAAUAGGCAGUGCAUUAGUAAGUUGUUCAUGGCUUAAUAAGAAGGUUAGCGUAUGUUUUAGGAUAAUUCUUCGGGUGCGCUUUGUCAGCGGCUCAUGUCCCUUUUCUUUGCGAGCGGACGAGCAUCGCGGAGUUAACACUGUUAGCAUAUGACUAAUUAUUAGCAAAGCAGUAACAUUAGCAAGCAACUACUAUCUCUACACAACCUACUGAAUCAAGUAAUCUACAACUACAAGGAGCCAACCUGCUCAAUCUACUACAAUGUCAACCUACUUCAUCACUAAUAAUUGAAGACGAAAAGAUGAAUGGAUAGAUCAAGUAAAGAGGUGGCGAGUGUGACCAGCAACGACGACAGAGUUCAGUCGAUGUGGGGCGUUAGGAGUUGAUAGGGCAGCGAACAGAGUGAAAUGAGUACUCAAGUUAGGGUUAGUAUUGGGCUUGUACUGGGCUGGCCGUAUCCCAGCCGUGGACGGUGAACAACAUGUAUCGGUGUUUUUAUCUUCUUUUUUUCAAAUUAAAAAAAGAUACUUCGGUGAUACCAGUAUUGAUGCCGUAUCACACGUAUCAGCGUCUGAAAUACAGGACAGCGAUACACAUGUCUUACAAGUAUCGGUGCUUCGUAGGGGCUUACUGGGAUGGAGUGUUAGUGGACAGCGGACGAAGAUGACGAUGCCACGGAGGUCGACCAGUCGGCAGUCGUGAGCUGUUCAUGGCGCAGCUGACAACGAAGUGCUGGAUCGAUGGCCAAAUUUAAUCAAGAAAACAUUUUUUUCCCUGCAUAUAAAAAGAGAAAAGGAAAGGUAGUACGUACUACUCUUCCCCGCCGCAGCCGCNNNNNNNNNNNNNNNNNNNNNNNNNNNNNNNNNNNNNNNNNNNNNNNNNNNNNNNNNNNNNNNNNNNNNNNNNNNNNNNNNNNNNNNNNNNNNNNNNNNNNNNNNNNNNNNNNNNNNNNNNNNNNNNNNNNNNNNNNNNNNNNNCAAUCGGAGCAUUCAAGGUUCAAGUGGAAGCUACCGCUGACCGACAGGGCCUUGCAUGCAUGCAUGCUGGCGCCACCAAUCAUCUCGCGUAUACGUGUCGGAGCAUACGAAGUGGCCUGAUCGAUGGCGUAUACGUGUGUCGUCUACGGCCAAAUUGAAUCAAGAAAACUUUUUUUCCUGCAUAUAAUAAUAAGAGAAAAGGAAAGGUACUACUAUUCCCCGCCGCAGCCGCNNNNNNNNNNNNNNNNNNNNNNNNNNNNNNNNNNNNNNNNNNNNNNNNNNNNNNNNNNNNNNNNNNNNNNNNNNNNNNNNNNNNNNNNNNNNNNNNNNNNNNNNNNNNNNNNNNNNNNNNNNNNNNNNNNNNNNNNCAAUCGGAGCAUUCAAGAUUACUCCCUCCGUACCUAAAUAUAACUUUUUAAAUAUUUCACUAGAUGUCUACAUACAAAGCAAAAUGAAUGAACCUAUGUUUUAAAAUAUGUUCAUAUACAUCCGUAUAUAGUUCAUUAGUUGAACCUCUAGAAAGACUUAUAUUUAGCAAGGGAGUAGAUUUCAAGCGUAAGCAACUGCUGACCGAUAGCCAGAACCAUGCAUGCAUGCAUGCAUGCAUGCUGGCGCCACCAAUCAUCUCGAGCACUCACCAUCAUCGCCAGCACUCACGGCAGCUUCCGGCCGCACGCGACCGGGGCCCGCAUGUCGGCGCGGUUUGACCGCCCCGUCGUUUUCUUCAACGCACGCGCGCGCGCUCGAUCGUAAACUAUUUUCCACGUGCUGUUUUUAAAUGCAAAUGAAUUCGGCGCAUGCGCACCAGCCACUACUACUUGUAUGCGCCAGCCUUUGUAUAUUUCGUCACGUGCCGUGCGUGCAUGCAUGCAUGCAUGUUCCCUUCUCCGGUUUCCGUGACGUUGAAAGGUUCUCCAAACCGAUCGCCAGCCGUGAUCGAAUCACAGAAAAGACCCAGCAUAUUUUGGUAGUACGUUAAUUUUGUUUUUGAGGAACCAGCAGGAGUUCUGCCUUUUUAUAUAAAAAAAGAAGAAUUGACCAGUUAAUUUUGAUAGUAUGUUAUUGCCAUUGUAUGUGACCAACUGAGUCGAGGGCCCGCGCUGCCUGCGUUAGAUCGAUGAUGACCUAACUACGUCGACCAGCUCUCCUACCAGAGGCGCUCAGUCGUAUUUAAGGCGGUAAUAUAAUGCUACCGGGAAUCUUCUAAAUUGCCAGGAAGUGCGGAAUAGAGGGGUGGUUUUCUGAGCGAUCCCAUCAGCUCUCCUACCACAGGCGCUUUGGUCGUAUUUAAGGUGAGGAACUGUUCUUUGUUGAUCAGGAGACGACCAACUCUUCUAGUGGCUCUACUGUUUCAAAGAGGAACCUUGGCUGGAAUCUCGCAUUUCUACACCUAGUGUGAUUCUACAACUUUUUGUCGUGUUGUUUCGCCUUUGUAUUUUUUUUAUUUCCCUGUAUAUUAAAAAAAUGGGACUAUCUAUUUGUCAUCCGACUAAAAAUCAAUUGGACAUCAUUCACAUUUUCCGACUGAAAAUCUGUUUUACCCGGUACAUUCCAUGUUGUUCUAUCUUCAUAAAAAAUGUCCUACUUUUUUUCGAAACCACCGUCCCAAUUGCUAAGGUUUCCGAGGAGCGCUCUACGCAAUUAUUGACCUCUUGGUCACGGCAUGAACACCUGCGACUACUUUUCCAACGACGACUUCUUCCCUAACAUCGACAACCUCUUGGGUGACAACAACAUCAAUGCCAAUGCCAAAGCUAAUGCCACUGCAUAACUCAGUUUGUGUUUAUGUCUUUUUUGUUCGAGAUCCUACUAGAGUUUCUUGUUCUUGUAUCUGUUCUAGAUAUGUUAUCUUCUAAUUCACAUCUUCAUAUGCUACUCGCCUUCUCUCUGUUAGAUUGCAUGACUUGUUUCGUAUCUGCUAUAUUAGUCAUGUUUUAUCUACUAUUUCUAUUAAUAAAAUCAUAUGAUAAAUUGCUUAUUUUUUUAUCAAUUCAAAAACCUUAUAAUAGGCAAUUUAACCAGAGUAGUUUUGCUGCUUUCAUGAUGCCUCUUAGGUUUAAGGGUGUUUACUAUAAGAGGUGAUGUGUGAGAGCAGUUUUAUGGUUUCAAACCAUGAGCUGCUAUGAUGCCAAAGCCACUUUGGAACAUCCUAUGUUUGCUCUGGUACUUCCGAGAACAAUAUUUUCAUGGCUCAGUUGUGACUUACUAUUUACUGUAAAUCCUCUUUCAAAGAACUGCUUGGUCUAGCUACUACGUACUACCAAUCAACUGGUUUUACCUGGUACAUUCCAUGUUGUUCUAUCUUCACAGAGAAUGUGCUGCUUUUUUUUCGGAACCACCAUCCCAAUUGCUAAUUGUACUUACAAGUACUAAUAUGUUUUCACCUAGUAACAAAACAUUGCCGUCACGUUCAUUUUUUUUCGACGGUCUCGGUGGUUCUGCUAGUUUACAACUGGUGCUUCCAAGCCUAGUUUCUAUAUGCAUUAAAAGUCACUAGCAAAAUGGCCCGUGCGUUGCCACGGAAGAUAAAAACAUAAUCUCCAAUGAUGGUGACCACAUUAUGUUCAUAUAUCAUCGCUUGAUUUUAAAAAUUUAUGCACAAAUGCGAGAAAAUAUUUCUUCUUUUAAAUUUAUUCACAAGUUGAAGCAAUCUUUACAUUGUCAAAAAAUAUAUAUCAUGGUUGUCAAAAAUCUUGGUAACUCAAAGAUUUAUUCUGAAUUUCAAUAUUUUUUAAAAAAAACAUACAAUAAUAAUUUGAUCCAUCCAACAAUUAAUUCUUCAAAAUUCACACAGGUAUAUUGUCACAAAGACAUAGAAGUAUUAAUGUUUCACUACAUACAUUAGAUCUUUUGUGGAGAAUUUUAAAAAUAUGGAAAUAAUUUUAAAAUCGAGAACAUUUUUUACAAUUUACAAACAUUUACUAAAAAUCGUGAAUAUUUUUUAUAUUCCGAACGGGUUUAAAUAUUUUCUUUUGAAUUGGCGACCAGUUCAAGAAAAGACGAUCAUAAUUUUUUAUGUUGGAGGAUUUUAUUUUAAAUUCACAAACAUUUUUUGAAAUGCAUGAAGUUUUUCUGAAUAAACAAACAUUUUUAUAAAUCAGUAAUAUAUUUACUAAAUUAAUGGACAUUGUUUUGGAAUUUGCAAAAAAAAUAUAAUAAUCCGGCGCUUUUUUGAAUCCACAAACAUUUUAUGUUUUCGUCAGCAUUUAAUUCAAAAUUCCUCUUUUUUAAGAUGCAAAAGUUUUUGUAAUUCUAAAUUAUUUCAACUAGAAAUAAACAAAAAUGGAACGGAAAAUUUUAAAUAAAAAAAAGAAACUAUCGAAACAGGCAUUAGCUAUUUUUAAAAUUUUAGGACAUUCUUUAAAUGCAUUACCAUAUUUUGAAUUAGAAAGUAUUUUGUUAAAUGCCUUUAAUAAUUUUUAAUACAUGGAAUUGUAUUUGAAAUCAUGGACUUUUCUUAUUGUACAAACAUUUUAUUGUAUAUGCGAUAAUUUUUUACAAAACUCCGAGCAGUUUUUGAAGUCACAAACAUUUUAUUUUUUAAAAUAUGUUGAUUUAUAAUUUUCAGUUUAUUAAAUUUUUAAAGAUUAUUUGAAGUUCUAAAUUAUUGAAAAUAAAAAAUAAAAUGGAACUGAAAAUAAAUAAAUAAACGGAACUAAAAGCAGGCGUCUGUGCAAGGGCCGGCCCAUACGGUGUGCUGGAUAUUCUCCCAGCGUGCAGAGCGUAAUAUAGGAGGUUUUUACAUGGGCCGGCCCAGUUCAAGAUUUUUUUGCUUUCUGAAACAUUUUCUAUUACUUACCAGUGGCAUGGUGGGUAAUAAAUGCAAAUUUUAAGGGUAAUCUCCAUGACGGACGACGAGAAACCGAAUUUGCUUUAUUAUUAGGGAGAGAUAUUUUGGACUCUCUGUCUCUAUCAAUAGCCUUUCAUAUCCUUCUAUGGCUGCAUCCAUCACAUCCAUAUAAUUUAUCAUUGUUCAUCCCUGUAAGCCACUUCUAAUUUACUUCACUUCACUCCACCCACCUAUCACAUAGAGGAAGAGAUAUCCAAGGUAAGAAAAUAAGAGAGGAGUGCUGGAUGAUUCCAUGUCCAGUGUUCGAUUUUUGUAAAGCCAAGAGCUCCCCUUUCUCGAAUUAUGGAGAGAAGCUUUGAUGCAAGAUCAUUCAAGGAGUACUUAUCAAGUGACUUUUAUUUUCUUGUUACUCUUGGAUAGUAAGCACAUAACCUAGAUGGUUAGGAGUCACUUAAAAUAUAAUCCUUUCAAGUUCUAGGUGUGAAGGAUCCAAAAGCUUGUGUUGUUUUGUCUUUGUACAUUUCUGUUCAUUGUGCAUUGGAACAUGCAAGAACUAGAAAACAUGUCGGGAGAUCGACUUGGGAGGCGACACUCGAGGCGAUUCCGACGAUGGCACGGAAUUGAUUAGAGCAAACAAACGUGGUUACCAUGCAAACUCCUCCUGUUCCGGAGUGAGAUCAACGAGUGACACAUUGUAAAUCAUCUUAACACCGCGGGGUUGUAAGGAGGGGAGAUGUGGAUUACAUGUUUGUGCUCCAAAGUAGACCAUUUCUUGCCAGUGUUGCUGGACCUUUGCCGGACGCCUUUAGCAACUGAGAUGUUUUUCACCAUUUUCGUUGUAUUUCUUAGUUUCAUUUUCUUGUUAUUAUUGUCUUUUGUUCAAAACCACAAGGCUCUGUCUAGCCAUGAAUUGGUCUUUACAUUCCCUCAGGUAGAUCUUUGGCAAGUGUGAUUUUUUGGUCUUUUAUGUUUUGAUUUUAAUGUGAUUAUGUUUACAACGGAGUUGUGGCUUUGAGAGGUAUUCAGAAAGCUGAUUAAGCGCCCAAUGACAACAAGAUACGUGUUCCAGCAGGACAAGAUACUACGCCCAAAAGAAACUCCAAAUUUAUCCACAAGAAUCAAACUUCCAAGGUGAUUUUUUUUUGUUCUAGUUUGGAUAUGGUGAUAUACAUCCAUUUCCAAUCACUUCACAACAAAUUAGUUGUACAUGUAUUUAUUUUAGCCUUUUCAUCUGCUAUGUAUAAGAUAGGGGGUACAAGUACAAUCCGUUAAUUUCGACAUUAUUCUUCUUUCUGAAAAAUGGAUGUUGUUAUAGUGAUCCCAUUUCACACGCGCUAUCUCUGAUUGCUAAAGUUCUUGGCCUUUUCUGAUACAUAACAAAAAGUGCAGAAAUAAACUUUGCUCCUAGGUAUUGUUACAUACAUGGGCGGAGCUGUAUGGAGCUACCCUGUUGCAUGGGCAACAGGUCAAGUAGCUUCUUACAUGUAGUUUAGUACUUGGAUUAAGCAUGUGUAUAAGUGCAUCAGGCUAAACUAGCAAGGGUGCAACAGGGUAAAUGCAGAUGCAGCUCCGCCCCUGGUUACAUAACCCUUGGCAACCUUGUUCUUUUUUCUAUCUUAUUUCAAAACUCAAUGCCAAACAAGAUAAGACCACGCUUGGAGGUUAGUGUUGUCUCCGUUAGGCUAACCAACACCUCAUCAUCGCAGCCUUCCUCGUUGUAGAACUCACCCAGCUCCACCUCCACCCAACCGUCGUCCCUCCUCCGAGGGAUUGCCAUGUCAUCUCCAAGAGUAAUUUCCCAUUCUAGUCUAUAUGCAGAUGAUUCCAAGACAUGUAUACCCUCCUCCACACAACUUUGCAGGCAAACUUGCGAGAUUGAUAUCUGUCCUUCUCCUACGCUAAAUGAAGCCUCCUUGAAGGGAUAAUCCAACCCACAAAAUGAAGUGGGGUGUAGUUUAAACACCAUGUAAGCGGCAUACGUUACGUUUCCGGAGAGCAUCUUGCUGUGUAUCUUGCCAUGGAUUUCUAGCUUGCCACACUUCCUAAUCGUCACGACAUGUGGGAAUCUAUCACGAAAUAUAGACAGAAUUAAGAUUUUUUUUGAAACGGAGGUAAAAGCUUUGCCUUAUCUCAUUAAUAAAGAAGAAGAGCAUUGCCCGGUUGAAUAACGAAAAACCGGGUGAAAAACCAUUGCAACAUGUCCACACAUGACACACGGGGUGACCUGGCAACCCGUAAAUGAACGCACAUACGUCACCGAGGAGAGAACACCGUUGAGGCUGCAACCCGGUGUCAUCGUCAUCACACCUACACAAGCGCGACUCCAACUUUACCAUCGACGACCAUCAAUAUAGCCCUCACCGUAAGCAAACGCUGAGGCCCACGCUGACCACUACCAAACAGUCAACCACACGCGCCAACUACCAAGCAGCUCCGACUGUGCCGACGAGCAUUCUAGUAGAAAAGCACUGAGACUGAGCCGAGCCAGCGCCAGAACCGACCACCCGCCUCGCGUCAUCAUCGUCGCAAGGCCCCUCCUGAGCAGCUUCGACUCCAGGAAGGCAAAGUGAGGUGCAGCAACCCCUCGAACAUGCGGAUGAGACCGACUACCAAAACUCAGCAACAAACCAACUACACCCAAAACCGCCAUCGUCACCGCACAAGAAGUUGCGCCAACCACAUCACCAGUCGGGCACCUGCCGACCACGAUGUCGUAUGUGUCCAGCUCUUGGAAAGCAUGAAGGAGGCCAAUGACCCUCAAGGCAACGCCCCCAAGGGGGUAGAGCGAGGUGAGAGGAUGAAGCCGUCACCCGACUCACAUCGGAGUCUUAGGCUUUCGCCCGAUGACCAUGGUCCGAAGGUGCUGGGCAAGGAGAGGCUCCACAAUGACCCCCAAGGAGGAAAAACGAUGUCCGCGGACGCCGUGACGUCUAGGAUUUUGCCCAGAGCCACCUCGGCGAGCACCCCCAUGCAACGAGUGGCGCAACACCAUCGCUCUGUAAGCCCGCUGUCCCACGCAGCUCCUACGCGACAACGGUGCCAUCCUCACGCAAGAGCCACCAACCUCAACGCCUGCAAACUCCGGCGAGCCGGAGCCGGCCAAGUCGGCCAAAUCCGACGCCCACCACCGCCACAGAAAUGCCUAGACCACACCGGGAGCCCGAUGCGAGGCCGUCGCCCAACCUUCAGCCGCCCGACGCGACCACCUCGAGCCAGACCACACACGCGCCAGAUACGCGCCACCAUCCGCGCCAGCUCGCAAAUGGCCGCGCCGCGCGCCAAGACCACCUCGCGCCGCCUGGUGCAGCAGAGCACCGGCGCCGCCCCUCGGUGCCACCCGAAUCCACCGCCGGCCCGACACGUCACACCAAGCUGCGCGCCUCCACAAGGUCGGUUGCCCUGCACCGCCCGAAUGCCUCAUGGGGAGAGAUGAGUCCCGCCGCCGCCGACGCACGCAUGGGCUUUGCCCGGCGGCGUCCCCGAGCAGCGGUGAGGAAGGGGAGAGGCAAGUUGUGGGGUGGCGGUGGCGGGGAGCUAGGGUUGCGCCCGGGCCGCUCGAGGGAGCGGCACGGGGCGGGGGUUUAUUCCUAUGGAACGAUCUUGUGGACUGUAGUUUCGUCUGGCCUGACAGAAUUAAGAUUCGUGCCAUGCGUGGAAAAAUACUACUCCCAAUAAUAUAAUUGGGAGAAUUCGUUAUCAUGGAAAUGUAAGGCUUUAUUAACCUUUUGCUAGUGUUGAGAGCUUCGUAAUCAAAACCGCUAGGACUCAAGUACUAUAGGUAGCGCCGGUACUUGGCGAUCUGUAGUAUCUCCGCGGAAAGCACGAAGCACUUGGCGCCGGUAGCCUUGUCGAGCCUCAUGUGCUGCACCACACAUGUGUGUUUGUAGGUAUGUGCAGCAAAACAAAACGAAUAAACCGCGAACAUUUUAAUUAGUGCAUGCAUGGAUCCAUAUGAAAACAUCUCUCGUGCCGGUCGAGGAAUUAGAAGAAAAAAAAACCUAGCUAGCGAGCUUUUAUAUGUUUUACGAUGAAAUUCAGAUGAAGUUUGAUGGUGGUAAUACGACAUACCAUGAGCUUGCGCGGGAGGAAGGCGGGCAGGCAGGAGAGGCGCUGGAAGAGCGCCUUCUUAGACACCGCCCAGCGCCUCUCUUAGACACCGUCGUCGGGGCAAUCAUCUUCUUGGCGAAGCGCGGAAGCUCACGUGGCACGAAGCAGAACCAUACGGUGUCGGCGGCGGCGCGGAAAGGCCGGGAGACGGCUGCGGCAUGGCAGGCGGCCACCGGCGAUGUGAGGGAGAUCACCCGCACAAGUAGCUUGUCCGGCAGGCACCGAUCUGAGAUGACGCAGUAGUAGAAGAUGGUCCAUUUGUCCCGGUUCCACAGGCCCAUUAGCCCCUGUUCUGGACCGGGACUAAAGGGUCGGGACUAAAGCCCAAAACCUUUAGUCCCGGUUCGCUUACCAACUGAGACAGAAGCAGAUCACGUGGACGAUGUUCAAUCUGCAUAAUAUAUAUAGUGAGGAUAAUUAUAUAUACAUGCAAUGAAUGAGCUGAGCUAGAGAAUUAACUAUAUAAGUAAUACUUACAGACAGUAGGAAGUCAUGAGUUGUUUGUCAAUGGUUAGUUGAUUGUAUAACUGAAAUAACUCCUCAAAUUGGAUAGGAAUCACGAGAAGUCCAAUGAACUCGCGCUGUGGUUUCACUGCCACAUACAUAGCGUCUUUCCCAGACUCCCUGCAGGUUUUCAUGUACCACUCAUGCAAUUUGUGUAUCAUCGUUGUUAGAGGAAGAUGACUAGGUUUUACGAGAGGCUUCCCAUGCACGUAUUUAUAUUGUUCUUUUGUUACCUCAGCCGUUUCAAAAAUUACAUCAUCCCCCAAGUAAUCAUCAGGAUUGGUACCGGGCACCAUCCCCGGAUGAUUAGCGAUGACGAUAUCGCUAGACACCUUGAGCGGGGGGCACGAUUGCUUCUCCUAUUGGCUGAACUGGGGAAUUGUUUUCCCACUUCUUCGUUCUGCUAUGUACCUUGCAUCACCGGAAGUAGUUCCUGACCGCCGCGCUUGUGCAUAUGUAUUUUUAAGAAUGCGGUCAUAGUUGGAAUCCCGGCAGAGGCGGUGGUGGUCGCUUCAGUUGAUUGAUAAUGGGCUCCACUUUCCCCGGAUCUAGCUUCUCCAUCUGAGGUGGAGUUAUUUUGCAAAAUGGGCCCUCAAUACGGCACGACAUAUGUCCUCUCAUAUGGUAACUUUUCCAGAGGCUUGAGAGAUGGAUCGUAUCUGAAUUGCCUCCCGCCUCUGCUUGUACUUCUAGCCGCCGGAGAGAAGGAGGCGUCUCUCUUCCGCUUGAGAGAAGGAGGCGGACUGCUCUGACGCGCCGGAGGAGCCGGAGCAGCGGCGUUUGUCUUCCGACGUUGCCGACGAGGUGAAGGAGGAGGCGGACUGCUCUAACGCGCCGGAGUAGGCGAAGGAGGAGGCCGGAGUUGGCCGUAGCAGCAACAGUGACAUCGGUAGCAUCCUCUGCCGCCUUUUUCUCGGCUUCGGCCUUCUCGCGGGCGAGACGGUCGGCUUCGGUUGGUGAAGACAUGGCGAUGACGAAGGCGACAUAGAUGUAGAUGAAGCAGACGGACGGAGGCGAGCAGUCACGUGAUCGCUCCCUAAAAACCUAAUUGCCCCUCUUCCGUACCGGAUCAGUAGAGGCGUGGUUUCGGACGCCUGCUCUCCCGUCGACCGUGUACACUAUGAACGACCCGGAGUCGCCGGCGGCAGUAGCAGCAAAAGGAAUGAGCGCAUGAGGCAUAGGCGAUCUGAUCUCGUGAAUGCUAGGGUUGGCGCUAGCCGUGCUUAUAUAGGUGCGACCGGGUGGAGAGACGUGGGCUGGACCCACGUCCGAGUCGGUAAUAGCCCACAAAAAUAAGUGCGUACGUAUGAGUUCAGCUCGGCUCAUUCCCGCAACCCGUGGCGCGUCGUGACGAGGCGUCGCAUGGUGAGGCGGGCGACGGAGGAGGAGUGCGCGAGGGCCUCUUCUCUUCUCAUGCUCCAAUAGGAUGUAGAAGAGAGACCCUUAUAAAGGGGUCUAAUUCCCUCUCCACUAGGCCCUUGUCAUGCCACCAGUUACAUAGGCCCUUGGAGAUUUCUGAAAUUUUCUCAUGGGUCUUAGGCCCAUCACAGAUUUCAACAAUCCCCAUCAGAUCUCAAGGGCACAUUGUAUUCUUUCGUUCCAAUCACCGUUUUGAUAUACCAUCAUUUCAGUGAAGACCUGUUAAGGUUGAGCUUCACCUAGAGCAAGCAGCUACACUCCUUUACAACUGAACAAUGGACUAUGCCUUGAAUUGAUAGUUUGGCGUAAAGAAGUUUCACCACAAGUCUUACUAGUACUAGGCUGCCGAAGGCUGACCCCUCGGGUGGAGCAUAUUAGUCACACUCCUGACCUAUUCAUGAGUUUACUGGAGAUCACCCCAAUCUCAUAGAGUGUGACCAGUAGUUGGUUUCAUACAGGUGUGUUCCUCCAAAGAUCGCUCUGCAGGAUAUCAUUUUGCUUGCACAUAAGCUUUAGAACACAUUAAGACGUUAGUCAUCCUACUAUACAGUAUCGGAGAGUAUUGCAUCUUCAACGGAGUGGGUUAGUAAAGUUACUCUCCUCGGUUCACCACUUGCUUGUUUUCCCAGGUCCUACUUCACGGGAUCUUCGAUCACAUAGGUUGGGUUACUGCCAUGGCAACUCAUAUGGAUCUCAUACCCAUCUCCCUUGAUGCACUAUCUAUCACAACAUGUAAUAGCCCUUUAGUAAAGGGAUCUGCCAGAUUCUUAGCCGUUUGGAUGUAAUCCAACGCUAUCACUCCGGAGUUUCUUAAACGUGCGACAGACCUCAAUGUCAUUGUUAUAUGUUUGUUGGACUUCAUGUUGUCCUUUGAACUAUUCACUUUGACAAUAACUGUCUAAUUAUCACAGUUCAUAAGGAUAGCCGGAACCGGCUUCUCAACCACACGAAAGUCCAUCAACAGAUCUUGAAGAAAUUCUGCUUCGAUACCAGAUGUGUCUAAUGCUGUUAAUUCUGCUUCCAUUGUCGAUUUUGGUAAGAUCGUUUGCUUGCAACGCUUCCACGAAACAGCACCACCUCCAAGAGUAAACAUAUACCCAGUAGUGGCCUUCAUCUCAUCAGCAUCAGAGAUCCAAUUCGCAUCACUAUACCCUUCAAGUGUCGACGGGCAUCCUGUAUAGUGAAGUCCGUGGUUGAUAGUACCUUUUAGAUAGCGCAUAAUUCAUUCAACAACAUGCCAAUGAACAUCACCCGGAUUGGCAACAAACCGGCUCAGUUUGCUCAUAGCAAACGCGAUGUCAGACCUCGUUGCGCUAGCUAGAUAUAUAAGUGAACCAAAAAUUUGAGAGAAUCUCAAUUAAUCUAUAUACAUGCGUGUGAACUUUCGAAUCAACGCACUAGGAUCAUAUGGUGUUGGAGAAAUUUUGCAGUCUGAAUAUCCAAAAUGACUCAAAAUCUUCUCAACAUAGUGGGAUUGCGGAAGUGUAGUCCCACCCUCAUCAUCUCUGCACAGCUUGAUGUUCAAGAUAACAUCAUCCAUUCCAAGGUCCUUCAUCACAAAGUUCUAAGACAGAAAAGAUUAACCUCCUCAAUCACUUUGAGGUUGCUUCCAAAUAUCAGUAGGUCAUCAACAUACAAGCACAAUAUAACUCCUUCCCCUCACCAUGACGUUAGUAUACACAUUUAUCAGCUUAAUUAACAACGAAACCAACAUAUGUCAAAGUUGUAUUAAACUUCUCAUGCCAUUGCUUAGGUGCUUGUCUCAUGCCAUAUAAAUAUUUCAACAACUUACACACUUUUCCUUCCUCUGCACAAUCGCACAUCAAGAGAGUUCUACAAAGAUUGGAUGAAAAUCACAAGUUUCUUCUCAUCCUCUUCCUCUGCACAAUCUGGCACUCCUAUCAUUGCCGCCUGCAAGAAAAAAAUGAUGGCAAGGCUCAGAAAGCAAACCAAAGAAACUAACAUGAUAGAGCAUCAAAUACUAAUGUAUAGGUUAGGCUGUGGACAACGAGCCACAUAUAAUAAUAAAAGGGCAGCACAUAAUAACCCAUUAUAGGUUCGCGCACAUGUACCACAAAACAUUUUCUUAUAUUAUUUAUCUCAAGACUUUCAUGUAGAUGUUAGACAUGCUUGAAAAGAAACCUAGCUUAAAGAGAAAAAUAAAUCUACAAUCUUAGGAUAAUCAUGACAAUCUUGGUAUAACAAGAAUCUGCCCACGAGCAACAGAUCAGGCUACAUAUAGAUAAAAGAAUUAACGAUUGUAAUUUUAGCUCAUAACCAGUUCUAAAAAUUCUAGUUAAGCACUUGCUGCUAACAAUGGAUGAAUUGUGAAUAAUCUAUAGUAAGUUUGCCCAAUUAAUUUCUUCUGGAGAUACGUUUAGUUGAAAGUAGAUAAGUCCUUUUGGAGCAUUACAUUGUUUCUUUAGUUUACUUAGCUUUUGUUUUUUAGAGACCACAAAGUGCAGCAUCGAUCAAACCAGGGUCUAGUUCCAGCCUUUCAAUACAAAAUGCUACUCGACAAUGUAAAGAUGCAAGUGCACAUGAAAAGAUAUCAUUUAUUAACAUGAAACUACCAAAAGGAGUUGAUGUCAUAUUUGAUAUGACACUGAAAUUCAUUACUAUGCUAGAAAUAUAUAUAUGUAAGGUCCACUAGGCAUGAUAUAUUUGGCUUUUAGAAUCAACAGCUUCACAAAGUCAGUGUUGUGCCACAAAAUACAGGUCGACCCAACUGCUAAGCAACCAACCACUCUACUGCUGAAACCACUGUCUGCCGGCAGACGCUUCUACCGGACACCUACUGAUCCAACUAUCACAUACUAAAUUUUCACCUUGCCCCGAUACCAACCCAGCAACCCGAGCAGUCACCUAGAUAAUGAAACCCAUGCGUACAUAUUGAUUUUAGUAGCAACAUGAGGAGGAAGGGGGUGCUUACAAUGAUAACUUGAAGAUGUUGGUUUGGUUGGGUGAGAGCAAGAAACCCGUGGCAGUCCCGCUCGUGGUUCUUCCGUCGAGGGCAAGCAAGCUCAAGGCGACGGUAGCAGUAGUCGGGACUCCAUCUCGCCACCCCAUGUCCAAAGGCGCCGUGCUGCAAGAUGAGGUAGACAAAGCCGGUGACGGGACGUCUUCCUCUCCGACGACGCAAGCAACGACGAUCGCUCGUCUCAGAUGCACGGAGGAAGGAGGGGGAUCACCUGGUGGCAGUGAAGGAUAUGAGUGGCGAUACAACGAUGGAAGAGGAUAGCGGUGGUGGGAGUCGAUUGGAUCUGAGAGACAACAAGGAGAGUGGCACAUGUACUCGGUGUAGCGGGGGCACGCAGGGAUGGAUGCCAAAAAUGAAUCGGCAGGGUGUGAUCUCCUCUAGCACGAGCUCUGGAGGAUAGCGUUGAGAGGAGGCGCUGGUGUUAUAUCCACCGUCGCCAUGGUCGUCCACGCCCACACCAUGGCCUCCUGCACUAAACGGGAGAAGAGAGUGUGGCAGCCAAAUCCGCCGACGCCAAUCUCGGGGCCUGCCGCAGCGAAUAGGGCAUAUGGGAUCGUGGCUGGGAGGUUGAUGGGAGAGGUGGAGAAGGGAGUGCAGGGGCCUGCUGCGUCGAACGGGAGCACAAGGGAUCUGGUGAGGGAAGGAAGGCUGGCGGCGGGAGAGGUGGGAGGAGAGUCGAGGGGGACAAGUCUGGACUCUGGAGAUAGGGUUAGGUUUCUGGGGAAGGGACUUUAUAUCCUAUUCCCUUUUUUUAGUGAAUUAUAUCCUAUUCACUUAAUGGGUCUACUCAAGUCCGUAUAGAUAUUGGAUUUAGGAAAUAUGGACCCAUAUUAUUGUCUUUAAUUGUAUUUUUUGAUUACCUAAAAAGAGGUGGUUUAAUCGUAUAUCCACAUCAUUGUACUUAUCGAUGGGAUGUGGUUUCGUUGUAUUUUUCAGGCACACAUACUGUAAGUUUAGGUGUAUUUUGUGAUGAACAUGCGGUGCAAAAGAGCACUUGUGCAGCCAAUCGGCAAGGCGUGUCACCCUUGUAUCACUGUAGGGACAUACAUUUAACGAGGCAAACAUAUUUGACUUUGAAAAUAAGAAAAGAAGAUAUGUAUCUCAAAAGGGCUCCCACCUCUCUACUUCUAUACAAAUUGCAUGUGGGUUGUCAUUGGAAAAAAAAAAAUUCAACAUACUAUGUUGAAAACUUUUUAUAUCUCCAUACUUCUUACCUGAACUUUUACAAUAAUUGUGUUAGAAUGAGGCAUGAGAUCAUGUUUAAGUUUUUAUUGUCUCAAACACCAAGUUAAGGUACCCUAUACCACCUUUCAUUUUUUAAUCUAAAUAGGGUCUACAAAUAAUGAGAUUAGCAUGUGCCCAUAUAUUUCAUUUUGGUAAUUAUAUUGUAUUUUCCAAAAUAUUUAGGAUAUGAAAAUGAAUAAUUAUAAUUUAUUGAUAUUUAUCUAAUAUCAUUUACUUCAUCCAUAUACGUAUAAAACAAAUUUUCGCUGUGUAUACAUGACACAUAGGCAAAAUUGAUGAGGUGUCGUCCAGUCACCUCCACGCAUAUGUUUACGAUCUUAUAUUUGGUCAUGGUAGCAUUGAAAUAUGAUCAUAAAUAAUACUACACAUCUUAAUGACCAUUUUUUGCAAUAGUAUCAUGACCUAAUGGACGCAAAAGGUCGUAACGUUGUGAGCUUUGGACCCUCUUAGACUUGCCAUACUAAUUUUAGAAUUUUGGUCAUGGAUCAAUGAUCAAUUAAACCACCGUCAUUAUUUUUGUCAUAAUUGAGCGUUUUUCCUGUAGUGAUAGCCGUGAGCCAUAAGGUGGUUUUUGUCUGCCAACGCUUGAAAUAAGUAUCGGUAAACUUAUCCGGUUUUACUGUAGCAGCAAAACCACUACUCGAAAAAUUUCUACACACAUUAGGUUAUUGGAUUGUUGAGUAAAUAGGAAAUUUUUUGAAUAGAUUAAUCCACGAAAUAAUCACUAACAUGGCACUGCCUAGAUUCAUGACAUACUAAUUACGGAGCAGACUAGCAAAUACUAAUGCAUAUAGUAGAAACAUCUACGCAUAUAGCUAGUACUACUAGAACUAAAAUAAACAGGAGCGGGAUAAACGAGUUAUAUCCUUCGAUCAGCCAGUUGGUCAUAGCAGCAGCAGUGACAGCGGCAACAUCCUCUGCCUUCUUCUUCUCGGCUUCGGCCUUCUCGCGAACGAGACGGUCGGCUUCGGUUGGCGAAGACAUGGCGAUGACGAGGGCGACACAAACGUAGAUGAAGCAGACAGACGGAGGCGAGCAGUCGCGUGAUCGCUCCCCAAAAAACAAAUCGCCCCUCUCCCGUACAUGAUCCGGAGAGGCGGGGUUUCGGAGGCUUGCUCUCCCGUCGAUCGUGUACGGGAUGAAUGAGACGGAGUCGCCGGUGGUAGGGUUGGCGGCACCGUAAAAAUAAACGCGUAGGUAUGAGCUCAGCUCGGCUCAUUUCCACAACCAGUGGCGAGGCGGACGACGGAGGAUGAGUAUGCGAGGGCCUCUUCUCUUCUCAUGCUCCAAUAUCAUGUAGAAGACAGACACUUAUAAAGGGGUUCAACUUCCUCUCCACUAGCAAGGUGAGACUAAGCUUUUUACCAUCCUUUGUCAUGUCAUCGUCUACAUGGACCGUUGGAGAUUUCUGAAAUUGCCUCAUGGGCCUUAGGCCCAUCACAGAUUUGAACACAUAUUGUUUUCUCCUUCUAUCUUUUUUGGUCAUUAUAUGCAAUAGAACAUGUGAGAGAUAGGACAAACAUGCAAGACGACUUGGGAGGCGACAAUGAAGAUGCCUUUUGGGGCUUGGGUGGUGUACUGAAUUUUUUAUUUUAAAGCUAGACACAGAAGUUGUUUAUAAUGCAUCCUUUAUCACAUCAAACGCGGAUACAACCUCCUCCUGUCGCAGAGUGAAAUCAACGAGGUGCCCACUAUAAAUCAUAUUAGUACAUUUGUGCCCUAAAAUAAACCAUUUUUUGUAAUGUUACAGGAACCUCUUUUAAAAACAAUAUAUGAACAUUCUUUGAAGACCACGAGAAUACUUUUUUUAAUUCACUGAACAAUAUAUGAACAUUCUUUGAAGACCACGAGAAUGUUUUUUUUUGAAAAUCACUGAGAAUUGAAGAGAGCGCUAAACGAUUCAUAUUUGGCCGAGCCACUAUAGGCUGUCCUCCCGCCGCGCUAAAGUCGAGAUAAAGACACGCUCUUUCAUAUUGUCUUUCACUACGAGAAAAUAUUGACAUAGAUUUUCAGAUAUAUCAUAUAUCUGUCUCAACAAGCACACAUAGCACUACCUCGUUCCUCAUGGGCAGGCCCAUUAAGGCCUUGUUCGAUUAAUCCUCCUCCGAAGGGGAUUGAAGAGGAUUGAAGUAAAAUUUAACUUGUUAGGGAUUUAAUCUACUCAAUCCCUGUCAAAUCCCUUUCAUUUCCCUGUCAACCGAACAAGGCCUAAGCUGUUUAUUUUAAGUUUCCUUGUUAGCUCCCACAUGGAUUGGACUAGUCAUUGGUAUCAUUUCAUUUCUCUUCUGGUGAUUGUUCGUUCCUAUGUGAACAGAACAACAUGUUUUUUAUUUUAAUUUUGAUUUUCCAUUUUAGUUUUCCUUUCAUAUAUAUAUAUUCCCUCCAUCCCAAAAUAACUGCCUUAACUUUAUACUAACUUUAAUAUAAAGUUAUAUUAAGCUUAAGACAUUUAUUUUGAGACGGAAGGAGUAAUUGGUUUUAUUCUAUAUUUUUCAAAAAGAGUGAUAAACCCAAAAUGAUAUUAAAAAGUUCACAUUAUUUUUAGACAGAGCAUUAACACUUUUAUAACUACAUGUAUAAUUUUUUCACGAGUGAACAUCUUUUUAUAUUUUUUUUCAUCAUGGGUUAAAAAGCAAUUCACCGUCCAUUUAUUAUUGGUCAUCAUGCAUAUAUAGAAUCAUCAUGUAGAUUUUACUUGUCGCUCAGCACUCACUAGGCGUCAGUGCUAUAUCUCACCUAUUGCAAGAUAGAACACGGUCCUCAAAUACUUCCUUCUUUCCUGACGUGUUUCUUCUUUUGUGCGCUAGAUUUUUUCUUGUUUUGGUAUAUAAAUUUUGCUUCUGUCCUAGCUCGCCCACGUGAAAUAUUCUAAUCCUAUUUUCGGUAUUUUCUGUUUUGUGAUUGGCAUCGAUUACAUAUUUAUAUGUUAAUCAUUUAUCCUGCUACAUGUUAAAACUAGCAAAAUGCACAUUGACCUUUUUUGAAUAUAUUUUUUCUUCAAAAAUGCAGUGAUAAUUUUUUAACAUGCAAUAUAUUUUAAAUGGCGUGGACAUAUUUUUUAGUAUCGCCAUUUCUCUGGAAUUGGCCCAUUUUUUUACAUUUCAUAAAUAAUUCGUUGAAUGCAUAGAUUUCUAUGUCAUGAUACUUAUUUUUUAAGGCAUAGAUUUCAAGAUAAUUUGUUGAAAGGUAUGAAAAUUCUUUACAUAUUACAUGAUAAAUGCUGUAAAUUUUCAAUGAUAUAAUUUCAGUUAUGAACAUAUGUUGUAAACUUUUGAACUUUGUUUAGAGACAUGAACAUUUUUUUAGCGACAUGAUCAUUUUUUGAAAUAAUGAAUACACAUAUUUAAACAUUUUUAAUGUGUAGUGAACAAGUUUUUACUGCUAAAUAAUUUUCUUUUUAUAAAGAGGUAAUAAAUAAUGAUCGUUUAAAACAAAAGUAAAAACAACAUAGAAAGGUAACAAGGUUGAAAUAUACAUGUAAGAGAAUAAAACAUAGAAUGUAACAACUAAUGGGCCGGCCUAUUAAACAACUUCGAAGCGACGCGUCAUUCAGCGAAAUCACUAAUUGAGGGGUACACCUUUUAAAGGCUAGUUCCAUCUUUCCAUAUUGCCACAAGUGACCCGUCACAUGUGUGUCACUUGUUGCAACCUAUGAGUUUCUAUUUUUUUGUAGAUCCUUUUAUUGAAAAUGUUUUAUAUCCAAAUCCAUGCAUCCAAAUCUCAAACCGUUUUCACGUUGGAUUCCUCACGUCGAGAUCUUCAAAAUUAUAUCCGUGUAGAUAGGUUUUCACAAACUUUUUUCAUGAAAAAUGCGAACAAAAUAACCAAACCGAAAGCACAUUUUUUUCCUUUUUCGAAAGAGGCAUGAUCGUACCCCUCGUGGAAGUAAAAAGAAGAAAAAAAAAAUUCUCCCCGUUUUCGAGCGGCAUGGUCAUGCCCCUCACGGAAGGAAAAAAGAAAGAAAGCGCAUUUUAUCCAUUUCCAAAAGGCACGCGGAAGAUUAAAACACAAAACAUAUUUUUUCCGUUUCUAAGAGGCAAGGUCAUGCCUCUCGUAGAUGCAAAUCCGUGCGUCUCGCAGAAGCAAAUACGUGCCCUCAUGGAAGAAAAAAUAAACAUGUAUUUUUUCGCUUCUAAGAAUUACGGGGUGCCUCUCACGGAAGCAAAAUCAUGCCAAUCGAGGAAGUAAAAAAUAUAUUUUUUGCUCAAUGAAAUCAAUUUUUCUUUCCAAAUGUUAAGAAAGAUCGACGAAAAACCAAAGAGCCAAAAUAACCAUGACAAAACCAAAUAAAAAGCCAAAAAUGCAUGCAAAAAAUGAAAUAAAAAUAAAAAAUUCGGAAGAAGCGUCUAAAGCAUGACACAUGGCAGGUGGUAAGAGAUUGCCAAAUGGCACGCUCUCAGCAUGACCCUUGAGAGGCUUCCGAAGGGGUGCUCCUCCACUAGUGGCACACUCUCAGCGUCAUUCAGUAUUGUAGUGAGCGGAUGUAUGCUUCGGGUGCACCGAGUGUAACAUCCGAGUCGCUAAAGGGGGUGAGCAAGAUGGGCCGGUCCAUGCAGGCGAGACCACAACCUGUUUUUCUGUUUUCUGUUUCUGUUUUCUAAACAUACGAUUUAUGUGUAUUUUAGGUCUUUGAAUCAUAUAGGGUCAUGGUAUUCACCAUACAGCAUGUAGAAUAUUUAUUCUUCACCCCUUCUGUUUUAACAUCACAACAUCAUAUUUUUAUGUUUGGUAAUAUUUUGUGUUAUGUCAGAAGUCAAACGCGAACGUAAGAAAAUAUAUAUCGGCUAUGACAAAUAUUUUAUGUUAAGUAAAAUAAUGAAAUUAAUUUAGUACACAACAUACAUAAAAAUGUAUAUUUUUUGUAGCCUUUAGGCUUACCUUAUUUUCUCGUGCCAAAUUUACCAUAUUGAAACAAUAUGGACAUAACAAUUUAUGUACCAAACAUAAUUUUAUAGCGAAACGAUCUUAAGAAUAACUCGAGUGCAAAAUGACAUACUCUGCACCCUGGGUGUUGAGUGGGAGAGGAUUUGGGGCAUGCAGGUGCGGGGCACCGAGUCUCUCGCGCGUGCUUUUUUUGGCUUUUUGAUUUCCAGACUUUCAUUUCUUUUGAAUAAAAAUUCUAAAUUAAGUUAUUUUUUCAUAUUCGUGUUUUUGCUCACGAGGGCUUCCGAAUAAGAUCCAUUUUUGAUGAUUUUUUUUGUGAAGUUCCAACUCUUGAAGCUUACUAUGAGAGCCACCGAUUAUAAAUCACGAUUUCAGUGCCGACGACCGACAAAAAAUUGCUUACACUUUCAGCUCUGAAACUUGAUACACACGAUCGAGAAAAUCAGAAUUUUUAGAUGCAAAAUCGUAAGUUUGAACAAUUAAAACAUAAAAUUUACUCUGCCGUCGUGCGGGGUGUAACUACUUCAUGAAUUGCGAGACAAUCUAGCGGCGAGGCAAGGCUUGACAGGUGCGCGCUCCUGAGAUUUUCUAGGCAAAGAUAGCAUUUUUAUGUAUAUUUAUGUAAAAGUACUUUAUAGUUGAGAUUAUCAUGACAAGUAAAAAUGACUUAUUCUGCAUCGUGGAUGAUAUCUUAGAACCACUUAGUCGACUUAACAUGCUAAAUGUGAAAAGAUGACGAUAGAGGUGAGACUGUGACAAGUUGGUGCUAAUCUAUUAGUAUAACAGGUCUUAUAUGGCACAAUCAAGAUCCUGACAACCCCGCACUCAUUAACCUAUCUUGUUUUGGCAUAAUAACCGCAACGAAAGCUCCAACAAAAGCAAGGAUUGAAAGGCGUCAAUCCAAUCGUGUGACCUUCAAAUACUUGGUGUAUCUUAAUGCAUUGCACCAGCGACGUCGUUUUUCUAGCUGGACCAAAGCUCUUUUAUGCAUGAAUGAUUGCUCACCCCACGUACUUUACGUCGUUGCAUGCACCACCCCUGAGGAAACUGAAGCAGCCACGUGGCAUACCUGGUGGGCAAUCUCUUCUUUUUGGCAUACUUGGUGGGCAAUCAAAGCUUUAUGAUUGAUAGUAAAAAAGAUGAACGUACGCCUGUAUGUAUAUACGUCAUGUACGUGGUGGCUCCUAAGCCUCAAAUGUCGCAAAGAGAAAAGUCACACGUGUUUAUCAUGUACACACAAAGCUCUUUUUAUAUUUUUUUUGGCAAAAUGAUGUACACACAAAGCUCUUUUUUUUUUUAUCUUUGGCAACAUCAUGUACACACAAAGCUCUCUUUUAUGCUUGGCAAAAUCAUGUAGACGGAGGUCAGGCUAUGUGUGCCUAACUAGUUACCAUUGAGUGUACAUUGGACCAGGCAUAGAUAGUAAUGGAAGUAAUGGUAUACACGUCAUCCAUUUGGAUACGAGCUAAGACGGGAGAAACCCUUUUGAUCCAAUCCGACGACAGCAUGCAGCUAGUGCGGGAAACGAUAGCAAUUUAAAAAGUAAGCGAGUACACCGAUCAUGCACAAAGCACCCUCCGAUGGAAAUGAGACGGGAUCCAACUUGCGGGGAGGCGAAUGGGACAGCUCGAUCGUAGGAUAUGAUAGGAUAUGAUAUUGUUUCUCUAAUAAGAAUUCGCGUAAUUGGGUUGCUAAACCCCCCUGGCUCUGUCGUUUGUAAUCUCGUGUCGACGAUGUAACCUUUUGCUUGACCAUCAAUAAAGCUUGAUUGACGUGGUGGCCUUCACUAAAAGAAAAGCAUGAUCUACCUUCACCUUAUUUUACAUCUGAUGGAUGUGUGCCCUUGGAUGCCCACCCAACGGCUAGAGGUUAAAGACUGAGGAUUUUUAUUGCCAUUGAAGAAAAUGAAAAAUGAGUCUCCAUGUGCCAGCAGCAAGUCCUAAAAGAAUGACGCAGAUUUAGCUUGCUAGGUAAGUUUCAGAAAAUGACAAAUAUAUAUUUAGUCCAGCAAAAAUAGAAUGCGACAAACCAUGAAGAUUUGAUACAAAAAUAAAUCAUAAUUAAGCUUCAUGAUGAUUAAAAAUACCGCGAGGUGAGGCUAAUUUAGAUGGUUAGGCCCCAUGUGGUGGAACCAAUCCAUCCAGAUUCAAAUCCUACAAUUAACACUUGCGCUCGCAUAUUUUCUGAAUUGACUUCGGACUUUGCGGUGCUAUACAUUCAGUGGUAUGGCGUGCCGUUAACUACACGGUGCCUAUGAAGACUUCAUCAAUAUCAAGAUCUACCGGUUCCUUCUCUCGAAAGUGCUCCCAGGAUAGAGUUUGUGAGCGUUUGCAUCUGUACCGUGUUUCUCAGAAAAUUAAUAAAAUUUAAUGGAUCUCAAGGUCUCCAUUGAUAUGAGCUUCGCCAUGUACAACCAAAGAAGCGCAGCACCUCCCCUCCCGUGGUUGUGGAAGGGGAGCACCAGGUUAGCCGAAUCGAGAAGCAACGGUGGCACCAACGAGGAAGCGAGUGAACAAAUCGGGCAAAUUGCCUGACAUAGUGGCUGGAUCUGAGCUCGCCUGGUGGAGCUCCCAACUGUAGUCACGAACCGUGUUUUGGUUCAGUGAUGUCUCAAAAACACCGGAGUAAACCUGAAAAAAUUAGGGUGUUAACUAAACCAGAGACGGGAAACCAAUCUAUGGUGGAAUAGUUAGAAGGAUAGAUGUAUCCCUAACCCAUUAGAGUUCAAUAUCUAGCCUUGAUACUGGUGCUUGCAUUUUUCUUCAUUUAUUUCAAGCCAUUUGACGAUGCUUGUUCAGUGAUAGAAGACGUUUUCGUCGACUACGAAGACGUCAUUAACGACUUUCUAUCUUAAAAUGAUGUAUCUGCUCAGUAUCUUGAAGAUGCACAUAGAGAUAGGAUACACAUGCAUACAUUAAUUUAGGUAAAUGUAUGUACGUAUGUAUAAGCGUAUGUACUGUGUUAAGAAAUAAGCUAAACCACAGACAUUUGCAAUCACAGAGAAAUCAAGAAAUAAAAGGUAAUUUGUGUCACAGGUUUGCUAAUUGAGGGGAAAAUAAUAAUUUUUCCUAAAUGAGGUAAAAAUAUGUCAGAAACAUGAAACAAGGAGAUUAAAAAAAUGAAUUCACUCAUUUUAUAUAUAUAUAAAAUUUCGACUGAUGAAUUCAUUAAACAUCUUUGCGAACAUUGAUGGGCUGGAUCGUGGUCUAUAAACACACAGAAUAAGUGUGCCGCCAAUCCUAGGACCCAGGCCGAAUCAUACGGAAUCAUCAUCAUCGUACUAGUUUGUUUUACAUACAUACAGUAGGUACAGGCACCUGCAGACCGUGGUGCGAAUAUUAUUUUUCUUGGAAAAGAAAAACGUCUUAUACGAAUAUUAAAGCUUGCACGACUCAUGCAUGAGCCAUGCAUGCCUGCAUGCGUGCGUGCGUGCGUGCGUGAAUCUAGACCACCUCGACAGAACGGGCAAAGCCCGCCCCCGGGGCCGCCGCCUCAGUAGCGCAUCUCCUGGGGACGUCGCCGGCCAUCUCGGUGACCGGGCGCACCUCGGCGCAUGAGCUCUUGUCGGCCUUGCCGACGUUGAUCACGACGACGUGGUCCUCUGCGGGCACCUUCCAUGCCUCUUUCCCCUCCUUGGCAUCGGUUGCCACCACCGGCGUCGCGUUCAUGUAGAACAUGUAGAGGACCAUCUGGAUCAUCCCGAAGGUGAAGCCAAGGAUGUUUGGGAGCUGGAAACACAAAUUUAAUCAUCGAUCACUGCUCAUGCUUGAGAAUUGUAUGCGUAUCCAUCUGCCAUUAGAAGGAUCGUUUGUGUAGUUACCGCGACGUAUUUGUCCUUGAUGAGCAGGCCGUAGAGGAACCAGACGAUGGCGCUGAGGGUGAGCGUGAGGGAGAGGGAGAAGGGCAUGUACUCCACACUCUUGGUCUUGAUCACACGACCCUUUGGGAAGGACAGAACACAUACAAGAGGUUGAGGAAUGAGCAACAAUAUAUACAGCAAAGUUUAUCGGUCGAGGGCUCACGAUGAUGCUGAGAGGCGCGACGAAGACGCACACGGAGAAGCCGACGCAGAUCCAGCCGAGUGAGACGACGCGUGUCUCGCCGUGGAAGGCGAAGAGGGUGAGGACGAAAAUGAGCCCGAAGCCGGCGAUGUUGAGGAGGAGGACGAUCUUGGCUGUGAAAAUCUUGGCCUUCCUGGGGGCGUAGACGAGGUACAUGAUGAUGUAGACGGUCUCGAUGACGCAGCCGGCAGCGUUGAUGGUGAUGAGGAGGCCCUCGCCGGUCUUGACCAGCGCGUAGAAGAUCCACAGCAUCGCGCUGAAUAGGGCCACGACAUAGGGCACCGACUGGAACCCCUCCGUGGAUUUGCUCUUGAAGAUCCGGUAGAAUGUUGGUCUAAUAUUUUAUUUUUGUGUGUACAUUAAUUAGUUAUACGAGAGAACUUAUUAAUUAACAGGAUCAAAUGAAAUACUUCCUCCGUCCUAAAAUUCUUGUCUUAGAUUUCUCUAGAUCUAAAUGUAUCUAGUCACGUUUUAGUACUUUGAUACGUUUAUUUCUAGAUAAACCUAUAACAAGAAUUUUGGGACGGAGGAAGUAAAAAACAACUUAGACAGUAGCUUACAUCGGGGCCAGGAGGCUCGAGAAAGAGAUGACGUUGCCUGCAAGGCACAAAGUUAGCAAAGUUAGCGAUGGGUUGUGAUAAUUGUACGACACAUUUACAUCUAUCUUUUAUGCGCUUUGUCCUUUUCAUAAAAAACACAGGCAAUUUGCUUUGUUGUUGUUUCUUUUUGGGAUUUUGGUGCACCAAGCUAGAUGGCACUAGAGCUAGUAUACUAGACUACAUCAGUUAAUCAAUCAGUGGCAAAGAUAAGAUAUAUAGAUAGAUGCUACAAAAGGAUAUAUGAUCUUAAACGACACAAAGUAGUCUACUAGUACUGCACUAGCAAAUAGCAGCUGUAAUAAGAAACUAUCAUAAUACAAGAGGUAAUUCUUGGAGAUCAUUUGUUCGUGGUAAGAAUAAUAUACCUAGCAGGCCGAAGGUGAAUGCCCAAGGGUGCUCCAUGGAUAGGCCACCCAUUGUUACAAAGAUAUAUAACAGUGAGAUGGAUGCGAAGAACUUGGUAUAACAGUGGGGCGAGAGAUUGUUUUUGCUGUCUCUCUCUCUCUCUCUCUCUAACCCUAGACUCCUGGCGGAGAGAAGGGAGAGGUCUGGAGAGGAGAGCUCUCUAAGUUGGUUUAAACUCUUAGCCUGAAUUGUAAGCUUGGUAAUGGGGUGCUUUAUAUAGGCAGGGAGACAUGACUGCCUUGGCGUAUGCAAGCUGUCCGAUCACACAUAUGCCACACAAAAUUAAUGAUUGGCUUUCUAGAAAAAAAAAAAAGGUUUCCAGCAAUGCAUAAUUGAGCUUAUCUAAUGUGCUAUGCUUGAUAGAGAUAAUGAUGGCAAAUUUUAAAGUUGUCGCUUUGGUGCACUCUUUAGCUUUUAGUGUGCAUAAUGCCUCUGCUGCUGAAUUGUUGUACACUCCGAAUUGUGUUGCACUACGUCAUUCUUCCAAUCUUUCCAACCUAGAUCUUUGGGGUGUGGUAUUAGCCGCCACAGAAGUGCGAACCAAAUGAGACAUUGCAACUCACUUUUCAGACCCUUAGUUGUUCACUGAAUUUACCCAAUGAAUGUCUUACAGGAAUAAGUAAUAAAGUUUAUAUGCUAUAUCUAUUUUCCUUGUCAAUGUUUGGACACAAAUAUAGUUAAACAUAGUGUCCAAAACUGAAUUAGUUUAACAGACUUCUCGUAUUCAAAAUGUAAGCAAUGUGUUAUUAAUCUAAUGUACCGACAUAAUUGUACUUCUAGUAAUGAAGGCACUAAUAGAAUAUUUAUCUUACAGAUGCAAUAUAACUUUAAAGAAGUAUGCAAUUGCACAUACAAUCAAAUAAUGCUAUUCACCUUAACCUCAUUUCAUAUAAAUACAAUCCAAUAAUGUAUUAGUUUGUGCGAGUAUCAUAGUCCUCAAAUGAUUUGUUCCUAGAAAAUGAUGCAACCAAUGCCUUAGAUCGUCAAAUUCAUAAAUAUAAAAAGGUCAUGCAGUUUAACUUUCCAAUCGAAUUGACUCGUAUACGUAGAACCAUCUUUUACUAUUACAACGUAUUUUAUUGUACAAUUUGUGAAAAAUAGUAGUGAAGUGUUUUAGCUUGCUUAUAUAAGGUCGGGAUAUCUUAGACUGCGAUAGCAUUGUCGUUGAUUAUAAUAUGCUGUUUGAGAUCAAAUCUGUAGGAUUUAUCACUUGAGUAGUUAGUUUUAGUUAUGACCUACAAAAUUGUCGAUAAAGGGGCGCUCUUUUCACUCAAAAUAUCACAUCAGUGGAAUACAAUCAAAACAAGUUCACAUCCAUUCUCUAUGUGACCAAGAUACACACAGAACCACACACACUCUAAAUAAUGCAACGAAAAAAAAGUUGUACGUUACUUACAAUACAAGGAGAGAGGAGGGGGCAAGCCUCAGAGCAUCUCUAGUAGUACCCUCAAACCCUCNNNNNNNNNNNNNNNNNNNNNNNNNNNNNNNNNNNNNNNNNNNNNNNNNNNNNNNNNNNNNNNNNNNNNNNNNNNNNNNNNNNNNNNNNNNNNNNNNNNNNNNNNNNNNNNNNNNNNNNNNNNNNNNNNNNNNNNNNNNNNNCCUCAAACCCUCAAACCCUUAUAAAUAACUGUUUUUUUACAGUUUGCGAAUAAAAAAACGCAUAGACUAGAACCCCUUAACCCUCAAACCCUUAAAAAAAAUUUGAGGAUCCAACCCUCAAACUCCCUCUCAACCUGUAGAAGUGAGGGUUGGAGAGCGAAAACUACCCCAACCCUCAAACCGUUCCAUCGUCGCGCGGGAGGGACUUUNCCUUUCCCCGCCCCCCACCGGCCCCGCCAUUCCGACCCCCCCCGCCGCCCCAGGCUGCCGCCGCGCCCCGCCGCCCCGAGCCGCCGCCGCGCCGUGCCCCACGGCCGCCCGCCGCGAGGCCGGCCCCAGGCCUCCUUGAGCUCUCCUCGCCGCCGCGCCAGAGGCGAGGCGGGCCAGAGGCAGCCGCGCCGCCACGAGCUCUCCUGUUUUUGCCCCUGUUUUUGUUAUAAGGGUUGGGUUUGAGGGUUCUAGUCUUUGCCCCUGUUUUUCAACCCUUAAAAGUGCCAAAAAAUGCAAAUUCUCAACCCUUAAAACUGGUUUGAGGGUUUGAGGNNNNNNNNNNNNNNNNNNNNNNNNNNNNNNNNNNNNNNNNNNNNNNNNNNNNNNNNNNNNNNNNNNNNNNNNNNNNNNNNNNNNNNNNNNNNNNNNNNNNNNNNNNNNNNNNNNNNNNNNNNNNNNNNNNNNNNNNNNNNNNNNNNNNNNNNNNNNNNNNNNNNNGAGGGUUUGAGGGUACUCCUAAAGAUGCUCUCAGAUGAUGCCUCCAACCAUUUCAGGUAAAGACAUCCUUGUCCUUCUGUUCCAUCCACGUACACACGGCUAUAAACAGUUGUUAGUGUUCAGAUCACUGAAGAAUAGACUACAAAGGGACCCAUUGCGUAGACUUCUAGAUAACCUGUAGCAAAGAGAAAUCUGACUUAUAACUAAUUUGUUUUCGAAAAGAAGGAUUACUCCCGGCUAAGCCUGGGCAUNNNNNNNNNNNNNNNNNNNNNNNNNNNNNNNNNNNNNNNNNNNNNNNNNNNNNNNNNNNNNNNNNNNNNNNNNNNNNNNNNNNNNNNNNNNNNNNNNNNNNNNNNNNNNNNNNNNNNNNNNNNNNNNNNNNNNNNNNNNNNNNNNNNNNNNNNNNNNNNNNNGCCGGGCCGGGCCGGGCUUCAGGCCGGGCUUUACAAAGCCCGAACUGGAAAUCCAAGCCCAAGCCCGGCCCGGCCCGGCAAAAAAAGUGAAAUCAGGCCCGAGCCCGACCCAAAUGGUCAUAAAAGGUGAAUUCCAUGCUGGGCCGGGCCGGGCCUCCGUGUAAAUCAUUGUUUUUUGUAAGCCCAAGCCCGGCCCGAACUGCUUCCCCGGUCCGAUUGUCAAGCCCGGGCCCGGCCCGAACACAAAGCCUAACCCGGCCCGACCUGAGUUUUUCAGGCCGGGCUCGAGCCGGGUCGUCGGGCCGGGCUGCCCAUGCCCAGAUAUACUCUCGGCCUCUGGGCCGGGCUGCCCAUGCCCAGAUAUACUCUCGGCCUCUGGAUCAAUAGAUGCAGAUAGUCAGUUAUUAAAAAUGAACCGUGUAUUAAAGAAUCAUGAACAGCUCCAACAUAAAUAAAGCAAAAAUCACAUGAAAAAAUUCCACAACCAACACAAAUAAAAUAAAAUGCUUACACGUUAUUUUAUUAUUGAACUGUUAUCCAAACUGAUUGUAUGUAUCCCGUGCUAUGCACUAUCUUCCAUCUGUUGCAUCCAAAAGCCAUAAGUCCUCUCAUUUCGGCAUGGUGUAGUAACAACCACGUACAGAUCCAUCCAAACACCCUACCUGCAAAUGUUAUUCUAAUUUUUACUCUAUCAAACACAAAGUCAUUCCGACACCUAUAACUAUGUAUGUUGCAAUCUGAGGAAAUUGUUAACAAGUAGCUGCUAGCUCGGCUUGGGAGUAGCGGUUAAUCGCUAAAUCAGCCUACUAACUGGACUAAUCGAUUGAUCAUUAAUCUGUGUAAUUUUAAACCAUAUAGAAGCAAACUUUGUAUGGAGAAAAGAACCUACAUUACAAAUCUGAAGCAAAUGACACCAUUUCAUUUUCUAAAUAUAUCAAAAACAUGUAAACAAGAACAAUCAUCCAUGUGGGCGUAAAAAAAUCAUCAACAAACAUGUAUACCACAACUUCUUUUUUUGCUUGUUUCUGCAUGAGAAGCAACUCCGAGAGAUGGCGGCAACACAUCAUCGAUAGACGGAGGAAAGGUGAUGUCGGCCGCGCAGGUUGUUUGAACGGGUCGGUUGCUAGAUGUGGCAAGUCCCGAAGAAGGAGGGGAAGUAGUGGCAUCCAGAGGAAGGAGAGAAAGUGGUGACACACAAGGGAGGAGGGGAAGCGGCAACGUGCAGACGAGGACCUAUCAUGUUGGCUAGGUGACAUCUAGUUUGAGAGGGGAGGAGAGGAGCGGGAGGGACGGGUGGAGGGCCAAACCAUAGCAAUUUAGAAGCAGAAGGAGCUGCGAGGGGUUAUGGGCCACACAAUUGGGUUUUGUUUGGCGACGAGGUAACCGGCCAACAUUGAUUAAUCGGACUGACAAUCGAUUAAUCGGUCUGACAGACCAACUAAUCGGUCCGACAGACCAUUUGGUGGGCCUAGCAAGUUAACGCGAUGAAUACGUGGUAUUCAAUUCGGACAUCCGACGAGUAGAGAUUAACCGGACAAUUAAGUGAUUAAUUGAAUGAAUUCUUGAACAAUAUUAUAUUGUUCUAGUAGAUAUAAAAGAAAUUUAGCAUGAGAGUAGGCUUUUGCUCUCAGGCUCCACAUUUCAAACAUUCCAAAAUCAGCUUUUUAAAUUAUAAAAAAUGGAAAAAAUACACAAGUACUUAUGGAUGUAUAUUAAAUGUGAGCGAAAUUUCACCACGAAUACUUUUUUGUGUCGCUUCUACAAAAAAAUCAUGCGAAUUUAUAAUGAAUGGUACAUGUGCUAUGAAUACGCCAAUUUGUCAUUUUUGUGUUGCUCGCUUAAAAAAGCGUUGGUCAUGAUGAAGCUUCACAGACAAGUACUUCCUUCGUUCCUAAAUAUAAGUCUUUCUGAAAGUUCAACUAAUGGACUACAUACGGAUGUAUAUAGACAUACUUUAGAGUAUAGAUUCAUUCAUUUUGUUUCAUAUAUAGACACCUAGUGAAAUAUCUUAAAAGACUUAUAUUUAGAUACGGAGGGAGUAGUAUACAUCCAUACGUAUAUGUGUAUCUUUUCAGAAUCUUUUCAAGCGUAUUUUUUUUUUCAAGUAAUGGGCUCCAAGGAGCUCCAGCUCCAUUAUCAAUAUCCGAUUUAGCACACCAUACACAAUUUGGCAAGCACAAACUAAGCAUUUUCUUCUCAGUUUCCUUCUAUUAACAGUGCAACUAGCUAAGUGGUCCUUUGGUGUUGAUACGAGGGACCGUGCUAGCUAGUUUCGAGUUCCUGAAAUUACAAUGCAAAAAUGAUGUGCUUGGCUUACUAAUCAAUCAAGUCAGCUGGCCUUCUCUCUAAAAGGUGUACACGCUAGAUACGUGCACUCGCAAAAUCUGUCUAGGAACGAUGUGAAAUUUUACAAUGCUCCAAAUUAGUAUAGACUGUUAAAUUUUUAACGGUAUAAUGGGUGACAUAAUAUCACUUCCUUGGUUAUAUCUGAACAUGAUGAUGUCACUCAAGUAACUUGGUUAACUUUCAGUCGAUUGAGAUCUAGCUACAAUAUCCUAAAUGCCGCUGCAAAAUAACAACUUACUCCUUCUAUGUCUACAUAAUUAUUGUUGGAAAAACUAGACUAGCUAGUUCUCCAUAACAAUAAUUAUUUAGGUACAGAGGGAGUACAAAGUAUAAUGCUACCCUUGUCCACCAGACCGUCAGGAUUAAAAGUAUGUCUUACCUCUAGGCACGUAAGGUAGUGCACCUUAAUAAAAGAACUAAAAAACUAUACCCAGCAUUGGUGCUGUUUGGUUGAAAAUUCAGUACGGAUGUAGAGUGAGUAAAUCAAUAAGCCUAGUUAGAUUCUUCAUAUAUGACUUCUAAAAAAAGGUUCUUUCUUUAUGAAGACCAUGCAUGUUCACUGUUAAUACUGAGAACUGACAUGCUGAUUCCUACAAGCAAAAAAAAAGAGGUAGCAUCUCUGAAGAAUCCUCAUAGAAGUUCUCUUAACUAUAUUUUGCACUUGACGGCGGACCCAUGAUUGGAAUUGGACGCACACGAAAGCUGUUGAUUUUUUGUUUGAGGGCUAUGAAAGCUGUUGAUUAGCAAUAGGUCGGCUAGCAAAGAACGGAUGCUGUUGCUCUCUCUUUUGGAAAGCCGGCGCAGAUGUAAUCAGGUCCACUGAAAUUUGACCACCUUUGCCUUUUGUCACCGAUAUACACGUUCACAAAGCGCGUGAUUUUCAGGGUGAUGAUCAUUCCCCUCGUGAUUCCUCAAAAAGUUUCAUAUGAGAUUCAUGGUCAAUAUAGUUUCUCCACCUAGUCAAUACAUUGGGUUCGUUCGAUCCUCGAAUGGGGAAGGUUGCCGCACGAGCUGAACCGGGCUCCAACCAUGCACCCUCGGAAAAAAUGCCGGCAAGAAAAUAGAUGCGUCUCAUACACAAGAGGCUCAAGACCCUCGCCACCCAUAUGUAGGUUAUUGUCAUUUUAAAUCUCAGAAUGAAUCAAACGAAGCCCAAAAAUCAUGAGACUUGCCAUGGUGACAUGAUAUGUCCAAUAGACGCUAUGCUAAAAAAAUUGAGAAUAUUUGACAAAGAUUAUCACGUAAAUUUCUUACAAACCGGACCAUCUUUCAUGAAGAAACUAGGUUUCGAGAGGGAACACACUACAUUUGCAUAUGAAGCAUAUGUUGCUUCAUCCAUUGGCAUCAGUUUUUUUUUUCACACUCAACACGCAUCACUAAAUCUAUGAUGCCAAAAGUUUGGCCUUUUUUGGCAUCUGCAUGCAAUUUAAUCCAUUGAUGGCAUUCUAGGCAUUUAAUGAAUAUACUUUCAAUUUGAACUAUAGGUACACUAGUGGGGACAGGGCCUAUAGCCCCGGCCCGUAAGGGGCUUUAGUCCCGGUUCACCAACCGGGACUAAAGGGGCGGGACUAAAGGCCUAACCUUUAGUCCACUAGUGGGGACAGGGCCUAUAGUCCCCGCCCGUAAGGGGCUUUAAUCCCGGUUCACCAACCAGGACUAAAGGGGCGGGACUAAAGGCCUAACCUUUAGUCCCGGCCCUGUUCCACGCCGGGACUAAAGGUGCUCCACGUGGGCGCCUCGUAGCGCCCCAGGGGCAGGCCCUUUAGUCCCGGUUCGUUACACGGACCGGGACUAAAGAGUUUCAGAUUUUGUUUAUUUUUGGGUUUUUUUUUUUGAAUGAAAUUAUUUUUGGGUUUUAGGGUUUUAGGGUUUAGGCGUUCGGGAGAUUAACGUGAUGCCUCGUUUGGUGUUCGGGAAUUAGUUUUCAUAUAAUUUAAAUAGAAAUAAUUAUGCAUAUAUAUAUAUAUAAGAUUAACUUAUCUUACAAGCGAGCAUAUAUAUACAAUUAUAUGGAGAUCCGAAUUAUCGGGACUAGAGCCCGUCUAUUCGAUUACAUGGACGAACAUUCAGUAAUGGCCCCUAGCUACACUAAAUUGUCCUUUGUCAUCUAUAACUUCCGUCCUUAGAAAGGUCGCAAGCUCCUCUGCAACAGCAAUCGCGCAUUGCUCUGGUAGGACCUUCGUCCUCAUGGCCGUGUACUAUAUAACAAGAGGAGAUGAAUAUGAAUAUCAAUCAUGAUAACAAAGAAUGACGGGUAAAAAUAGAGGUGUGAAUGUUCAUUGCUUACGUCGAAUCUGUGAUCCUUGUGCUCGGAGGUAAACGUGCGAAUGGUCUCGCAAACAUAGUAUCCGCAUAGAUGCGUUCCCCGUGGCUGCUGGUCGCACUUUACGCGAAUAGAAUAUAUAUAAUCAAAAUAGUAAUCUAGCAUCAUAAAUGUAUUGAAAAUAGAAGUAUAUCAUACUACUACUUACCUGAGCCGCUCUAAAGGUCAGCUUCUCAGGCUCGAUACCGGGAGUCACGCACUUGAACCGCUUCCAAACCCUGCCCGACAAGGAUAAUGAUUUGCUAAGUUUUUCAUUAAUUGAUAUAUCAGAAAAUCAUCGAAAGAGACAGAUAGAGCGCAAGAAUGAUUGAAAUUACCCUUGGAGCAUGCCCUGCAGGCUUUGGAACUGUUCCAAGGGUCUCGAUAAUGGGUCGAAGGCAUCAACUCUUCCCUUAUCAAUUUGAAUGUCCAACAGAAUCCAAUGGAAGCUGCACAUGUAUAUAUAUAUAUGUGUGUGUGUGUGUGUGAGUAACUUAUCAAUUACACUUAUAAGUGAAUGGACACAACAGAGUAAAGACCCUCACCUGAAGUUGUAUGGAAACAGUAUGUGGUCACAUAAAUUUUGAUCUGUUAGAAACCUUAGAAGGUUUUCCUCCGUCUCCUUGGGUUUAUCAGUUAGCGUCGCUAUAUGUAUUUUAUCUGGGUCAAUAAACCCAAUAUUUAGGAUGUUCUUUCUUUUACAAUCCAGAAUCUUCAUUCUGCAUAAUAGAGUACAAGUUAUAUAUAGACAAUGAAUUGAAAUAACUAAACAAGUUAUAUGUAGACAACGAAUUGAAAAACUUACAGACAAUAGCAACUCGUAAGCGAUUUGUCGAGGGCGUCGCCAUUGUACAUCUGGAAGAGUUCAUCAAAGUCGAUAUGGAUUUCUUCGGGGCGGCCGUAGUACUUCCGUGGGACACUCACCACGAUCAUCGUUCUCCCAUUCUUUGAUUCACUUAAGUACCAUGUAUGCAAGUAACGCAUAUUUGUUGGGAGAUCAUCUUUGCUGACCAAAGGUGCUCCCAUGACAAACUGUGGCUUAGGGGCUACCACAGCCUUGGGUAACCUGUCGUCUUGGGAAGCCAGAAUGUCUUCAACCGAGAUACCCCAUUCAGCCGUCCACUUCUUUGCUAAUUCGAAAUAUUGCCCCUGCACAGGAGGGGGGACAUUCUCGGUUAACACCUUGAGGGGUGGGAUCGACUGUUUGGCCUGUUGUCCAAGCUGAGGAACGUCUGAUUUUUUCUUGCUUGUAGUUGAACUUGAUUUGCUCCCACUUGCACUUGCACGUGAUCUGCUCUUUUUCACUUCCUUCUGCAAUGUGCGUGUAUAGUCAUCAGGAUUAUGGUGUAAGUCAUAGAGUGAUGGAAGGGUCGUGAAGUAUUUUGCAAAUGCUAUUUGCUUCUCGGUGUAUUCCGGGCGGGGCUCGGGUUCCUUCUUUUUCAUCUGCGCAUCAUGAUGUUCCUUUGCUAUCCUGGCGUUUUCCUCGGGGGUACGAUCAUAAGGUCUGAUAGGAAGAUUAGCAUGAGGUACCUUUGGGAGGGGCGACCAUUUGCGCUUUGUGGGGCUCCGUCGCUUAGAAAUCGUCGGCGGAGCGUUCUUGGUGGCACGCUUCCGCUUAGUAUCCGGAGCGGGCGGCGGCGGAGACGGACGACCCAAGUCCGGCGGCGGUGAUCGAGAUGGACUCGUGUUGUGCUGGCCAACGUCAUAUGGAGGGCUUGGAGGUGUAGGUGACCUGCGACGGCUCGGAGGCGGUGUUGUCCUUCGGGCCGAGACUGGAAGCUUGAUGUAGUUCUUGUCCCAUAGGAUGACUCCACCCAGUACUUCUCCGAGUGUCCUCUCAUCUUCGGGUCCAGCUAUGUCGAGCUCCAUAUCAUGAAACCCCGUCAUGAUUUCAUCCACCCCGACUUUAGCAAAGCCAGUUGGAAUCUCACGGCCAUGCCAGCGUGCAUCAGGGCCAGAAGGUAAAGCUUGUCCGACGGCCACCUUCAUGGAUAUGUUCUUGAAUUUCUGAUGGAGUUCACAUGAUGUUGACUCCUUGAUUCCAUCCACGGGGUAGCCGGGACCGCCCUCUAUCAUUCUUUGUUCAUCGUCGGGCGGGGCCUCAGGUUCAGCCACGCUGCAUUUCCGCUUAGAUGGGGCGCCGGUAAUAUCAAAUGCAGGAUCUUCCUGGCGCGCUACUCCUCUAAGCUCAUCAAUCUGCUUCUGUUGCUCGUUAAUCUUGGCAAGCAACUGGUUGAACCUGUCAUUCUCCUCAUCCUGCUGCCGCUUCUUUGCUCUCUCUCGGCUUCUGUAAGUGUCUUGGUCUCUGGCAACCCCAAGCCACCACGGGUAAGAAGGACCGAGGCCUCGCGUUCGUCCUUCAUGUUCGUCAUUGCCGAGGACCAGUGUGAGCAAAUCUUUCUCUCUAUCUGCAGUGAACUUUCUUUUUCCCUCCUUAAUUUCUUUCACUAUCCUUUUCCAAUUCUCCCUGGGUAUCCUAAGACCUUCACUGCAGAUGAGGUCCCCUGUUUCUUGUCAUACGAACCACCAUGCGCAAGGAACCAAUUUCUUGCUCUCAAUUCCCACUCAUCACGGAGUGGUUCAGGUACGAUGCCUUUGUCUAGCAGAUCUUGCUCUUUCUUAUCCCACUUUGGGAUGGCAGUCUCAUAGCCCCCUGGCCCCAGCUUGUGGUGAUAUUUCUUCUUGUCGGCAUUUAUCUCGUUCUUUUCUGAUAAUGCCUGGGCAUCUUCUGACUCCUUGUACUCUUGAAAUGCCUUCCAGUGAUUCGCCUGCUUGGCUAGAUACCCCUCGAAUACUGGCACUUUCUUUGUCUUCAGAUAGUUUUUCCAUAGCUUCUUCUUCCAGUUACAGAACAGUUCGACCAUCUUCUUUAGAGUCCACUGCUUGACUUUGGCCCUCAGUUUGUCUGCGGCGUCUUCAUUCUCACAUUCUGGCAGGCUGAAAUGUGACAUGAGAUCAUUCCAAAGAUUAUCUUUGUACCUUUCGGCGACAUAGUCACUAUCGGCUGCCCCUUUGCGCUUGUUCCACUCCCGAACACUGAUCGGGACGUGAUCCCUAACGAGAACUCCGCGUUGCUUCUUGAAUGUGUCAGCAACAUUCUUAGGAAGCUUGGGUUCGCCCGUAGACAAUAUCACCUCAAAGGUGUAAUGCGUCCAUGCAUCCAACUUUCUAGUCGGGCCUCGUUUCGUAGCUUUGCUCGAUGUGGAGGCCUAAGAGGGAGAAACAUUCGUCACAUGAAUGUAUAUGUAUACAAUAUGGAGCUAUCUCCAAUAUUUUUCACAUAUUACAAGUGAUUGUCGAACUUCAUAUGUAUACCUCGCCGGACUUUAUUAUUUCUUCACCGGCUUCUCCACCGGCUUCUCCAUCAGUGGAGCUAUCACCUUCUCCGUCAUUGGACCUAUCUCCUGCCCAUUCGGCUUCAUCUUUGUGUCGCUCGACCUCCAUUCCAUAUCCGGAGGGGUUUAGAUAUGACGAUGGAGAUUCAGCUGGUUCAAUGUCGGGGCCGUCUUUGAUUAUAUCUUCGAGAAGUUCUUCCUCUUCGAGGUUCUUGAUAUGUGGAUCCAUAGUUCUGCAAAAAACGGACAUUUGAUUAACUAAUAAACUAACAAACUAUAUAAGAGGGGUUGGAAACUUCGAAGUGUCGUUUUAUAUAGGAGGACCUUUAGUCCCGGGUCUUGGCUAGAACCAAAUCGUAAAAUAAAGUAGUAUUCAAAUUAGCAUGCAUUCAAUUAUAAGCAAAUACAUCAUCUCUUUUGUCCGUACAUCGUUGAAUAUUAUCACUAAUACUCCUUGAAUACUAUCAUACAUAUAACAUCACUGAUACAUCUAGAACCGUAGCGCCCGACAGGUAUCGGCACGGGCGGUGGACACCCAAAGAGAAGGAACCAUCACAGGAUCAUAGCUCCAGUGAGAUCCCCGAAGAACCUGCCAGGUAUGCUCGAACCUGCCCUCCAACGCAACCAUGUAGCGACGGACGUGCUCAUCCUCCUCGCUGACACGGUGACGUACCACCUCCGCGGGGUCCGGAAGCCUCGGCACCCUCACUGGCCCAGGCGACUGCCACCAAACAAGGAUCGGGUCAACGACGGGCUGGCUCCUCACCAACCUACGCCCCCUGGAAGGUAGCACCUCCCAAUACCAGCCGGGCGGAGCCCAGUCCCGGACAGGGCCCCUCUGAUCAAGCAGGUGUCCUUCGCCGAGUCGACAACGAGAAUGCGGGAUAGGCAUCGUAAAAUGAACUAAAAAAAUAAACUAGUUCUAUUAAUUUUCUUGCUAAAAAUAAACUAUUAACACUUAAGCAUAUACAAUAGCAAAUUAAACUAUUAACACUUAAGAAUAUACAAUAGCAAAAUUAAGCAAUAAUCUAAGAAACACUAUUAACAGUUAAGCAUAUACACUAUACAAUAGCAAAAUUAAAUGACAAAAAAAAUAUUUCUUCUUCUUGUAACCCUAAACUAUUUUUUCCUCUUCUUCUAUUUCUCCUCUUCUUCUACUUCUACUUCUCCUCUUCUUAUACUACUUCUCGUCUUCUCUUCUUCUACUUCUCCUCUCCUCCUCUUUUAAUUUUUUCUCUUCUUCUACUUCUCCUCUUCUUCUAUUUUUCCUCUUCUUCUCCUCUCCUCCUCUUCUUAUUCUCCUUUUUCUUCUUUUCUUCUCCUCCUCUUCUUAUUUUCCCUUUUCCUAAUCUUAUUUUCUUAUUUUUGUUCAUAUUUCUUAUUCUUGUAACCCUAACCUAAUUCUAAAUAUUACUAACCCUAAUAAUCUAGCACAAACCUAAUAACAAUAGGAAUUAAAUGACAAUUUUUUUCUUUUUCUUCUUUUCUUCCCUUUUUCUUCUUUUCUUCUCCUUUUUCUUCCUUUCUUCCCCUUUUCUUCCUUUCUUCCCUUUUUCUUCUUUUCUUCUCCUUUUUCUUCUUUUCUUCUCCUUUUUCUUCUUUUCUUCUCCUUCCCUUUUUCUUCCUUUCUUCUCCUUUUUCUUCCUUUCUUCUCCUUUUUCUNNNNNNNNNNNNNNNNNNNNNNNNNNNNNNNNNNNNNNNNNNNNNNNNNNNNNNNNNNNNNNNNNNNNNNNNNNNNNNNNNNNNNNNNNNNNNNNNNNNNNNNNNNNNNNNNNNNNNNNNNNNNNNNNNNNNNNNNNNNNNNNNNNNNNNNNNNNNNNNNNNNNNNNNNNNNNNNNNNNNNNNNNNNNNNNNNNNNNNNNNNNNNNNNNNNNNNNNNNNNNNNNNNNNNNNNNNNNNNNNNNNNNNNNNNNNNNNNNNNNNNNNNNNNNNNNNNNNNNNNNNNNNNNNNNNNNNNNNNNNNNNNNNNNNNNNNNNNNNNNNNNNNNNNNNNNNNNNNNNNNNNNNNNNNNNNNNNNNNNAAGUUUAGUCCCACCUCGCCGAGCGAGGGGGACAAACACUUGUUUAUAAGCCCCGUCGCAGCUUCUCCAUCGAGCUCCUCUCUAAAGUAGGCUUACGGGCCUAACCUAACUGAAAAUUGAAACUAUAUUCGAAAUUAUGGAGAAAAUUCAACCUGAAUUCAAAGUGAGUUCACUUCGAAUUUAGGUUGAAUUUNNNNNNNNNNNNNNNNNNNNNNNNNNNNNNNNNNNNNNNNNNNNNNNNNNNNNNNNNNNNNNNNNNNNNNNNNNNNNNNNNNNNNNNNNNNNNNNNNNNNNNNNNNNNNNNNNNNNNNNNNNNNNNNNNNNNNNNNNNNNNNNNNNNNNNNNNNNNNNNNNNNNNNNNNNNNNNNNNNNNNNNNNNNNNNNNNNNNNNNNNNNNNNNAAACUAUUUUCUAUUUUGAAAAGUAGUUAUUUUGACUAUCCAAACUAUUAACUAUUUUGUUAUUUUCAAUUAAAAACUAGGUUUAUUAAUUUUUUUUUUGCAUAUUUGAGAAUUUGACAAAACUAUGAUAAUGAAAAGUGUUUCAAAUUGAAUAAAUAAUUCAAAACUAUUUUCUAUUUUCAAAAGUAAUUAUUUUGACUAUCCAAACUAUUAUCUAUUUUGUUAUUUUCAAUUAAAAACUAUGUUUAUUAAAAAUUCUUUUUGCAUAUUUGAGAAUUUGAUAAAACUAUGAUAAUGAAAAGUGUUUGAAAUUGAAUAAAUAAUUCAAAACUAUUUUAUAUUUUCAAAACUAAUAAUUUGGCUAUCCAAACUAUUAACUAUUUUGUUAUUUUCAAUUAAAAACUAUGUUUAUUAAAAUUCUUUUUGCAUAUUUGAGAAUUUGACAAAACUAUGAUAAUGAAAAGUGUUUGAAAUUGAAUAAAUAAUUCAAAACUAUUUUCUAUUUUCAAAAUUAAUUAUUUUUACUAUCCAAACUAUUAUCCAUUUUGUUAUUUUCAAUUAAAAACUAUGUUUAUUAAUAAUUCGAACGAGAACUCAUCUCUUACAAAGGGAUUUCAUUUUUUUGAACUUAUUUGAACUCCAUACUUUUUGUGUGUUCAAAUUUCACCAUUCAAAGGCACAUCACAAAAUAUCAAUAAUUUCUGACUUCAUUUGGUAUUCUUCGUGCAUUUACUUAUUUUGUUUUGAGCUAGUUGAUCCUGAAAUUGAAAAGCACUACAAAUGAACUCUGAAAAUGUUGAAAGUUGGCAUGCUAUCAUCAUUUCACACACAUAGCAUGUGUUAAAAAGUUGAGAGGGCUACGACAAAAACUGGAUGCACUUCGUGUACAAAACAGACAAUCUCUCUCGAAGUAUUAGCGUUUCAAACGAGAACUCAUCUCUUACAAAGGGAUUUCAUUUUUUUGAACUUAUUUGAACUCCAUACUUUUUGUGUGUUCAAAAUGCACCAUUCAAAGCCACAUCACAAAAUUUCAACAAUUUCUGACUUCAUUUGGUAUUCUUCGUGCAUUUACUUAUUUUUUUGAGCUAGUUGACCCUGAAAUUGAAAAGCACUACAAAUGAACUCUCAAAAUGUUGAAAGUUGGCAUGCUAUCAUCAUUUCACCCACAUAGCAUGUGUUAAAAAGUUGAGAGGUCUACGACAAAAACUGGAUGCACUUCGUGUACAAAACGGACAAUCUCUCUCGAAGUAUCAGCGUUUCGAACGAGAACUCAUCUCUUACAAAAGGGAUUUCAUUUUUUUGAACUUAUUUGAACUCCAUACUUUUUGUGUGUUCAAAUGCAUCAUUCAAAUGCACAUCACAAAAUUUCAACAAUUUCUGACUUAAUUUGGUAUUCUUCGUGCAUUUACUUAUUGUAAAAACUGUAACUGAAAAUAAUUUUCUAACAUAAAACAACACAUAUCUUCUACUAAUAAUAACAAUGCAUUGUAAAAACUGUAACUGGAAAUAAUUUUCUAACAUAAAACAACUUCCAAUGAUUUCCCUUCACAACUAAACGUUUUACCUAAAUAUCUUUAGUUACAGAAAUAUUUGGAAUACAUGGAAGGACGAUAUAUGUGCACAGGAAAUAAAUUGGAUUGAGAAUGUGGUCAACCAAUCAAUGCCUACAUCAUGUUUCCUUGCUCUGAAUUUGUUUUUUUCAGAAUGGCGACUUUUCUCUCACAUAACUAAAUUUGAUAACAGGUUCAUCUUCCUUGCUCUAAUCCUCACUUUCAUCUUUUUUCCGAAACGACCCUCAGGCGGACUCCAUUACCAUUGAUAAUGAAACAAAAGUAUUUCACCACGUAAUGCAUGAUGCUUGAUCUAUCCAAGGUAGAUGACAAAAUAAAAGUACUACUGUCACGCACAAACAAGGAUUGGAAACAAUGGUGCUUUCAGUAAUCUGAAAAAAUGUUUUAUAAUGUUUGCCAAAUAAGAUUACCACCUAUCAGGCAUGAGUUGUUGCUUUAAACAACAAGCACUAACAUUGUUUUUAGCCUUGUGAAAUUUAAAUCGAAACCUGAGUAUUAAGCUUGUACUAGUUUGGAUAUGCCCAAAUCAAUUAAAGUUGGGGUGAAAUCAAAAUUGAAUAACAUAAAAGAUAUACCGAAUCACUUAAUCACUUGAGAUGUAGGUGUGCAUCACACCAUCUGGAACUAAAACGAAUGCAGACUUCGAGCUGGUAGCACAUCUCACGGGUGACGGUGCUGUCAAAAUUGAUGGAUUGAAGGACUAGAGGACAGCAGGAGCAGGAGCGAACAUCACCAAGCAAAAAAAAAUCAAGCAGCUGCAGUGUGUUGCCGGCUACUAACAGCAGGAGCAGCACGGGUCGGCCACGAGCGGGAGCGGCAGCAGCACGUUCGGUCUCAGGUCGAGGACGCGGGCCGCAAGCUCCUAAACCUAACCCUAGGUCGCCGCUGCGAGGAGAAGGGGAUGAACAAGAGAGGUGGAAGACGACUCACCGUGCAUCGCCGGAUGGCAAGCCACUACAAGCGGAAGGAGGAGGAGUCGGUGGUGCUUUGCUACUCAGCUCGUCGAAGCCCGACCACGAACAGGUCGGCGGCGCGACCGUAGAGGGGACGAGCUGUAGGUGGAGGAGGACCGCGGGCUCCGGAGCGAUCUUGGGGAGGGAGACCGCGGGCUCGGCAUCGCGUGCAGGUGGAGGAGCGAACGGCAGCGUGCGCGGGUGCGGGGAGGGUGGGAGCUGCAGCAGGUGGCGGCGGCGAUCUGGAAUGGGAGGAGCCGACGAGUGGGUGGCUAGGGUGCGGGGAGGGUGGGUUUGCUAGUUUUUUUUCUCCUUUUCUUCAGAAGGAUGAAUGGAUGAAGGAUCGAUGGACGUGGGAUUGCUAGGAAAUGACGGUAGGAUUUGUGCCAUGUCAUCGAUCCGUGGCAUAAAUGGUUCCACCAAUCAGAAUCCAGCUUAUGUAAUUGUUUUUUUUUCUUUUAUAUUUUUUAUCCUCUUAUUUCGAGUAAACACUCAACAUAUUAGCCUUAUGUGGUAUGUUUAAAUGAAUCUAUAUUUAUGGACCCAUAUUGGAUUUAGAUAUUAGUCUGAAUAUAUGUUGGAUUUAGAAAAUAUGGACCCAUAUUGUUGUCUCUAGUUGUAUUUUUUUGAUUGCCUAAAAAGAUUUGUCGAAUAUUUAUUAUUUCACUCAAAAUAAAGCUAUAUUUUUUGAUUGAGUGUUGUGGAUGGAAACACUUCUCAUUUAAUUAUGAUAGUAUUUGGCAUUACUGAAAAAUUCACCCACAUAUUUUUUAUUGUCAUGUUUAAGUUUUUAUUGUGUGAAACACUAAGUUAAGGUUCCCUAUACCACCUAUCAAAAAUAUUUAUCUCAAUAGGGUCUACACAUUAUGAGAUUAGCAUGGGCUAAUAUAUUUCAUUUUGGUAAUUAUAUUGUAUUUUCUAAAAUAUUUAGGAUAUUAAAAUGAAUAAUUAUAAUUUAUUGGUAUUUAUCUAAUAUAAUUUACUUCAUCCAUAUACGUAUAAAACAAUUUUUUGCUCUCUAUACAUGACAGAUAGGCAAAAUUGAUGAGGUGUCGUCCAGUCACCUCCACACAUAUGUUUAUGGUCUUAUAUUUGGUCAUGGUAGUAUUGAAAUAUGAUCAUAAAUAAUUCUACACAUCUUAAUGACCAUUUUUUACAAUAGGAUCAUGACCUAAUGAACGCAAAAGGUCAUAACGUUAUGGGCUUUGGACCCUCUUAGACUUGUCAUGACUAAUUUCAGAAUUUUGGUCAGGGAUCAAUGACCAAUUAAACCACCGUCAUUAUUUUUGGUCAUAAUUGAGCGUUUUUCUUGUAGUGUUGCCUGGCAUAUUAUCUUCAGGACGAAGAUCAAAGGUUAUUUCCAUACCCUCCUGAAAUCCAUAUGCCUUGCAAAGAUCUUCCCACUUUGGGCACCCAAAUUCUGUUUGAAAAACUGAAUUAAAUACUUUGAUAACAAAUGUGUGACCAUGUAUAGUCCUCAGGUUAGCGCUCCUCGUCUCAAUUCUUUCGUGGUCUUCGACACCGAGCCUCUCCAACACAUAUCUUCUUGCAUGACAAGGGAGGAACAUAUCUCCAUUAUCAUCAAGGUUCAUGCUGAAGAACCUAUCGUCUCGCAGGUGAGGCGUGUCGCACAUAUCCCGACAGUCGCCGCAAUAUUCACACUCCCAAUAUUCAUCGUCAGACAUUUCCUGUUUUAAUAUGUUAAAUGUGUAAAUAAAAAUCGCUGACACUAUAUCGAAAGAAUUGAACAUCUAUAUAUAAACAUAGUUAGGCCACUCAGACAUUUCGACAAAACUUAGCACAACUAAUUAGCAAGCAAUAGUGAGUAACUCACUACUGUUUUAUGCAUUAACACCAACAAAAGGAUGAUAUUUGUAGGUUGAUAAAAUAUAUAUGUGCCCUUUUUCCACUCCAAAGUUUAAAUAAGUUGUUUGAAACCAUUGGUUGUCUAAUUCAAACCUAAUGUGCCUACUUACAUGAAAUUUACAAACAUGAUUUUUUCCUUCUUUCUAGUUAGCCCAUCAAAAGAUCUUCAACAAACAUAUCUUGAUUUUCUUAUUAAGAUGCAUCUCAAGAUGACAUAUUGAACCGAUCGAUGGCCCUAAAAUCAAAAUGACAGCAGCCUUGGGGUGCCUAGAGCGGGAAGGGAGGUGGCGGUGGCGCCUGGAGGGGAUGGGCUUACCGGAGCGGGAUGGGGAGGGGGCUUACCGGAGCAGGCCGGAGAGGGGAAGGGGGCUUACCGGGAGGGCAGGGGGCGGCGGCGACGGCGAGGGAGGCGGCGGUGACGACGACGACGACAACGGCGAGGGAGGCGGCGGCGGGGAGGAGCGCGGAGACGACGACGACAUCGGGGAAGAGUUGCGCAAUCUCGCGGCGUCGAGGGUCCGUCCGCGUCACGAGGAGGAAGAAGAUCGAAACCGCGAUUUGGACAUCAUAAAAUUCCAAGUCUCGCUUAUAUAGGCGGAGCUUUGGUCUCGGGUCGUGGCUCGAACCGGGACNNNNNNNNNNNNNNNNNNNNNNNNNNNNNNNNNNNNNNNNNNNNNNNNNNNNNNNNNNNNNNNNNNNNNNNNNNNNNNNNNNNNNNNNNNNNNNNNNNNNNNNNNNNNNNNNNNNNNNNNNNNNNNNNNNNNNNNNNNNNNNNNNNNNNNNNNNNNNNNNNNNNNNNNNNNNNNNNNNNNNNNNNNNNNNNNNNNNNNNNNNNNNNNNNNNNNNNNNNNNNNNNNNNNNNNNNNNNNNNNNNNNNNNNNNNNNNNNNNNGACCCGGGACUAAAGGUGGUAAGUUUUAGUCCCACCUCGCUUGUCAAGAGGCGGUGCAACUAGUUUAUAAGCCCCACCGCCCCGAACCGUCUCGAGCUCUUCUCUAAAGCAGACUUACUGGCCUAAACGCACUCUAAAUUUAAAAAUGAAAAAAUAUAUAUGAAAUUAAAGACAAAAUUCAACCUAAAUUNUCCAUACUUUUUGUGUGUUCCAAAAUGCACCAUUCAAAGGCACAUCACAAACUUUCAACAAUUUCUAACUUCAUUUGAUAUUUUUUUCGUGCAUUUACUUAUUUUAUUUGAGCUAGUUGACCCUGAAAUUGAAAAGCACUACAAAUGAACUUUGAAAAUGUUGAAAGUUGGCAUGAUAUCCUCAUUUCACCCACAUAGCAUGUGCUAAAAAUUUGAGAGUGUUACGAUAAAAACUAGAUGCACUUCGUCUUCAAAACGGACAAUCUCUCUCGAUGUAUGAGUGUUUCGAACUAGAACUAAUCUGUUACAAAGGGAUUUUUUUUUUGAACUUAUUUAAACUCCAUACUUUUUGUGUGUUCAAAAUGCACCAUUGAAAUGCACAUCACAAAUUUCCAACAAUUUCUAACUACAUUUUGUAUUUUUCAUGUAUUUACUUUUUUUUAGAGCUAGUUGACCCUGAAAUUGAAAAGCACUACAAAUGAACUCUAAAAAUGUUGAAAGUUGCCAUGGUAUCAUCAUUUCACCCACAUAGAAUGUUCUAAAAGUUGAGAGGGUUACGACAAAAACUGGAUGCACUCCGUGUACAAAACGAACAAUCUCUUUCUAAGUAUGAGGGUUUCGAACGAAAACUCAUGUGUUACAAAGGAUUUCAUUUUUUUGAACUUAUUUGAAAUCCAUACUUUUUGUGUGUUCAAAAUGCACCAUUCAAAGGCACAUCAUAAAAUUUCAACAAUUUCUGACUUCAUUUGGUAUUUUUCGUGCAUUUACUUUUUUUAGCUAGUUGACCCUGAAAUUGAAAAGCAGUACAAAUGAACUCUGAAAAUGUUAAAAGUUGGCGUGGAAUCAUCAUUACACCCACAUAGCAUGUGCUAAAAAGUUGAGAAAGUUAUGACAAAAACUAGAUGCACUUCGUGUAUAAAACGGACAAUCUCUCUCGAAGUAUGAGUGUUUCGAACGAGAACUAAUCUGUUACAAAGAGAUUUCAUUCUUUUGAACAUAACUCCAUACUUUUUGUGUGUUCGAAAUGCAGCAUUCAAAUUCACAUCACAAAUUUUCAACAAUUUCUGACUAUAUUUUGUAUUUUUCAUGUAUUUACUUAUCUUUUUUGAGCUAGUUGACCCUGAAAUUGAAAAUCACUACAAAUGAAAUCUGAAAAUGUUGAAAGUUGGCAUGAUAUCAUCAUUUCACCCACAUAGCAUGUGCUAAAAAGUUGAGAGGGUUACGACAAAAACUGGAUGCACUUCGUGUACAAAACGGACAAUCUCUCUCGAAGUAUGAGGGUUUCGAACGAGAACUCGUCUAUUACAAAAGGAAUUUCAUUUUUUUGAACUUAUUUGAACUNNNNNNNNNNNNNNNNNNNNNNNNNNNNNNNNNNNNNNNNNNNNNNNNNNNNNNNNNNNNNNNNNNNNNNNNNNNNNNNNNNNNNNNNNNNNNNNNNNNNNNNNNNNNNNNNNNNNNNNNNNNNNNNNNNNNNNNNNNNNNNNNNNNNNNNNNNNNNNNNNNNNNNNNNNNNNNNNNNNNNNNNNNNNNNNNNNNNNNNNNNNNNNNNNNNNNNNNCAUUUGGUAAUUUUCAUGCAUUUACUUUUUUUUGAGCUAGUUGACCCUGAAAUUGAAAAGAUCAACAAAUGAACUCUGAAAAUGUUGAAAGUUGGCAUGGUAUCAUAAUUUCAUCCACACAACAUGUGCUAAAAAGUUGAGAGGGUUACGAGAAAAACUGGUUGCACUUCGUGUACAAAACGGAUAAUUUCUCUCAAAGUAUGAGGGUUUCGAAAGAGAACUAAUCUGUUACAAAGGGAUUUCAUUUUCUUGAACUUAUUUAAACUCCAUACUUUUUGUGUGUUCAAAAUGCACCAUUCAAAGGCACAUCAUAAAUUUUCGACUAUUUCUGACUUCAUUUGGUAUAUUUCAUGUAUUUACUUAUUUUUUAGAGCUAGUUGACCCUGAAAUUGAAAAGCACUACAAAUGAACUCUGAAAAAAUGUUGAAAGUUGGCAAGGUAUCAUCAUUUCAUCCACAUAGCAUGUUCUAAAAAGUUGAGAGGGUUACGACAAAAACUGGAUGCACUUCGUGUACAAAACGGACAAUCUCUCUCGAAGAAUGAGGGUUUCGAACGAAAACUCAUGUGUUACAAAGCGAUUUCAUUUUUGGAACUUCAUAUUUUUUUGUGUUCAAAAUGCACCAUUCAAAGGCACAUCACAAAUUUUCAACAAUUUAUGACUUCAUUUGGCAUUUUACAUGCAUUUACUUUUUUUGAGCUAGUUGACCCAGAAAUUGAAAAGCAGUACAAAUGAGCUAUGAAAAUGUUGAAAGUUGGCAUGGUAUAUUUAUUUCAACCACAUAACAUGUGGUAAAAAGUUGAGAGGGUUACGACAAAAACUGGAUGCACUUCGUGUACAAAACGGACAAUCUCUCUCGAAGUAUGAGGGUUUCGAACGAGAACUCAUCUAUUACAAAAGGAAUUUCAUUUUUUUGAACUUAUUUGAACUCCAUACUUUUUGUGUGUUCAAAAUGCAUCAUUCAAAGGCACAUCACAAAUUUUCAACAAUUUCUGAUUUCAUUUGGUAAUUUUCAUUCAUUUACUUUUUUUGAGCUAGUUGACCCUGAAAUUGAAAAGCACUACAAAUGACCUUUGAAAAUGUUGAAAGUUGGCAUUGGUAUCAUCAUUUCACCCACAUAGCAUGUGCUAAAAAGUUGAGAGGGUUACGAUAAAAACUGGAUGCACUUCGUGUACAAAACGGACAAUCUCUCUCGAAGUAUGAGAGUUUUGAACGAGAACUAAUCUGUUACAAAGAGAUUUCAUUUUUUGAACUUAUUUAAACUCCAUACUUUUUGUGUGUUCAAAAUGCACCAUUCAAAGGCACAUCACAAAUUUUCAACAAUUUCUGACUUCAUUUGGUAUUUUUCGUGCAUUUACUUAUUUGUUUUUGAGCUAGUUGACCGUGAAAUUAAAAAGCACUACAAAUGAACUCUAAAAAUGUUGAAAGUUGGCAUGGUAUCAUAAUUUCACCCACAUAGCAUGUGCUAAAAAGUUGAGAGGGUUACGACAAAAACUGGAUGCACUUCGUGUACAAAACGGAUAAUCUCUCUCGAAAUAUGAGGGUUUCGAAACUCAUCUCUUACAAAGGGAUGCAUUUUUUUAAACUUAUUUGAACUCCAUACUUUUUGUGUGUUCAAAAUGCAUCAUUCAAAGGCACAUCACAAAUUUUCAACAAUUUCUGACUUCAUUUGGUUUUUUUCAUGUAUUUACUUAUUAUUUUUGAGCUAGUUGACCCUGAAAUUGAAUAGCAGUACAAAUAAACUCUGAAAAUGUUGAAAGUUGGCAUGGUAUCAUCAUUUCACCCACAUAGCAUGUGCUAAAAAGUUGAGAGGGUUACGACCAAAACUGAAUGCACUUCGUGUACAAAAUGGACAAUCUCUCUCAAAGUAUUAGAGUUUCGAACGGGAACUCAUCUGUUACAAAGGGACUUCAUUUUUUGAACUUAUUUGAACUUGAUACUUUUUGAGUGUACAAAAUGCACCAUUCAAAGGCACAUCACAAUUUUUCAACAAUUUGUGACUUCAUUUGUUAUUUUUUGUAUAUUUACUUAUUUUUUUGAGCUAGUUGACCCUGAAAUUGAAAAGCACUACAAAUGAACUCUGAAAAUGUUGAAAGUUGGCAUGGUAUCAUCAUUUCACCCACAUAGCAUGUGCUAAAAAGUUGAGAGGGUUACGAAAAAAACUGAAUGCACUUCGUGUACAAAACGGACAAUCUCUCUCGAAAUAUGAGGGUUUCGAACGAAAACUCAUGUGUUACAAAGGGAUUUCAUUUUUUGAACUUCUACUUCCCCUAGUGCAUAAAAAAUAUCUAGCACAAGGAGAAGAAGGAGAAGCGACCCCCACAACAACAGUCGACAUUCUUCUUCUCUCAUAUAUGGUGGACACUCCCUCACCGAUUUUUCGACCGUCGAUGAUGGUCGCUACUCCUACUUCACCUAGUGCAUAACAAAUAUCUAGCAUAAGGAGAAGAAGGAGAAACGACCCCCACAACAACAGUCAACAUUCUUCUUCUCUCACAUAUGGUGGACAUUCCCUCACCUGAAUUUUUCGACCGUCGAUGAUGGUCGCUACUCCUACUUCCCCUAGCGCAUAACAAAUAUCUAGUACAAGGAGAAGAAGGAGAAGCGACCCCACAACAACAGUCGGCAUUCUUCUCUCAUAUAUGGUGGAUACUCCCUCACCUGAUUUUUUGACCGUCGAUGAUGGUCGCUACUCCUACUUCCCCUAGUGCAUAACAAAUAUCUAGCACAAGGAGAAGAAGGAGAAACGACCCCCACAACAAGAGUCGGCAUUCUUCUUCUCUCAUAUAUGGUGGACACUCCCUCACCUGAUUUUUCGACCGUCGAUGAUGGUCGCUACUCCUACUUCCCCUAGUGCAUAACAAAUAUCUAGCACAAGGAGAAGAAGGAGAAGCGACCCCCACAACAACAGUCGGCAUUCUUCUUCUCUCAUAUAUGGUGGAGACUCCCUCACAAAUCACUCUACUUUUAGAGCAUUUGAAUUGAGAUAAACUAGAAGUGAUAGAUGAAAGGAUGAAGUAGCUACCUUUUAAAACACUUGUGCAGUAGGUGCACGACCAAACCUAGACAAAUAUUGAGGAAAAUGGAGCUUGGAGGUCGAGCUUGGAGAGGAGAAAGCUUAAGUAGUGUGGCUCAGACAUUUGAUCGAACACCUCAUGUGCAUGAACUAGAGUGGCAAGAGCAUUGCAUGGUCACACCUCAACACCCAAAAAACAGAGGAGAGGGUGGGCAGGGGCGAGGGUUUAUAUAGGCAACACUUUAGUCCCGGUUUUUGUCUAAAACCGGGACUAAUAGCCUACCCUUUAGUCCCGGUUCGUUCCACAAACCGGGACUAAUGCUCCGCGGCACGCCACGUAGCAGUCGAUGGAUCUUUAGUCCCGGGUUUUGCCCCGAACCGGGACUAAUGAGGUGAACCGAACCGGGACCAAUGCCCCGGCAAACCGAACCGGGACCAAUGCCUACCGGGACUAAUGAUCUUUUGGCCCUCGGUCGAAAGACCCUUUUUUCAACUAGUGUACAUGAAAUAAUCACCAUAAAUGGAUUGAAAAACCUUUGGGGGAUCCUUUAUUAUUGGUUUAGGCCUUAUGUAAGCAAAAAAAAAGAGAAAUCUGAGACAUCUAGUGACCAAGACCAUAAAUGGAUCGACAUUUUAUUGAUAAAUUCAAACGAAGAUCCAAAAUCAUGAAAUUUGAUAUGGUAUCAUGAUAUGUUCCCUACAUGUCAUGGUAAAAGUUUGAGAAUGUUUCAAAAGAGUUUUCACGUAGACUGCUUGAAACGAGAUCAUCUUCGAGUAAGAAACUAGAUUUUAAGGAGUUGACCAAGUUUGCAUAUGAAGCAAGAGAUGCUACAUCGGAUGGCGUUGAAACCUUUUCCACACUCAAAUUAACCAUUAAAUGUGACAUGUGUAAAUUCAAUGCUUUUCUAGUCUGUUUGCCACACUUAAAUUUAACACUUUAAAUGCAUUUACCUCCAUUAAAUAUAUAGAAAUCCAUCUAGUAUAUUAAAAAUAACAAAAUACCCUGAAAAGUACCGAAGUAUUACAUGGAACGUCCAAUUAUGUACCAUUAAACCAGAAAAGAAUUAACCACAACCGUAAACAUAAAAAGACUAAAACCCUAAGAUUACAAAAAAUAUAUAUAUAUCAAUGACAAGCAAGAAAACAAUAUGCAACAGUGAUAGUUGGCGCAUACAUACCCAAGUACAAAUGGCAUGCAUCAGCAUGUGUCUGCCAUUGGUAUUUUAGGCCAUAAUAGCCGUGUGGUCAAAAUUACCAGUGGUGGGCACAUAUUUCUGCGCGCCACUAGCAACUCAAUGUACCAGUAGAGGGCCCGUGUUUAUGCCCACCACUGAUAAAUUUGGUCCAUGACUAAUCUGAGCCCAUGUUGCAAGUUACAUAUGCAAAGUCAUGACGUAACUGGUACUACUUAGAGCAUCUUCAAUAGAUGGUCCAAAUGUAAAAAAUAACUAACUUUUGGAUCGUGUGGGACAAAAAGGGUGCUCUAACACACGGUCCAUAUGCACAAAAAAAAAUUGGACUGCGGCCUCUUCAUGAUGUAAAAUCCAAAACCUCGCGGUGCAAAUUUACAUCACGAGGUGCAUCUGGUCCAAAACCAGCCGCCGCCCGCGAACGCCCAACCGCCACUUCCUUUCUGUUCCAGCCCGCACCCGUCGCCCGCCCGAAGACCAGUCGGCCGGAAUCCGCCGCCGCGACCGCCGAAAACCACGCCGUCGGCGCCACCACCACCCUAAAUCCCCGCCGCCGCCCUCCGCCGCCGUCGCCUGCCUCGCCGAUAGCCGGCUCGCAGCCGCCCGGACGCUGCCGAAUCGGGAGGCAUCCGGUGCGGGAUUCGGCGCCUUCGGCUGUCCGGCUGCCGCGGUAGGCCUCCGCCGGGUCUAAGGUUGCCGCCGACCUCGUCCCCGUCGGCCGUGAGCCUGUUCACGGCCGUUGCGCCGGCCGCACGACCGCCGCACGAAGCCCUCCGCUCGGCUGCCGAAGUACUGUUUGCGGCCCGGCGAGCUCCUCUUGGCCGGCCUCGAAGCUCUUUUCUUAUCACCGUCGUCGUCCGGAGGAGCCGACGACAGCCAUCCUCAGCCAUCAGCAGCAGCCAAUCCAACCGGCAGCCAUCUUCUUCCACCGCCCGCACUAGGUGUUCGACGGAAUUCCCCAAGGUAAAAAAAAAUGACGAAACUUGAUGAUUUAACUUGGGAUUGGAUAGUAUGUUUGACGGUGGUUGUGUGAAAUGUAGAUGAGCUCGGUUGACUCCUCUUUCAUGGAUGAUUCAUCGUUGGACGAGGAAUUUGAUUUGCAUGAAGAAGAGGAGGUUGCUAUGCUAGUGGCCAUGCACAAGAGGAAGAAACCGAAGCACGGUGGUCCCGUUUAUGGUCGUGCAUUCAUUCGGAAAGAACGGAUUGACGCGCACAAACAGAUUGAUGCGCACAAACCGAAGCACGGUGGUUCCGUUUGUGAUUCAUCGUCAGACAAGGAAAACAUUUAUAUUACAAUUUCUAUCAUUUGAUGGGCAUUCCUGUUAACCCCAUGCGAAAAGAACAGCGCAUCAGACAUUUCAUGAAGGUGUACAGUGAAAUUAGAGACACCGAUGUGCAUGACCAACUCCAUAAAGAUUUGAUGGAAGAGCAUUGGAAAUGGCAUGGCGAAAGAUCCGCAUAGAUUCAUUAUUUGUUUGUUCAAAACUAUGUUGUAUUAUGCAAAACUAUGUUGUAUUUGUGUUGCGCUUCAUCUCCUGGAUCUGAAGAACUAUGUAAUAAUUUGAUAUUGUGCACAUGAAAUUUUUUAUGUUGUUUCAAAACAUGUUUUUAUGCAAUAUGUGCGGCUGUACAGUGGCUGGACAGCGGCUAAACAGCAGACGCGUGGCUGUUGGCCAAUUUUGGACCAUGAAUUUGGACCAUCUAUUGGAGUUGGUCUUUUGGACCAUGAGAAUUUGGACCAUCUGUUGAAGUUGGCCUUUUUUCGAAGGUUCAAAACGCACUUUUUGGCGGUUCAAAUUUUAAUCCUUCGGUUUUGGACCGCCAAAUUUUAGACCAUCUAUUGGAGAUGCUCUAAAUGGCCAGACUACGAGUGGCAUGUGCAAAUGUGUGCCCGCCAAUGCUAAAGGUCCACCCAUAUGAGGGAGAGGCGAGGUGUCUCUCCAUUGUGCGAGAGAACAUCUGGAUGCCGCCAGUGAGGUCUCCCCGUCGUGGUCAGCCAUGCAACUUCACCUUAUGAAGAAGAAGGGUAGGUGGUCGGUGGCGACGACUAGGGUUGUUGGGUCAGCUCGAGCUGCACACAUGGGAGAGGCGCACGGAAAGCAAGUUCUUUUAAGCAUGGGUAUUCAUGUGUUGUAUCUUGCUACAGCUAAAUUUCAGUCGGAUGAGACUUGUUUAUGUCUCACUCGAUGCUAUAUUAAUGAGAUAUUACACAUAGAUCUGGACGGAAUCCUUCUUUUUAGUAACUUAUAUCUUAUUGGAACAUAUACGUGAUGAUGUCACUUGGCUGAGACUUAGAAAGUCUUAGGCCCCGUUUUUAUAAAAAGUCCUAAAUUUUUUUUAGUCCUUACUAAAUAGUCCCUUGUCCCUACCUAUUUGGUUCCAUGGAGUAAACAUGGACUAGAGGUUAUUAAAUGACAUGCUAAGUUACCCCUACUAAUGGACUACAGGUUAUAAAAUGACAUGCUAAAAGCAGGGGCACUGUUGAAAAAAGUCCGAAAAGACUCUCCCUUAGGGACUUCUUUCUUUAGUCUCAAAUGCCCACUUUUAGUCCCUAAAAGUCCCUUAUUUUUGAUUUAGAUGGGAUUAAAAGGGUUUUUUUAGUCUCUACACCAAAAAUUCCCUGUAAACAAACACCCCCUUGGUCCUCUGAGAUUUAGCCACAACAUAGUAAAUGGAGCUACAAAAUUAAAUUAUAUGAUGAUUAGUGAUGCACUUUUCCACCGGACGGUCAUGAAAAAAAAGUCUAGAGAUGCACUUUUCCAUCGGACGGUCACGAAAAAAAGUAUGUCUCAUGUCUAGGCAUUUAAGGUAAGGAACUCAAAAUCUAUACACGUGGUGCUAUUUGGUUAAAAAUUCGGUACAAAUGUAGGGUGAGUAAAUCCAUAAGCAUAGCACGAUUAUUCAGCUAUGAAUUGGGGGGAGUAAAAGAUUGUUCAUAUUUGAUGACCUGCAUGUUCAAUGUUAGUACUGACGGGGCUUGCUCGCGUCGCUCUCCAGGGGAGCGGCCCGAGCGUGACCUAGCGCCACCAUCGCCACCACCUCUGAUGCUCCUCCCUGCCCCCGCUGCCGGCGGGCGUCGCUGCCAGGCAAAGCCCGCGCAGCAGCCGGCGGCGGCGGGCCUCUCUUGUUGGGGAACGUCGCAUGGGAAACAAAAAUUUUCCUACGCGCACGAAGACCUAUCAUGGUGAUGUCCAUCUAUGAAAGGGGAUGAGUGAUCUACGUACCCUUGUAGAUCGUACAGUAGAAGCGUUAGAGAACGCGGUUGAUGUAGUAGAACGUCCUCACGUCCCUCGAUCCGCCCCGCGAACAAUCCCGCGAUCAGUCCCACGAUCUAGUACCGAACGGACGGCACCUCCGCGUUCAGCACACGUACAGCUCGACUAUGAUCUCGGCCUUCUUGAUCCAGCAAGAGAGACAGAGAGGUAGAAGAGUUCUCCGGCAGCGUGACGGCGCUCCGGAGGUUGGUGANNNNNNNNNNNNNNNNNNNNNNNNNNNNNNNNNNNNNNNNNNNNNNNNNNNNNNNNNNNNNNNNNNNNNNNNNNNNNNNNNNNNNNNNNNNNNNNNNNNNGAGUCCCGGAUGAGAUCGCGGACGUCACGAGGGUUUCCGGAAUGGUCCAGAAACGAAGAUUGAUAUAUAGGAUGACCUCAUUUGAUUACCGGAAGGUUUUUGGAGUUACCGGGAAUGUGCCGGGAAUGACGAAUGGGUUCCGGGAGUUCACCGGGGGGGGCAACCCACUCCGGGGAAGCCCAUAGGCCUUGGGGGUGGCACACCAGCCCUUAGUGGGCUGGUGGGACAGCCCAAGAAGGCCCUAUGCGCCAUAGGAAGAAAAUCAAAGAGAAAAAAAAGGAGGAGGUGGGAAAGGGAAGAAGGACUCCACCUUCCAAACCAAGUUGGAUUCGGUUUGGAAGGGGAGACCUUCCCCCUUGGCUUGGCCGAAACCCUUAGGGGUCCUUGGACCCCAAGGCAAGGCUCCCCCUCUUCCCCCUAUAUAUACGGAGGUUUUAGGGCUGAUUUGAGACGANNNNNNNNNNNNNNNNNNNNNNNNNNNNNNNNNNNNNNNNNNNNNNNNNNNNNNNNNNNNNNNNNNNNNNNNNNNNNNNNNNNNNNNNNNNNNNNNNNNNNNNNNNNNNNNNNNNNNNNNNNNNNNNNNNNNNNNNNNNNNNNNNNNUGAGACGACUUUUCCACCCACCAAACCAAGUCCAACUCGGUUUGGGGGGGGAGCCUUCCCCACUUGGACUCGGCCGACCCCCUUGGGGCUCCUUGAGCCCCAAGGCAAGGUUCCCUCCCUCCCACCUAUAUAUACGGAGGUAUUGGGGCUGAUUUGAGACGANNNNNNNNNNNNNNNNNNNNNNNNNNNNNNNNNNNNNNNNNNNNNNNNNNNNNNNNNNNNNNNNNNNNNNNNNNNNNNNNNNNNNNNNNNNNNNNNNNNNNNNNNNNNNNNNNNNNNNNNNNNNNNNNNNNNNNNNNNNNNNNNNNNNNNNNNNNNNNNNNNNNNNNNNNNNNNNNNNNNNNNNNNNNNNNNNNNNNNNNNNNNNNNNNNNNNNNNNNNNNNGGAGCUCGGGCGGAGCCCUGCUGAGACAAGAUCAUCAUCAACCUCCGGAGCGCCGUCACGCUGCCGGAGAACUCUUCUACCUCUCCGUCUCUCUUGCUAGACCAAGAAGGCCGAGAUCAUCGUCGAGCUGUACGUGUGCUGAAUGCGGAGGUGCCGUCCGUUCGGCACUAGAUCGUAGGACUGAUCGCGGGAUGGUUCGCGGGGCGGAUCGAGGGACGUGAGGACGUUCCACUACAUCAACCGCGUUCACUAACGCUUCUGCUGUACGGUCUACAAGGGUACGUAGAUCACACAUCCCCUCUCGUAGAUGGACAUCACCAUGAUAGGUCUUCGUGCGCGUAGGAAAAUUUUUGUUUCCCAUGCGACGUUCCCCAACAGUAUAUGUCUGUCGCGUCGUUGUCGAUAUAACCCCCUCCCGGAUAACUUCGACAUGAGGGGCGGUCGAUAUAUAUACCCACUCUCGACCGUGAUAAAUUAUACCACGGGAGCACCCCCUCGGCCCUCUCGCUCGACCAAAACUCUCGAGGACACCCAAACCCUAGAGAAAAAACGAUGUUGGUCUCCUACCCCCUCCCGCCGCGCCCCUACCCGACAAACUCUCUCGAGGCCACCCAAAUUUACCAAGUUAAAAGAGCGUUGUCAUCGAGGCCACCCCAAACCCUUGAAGCGUUGUCUAGGCCACCCCAAACCCUAGAGAAGCACCGUCGAGGCCACUAACAUGAUUCCUUAUUGUGAUUAGCUAGCUAGUUCUACGUUUGCCACUAAUAUAUAUCCAUCCGUACCAUGUUAGAAUAAUAAUUGACAUGUUGUAAAUAUUUGCAGAAACUAUGGAUCACUCCCGAGACGAAGAGGAAGAAGCGAUGUUGGGGGAGAUAAUCGCACAAGGAAGUGGUGUCAUUGCAUCGUUUCUCAGAGACACCGACGCUACAAGAAAUAUGCUCAUACACGACGUUUUUAAGACGUCGUUGAUGAAUUCGUCAUAAAUCUAUGACGAUUUCAUCCGAGAUUGUCGUAAACCGUUUGAGGGGAUCAAAUCUGCAUAUAAAUUACGACGAUGUGAGUCAAAAAUGUCGUAACUGCAUAAGAUGAGAUCGUCAUAAAUUUUACGACAAUUAUAAAAAUGUCGUAACAUGUUCUAACUAUGUUGACAUGUUACUCGUGGGUCCAUUCUAUGUCACGCGUCAAACCGGCCUAGUUUGUGAAGAAACCUACUAUUCUAUCAUUCCAAAAAUUAUCAUAAAUAGUUUGGAUCAUAUAUUGCUCAAAUAUGUGAAAACCCUUCCUUUCAUUGUUCAAAAAUAAUUGAGCAAUAUUCAUUCUCCUAUUAUGUUCAGAAUAGCACUUUGUGAAGGAAGUGCUAUUUCCAUUUUUUUGAUUGCCCUCAAAAUUGUCGUGCACUCUUUUUUUCAUUUUUUUCCUAUCCAAAUCAUUGCCUCAUGAAAACUUACGUAAUCAUUUGCCUAGUAAAUCUUUCUCAGCAAAUUUCCAAAAUUUGUGUUUAGCUGACAGCUUUGUGAAGGAAUUACUAGCUAGGAAUAUCGUGAUGAGUUGAAUUUUUUCCAUAUCUUCUAUAUGCCAAAACCAUAGCUCUCCACCAAAUUUCAGCCCCAUUUAACAAUCCAUUUGAGCUCAGCAUCCAAUCUUUGUUUUUGGUAAUAUUUUCAGUUUAUGAAGAAACUACAUUUUAUAUUGCUUUAUAGUUGAUGAAAAUUUACCACGAAAUAAAACUAACCAUAUAACUUAACUCCACGAAAUAAAAUUUGACCUGCUUCCAGUUGAAUCGGCAGAAAGUUUUGUUUUUCACGAGAGGUGAAUAAAAGCUUUUGACACCCAACUAUUUGGUCAAUUGUAUAUUAAAUAUGUACUAGUAUUUUAGAAAAUUGAUGGAGUCCAAUUUUGCAACAAAUAUUGGUAGGUUCUUAAAAAAACUCAUUUUUGCCACUCGGAAAAUAAUUAAAAAUAGCUAGAAAGAUGAGAAAUGCAUACAAAUUGGUACUCAUCCGUCAAAUGUGAUCUAACACUAGUGAAAUUUUGUGUGAUGCCCUUUGCAAAUUUUUUUAAUAGAUACUUCACAAAAUUCCUCUAUUUUAAGUACUUCGGAACUAUUUUAAAUCACUGAUAUUUCGAACCAAUCAGAACUCUUUCCACAGAUCGAUGACAUGGCGCCCAUCCAUCCAUCCAGCUCACCAUCUCACAUCCAUCCAUCCAUGUAUCUACAAGAAAAAAACAUGGAAAAAAGAUAACCCACCCGCAGCCAAACCCUAGCUCAGACCCCUCCCCCAUCGCACCCUUUCUCCCUCGUCCCCAUCUACUCGCCGCCGCCACCUCCUCCUUGUCCCCGCCUCCCUCCCGAUCUAGUCCUCUCUCCCGAUCGAUGGCCUCCGCGACGCCGUCGCCAAGCUCGACGAGAUCAGGUGCCCCGCCCCGACCCCCCUUGCCUCCCUCCACCGGAUCUAGUGGCCAGUAGGCGCCGAGUCCGCUUCCGCUCAACUUUUUUCUGCUCUGUUUUGUCGGUGGUGAUGCAGCGAUAACGAGAAGACCGGGUUCAUCAGCCUCGUCUCCCGCUACCUUAGGUGAUAAUGCGAAUCUUCCCGGCCUCCAUGAUCUCGUCGCGUCUAUGCUGUUGCUCUCUCGCGCGUGGGUGGGUGGUUUCUGAUGGUUGUGUUGUGAUGUGUUGUGCGUCCUACAGCGGUGUGGCGGAGUAGAUCGAGUGGAGCAAGAUCCAGACCCCCACCGAUGAGGUCGUGGUGCCCUAUGACACCCUCGCGCCCCCUCCCGAAGGUAUCAUCUCGUCUGAAAUGCUUCUUCCUGUCCUCGAUUCGGAUUCGUCUCGAAUUUUCAGUCUGUUUGUGUGUGUGGGUGUGGAAACUGAACGCUGGAUCGUGUGUGUGCUGCAGAUCUCGACGCCAUGAAGGCCCUGCUCGACAAGCUCGUGGUGCUCAAGCUCAACGGAGGCCUCGGAACCACCAUGGGCCGACGCGGCCGCCGAGGAGACCCUCGCCGCCGCACCCUCGACGCGCCGCCCGCCGGAGCGCCGGCCGGGUAGAAGCUCGCCGGAUUCCAUGGACCACGACAUGCAAGCACGCGACACCGUGAACACUCCCUCCCUCUCGCUUCUGCAUCGAGUUGUAGUUUUAGUAGAUACUAGCACUGAAGAAGAGCGGCGACACGUCGUCGCUGCGCCCGUGACAGAUGUGGUCUGUAAUUUGUACUGGUCCUUGCAAGUCUUUGUAUUUAUUUACGGAGUUUCCUGCUAUGUGAUUUACCUUUGCAUGUGUUUGGCUGUGUGAUGCGUGGUUUGAUCUGUGGAUACAUUAGUCAGUGCCAUGUGCCAGCAUCUGAAACGGGUUAACAUCUCUCUUCUCGUAGUAGAGUAAUCAAUCAUGCCAGCAUCUGAAACGGGUUAACAAAUACGAGCUUGCACUGUUCUCUGUUUUGUGAUAAUAGCAUAACAUACAGCUCGGCAUAAACAUCAACAGGGUUAGCUGAAUAGUUGUUGUUACAUCUGCAAAUGUCACCAUGAGUGGAAUUUACUUAUGAUGUCAAUGUGUUUCUUACUCAAGUUGAUAUUUUUCUUCGUUUUGCUUCAUGUGCUGUUCAAACAUCAGGAAUUCGCAUCCGAGAAGGCUACUACGGAUACACUUCCCACCAUCUCUUCUGCCGCCGACUCGAGCUCCUGACCACAAGAAGGGAAGGCAUCGCGCAGGAGCACCAUCGCCCUCGCCGUUCAUCGCUCCGCCUGAGGCAUCACCAUCGCCAUCGCUAGCCCCUCCACAAAGGCCAGGCCUGUGCCUUCUGCUCCACAGCCAAGCCAUGAUCCUCGGGUUGAUUCCCCAGCCCAUGUUGUGCAUAAGCAUUCCUGGAGAGCCUACGGUUUGGACACGGCAGGUGGUGCGGCCUUCCUUGUCAUGACUACGACAUUUGUUGUGUACUGCCGGGCGAAGAAAGUCGGUACUGUGAGGCCUUGGGUAACAUGGCUAAGCGGGCAACUGCAGCGAGCCUUCAUGACAGGUAUCCUUCAUUGUAUGUGUGCAUAUCUGUUAUCAUAUAUUUUGUUCUUUGGUUGCACAUUAACACAUGAUCAAUCAUUCUUCCAGGUGUGCCUUCGCUGAAACGAUCAGAGCUGGAGGCAGCCUCCGAGGAUUUCAGCAAUAUAAUUGAUUCUACGGCUAACUGCAUGUUGUAUAAGGGAACAUUAUCAAGCGGAGUUGAAAUAGCAGUUGUGUCAAGUUUAAUAUCAUCUAUGAAUGUUUGGUCAAAAGCAUGUGAAUCUUAGUACAGGAAAAAGGUAAUCUGCCAUUAACCUCCUUAUAUGCACACUUUUUUCUUUUGCGAAAUACACAUUAACUGAAAUGGCUGUGGUCUCGUAUCUCAAGUUUAUCGAAAGUGGGCCACAAGAACUUUAUAAACCUGCUUGGCUACUGUGAAGAAGAAAAUCCUUUCACCAGAGCUGUGGUGUUUGAAUAUGCACCAAAUGGGACUCUUUUCGAGCAUCUCCAUGGUAAGUGUGUACAUAAUAUAUCCUUUUAGUUUUCUCUCUGUCAACAGAAUGAUUCCUAUAAUGUUCAGACACCACUUCAACAAUUGCAGUAUUUGAUAAUGCUUUUGAUUAUGUUGCAGUUAGAGAAGCUGAGAACUUGGACUGGAUGGCCCGACUUAGAAUAUCGAUGGGGAUAGCGUACUGCCUCGAGCAAAUGCACAAGCUGAAUCCACCCGUCGUGACGUGGAGCUUCAGCUCAACUACUAUCUACCUCACCGAUGAUUUUGCCGCAAAGGUCUCUGAUCUUGAUUUCUGGAACGACACCAAGGGAUCGGAUUCCGUCACCGACGACUGCACCAUGCUGGACAUAGAGAGUAUCGUGCAUCGGUAUGGCAGUGGUUGUAUUUUGCCGAAUAAAAGACAGCAAAACUGCAGGUAGAUAAACAACCACAGUUUCAUACAGAAGCCCAUACAGUUUCAGUGAACUAUAUAUAUCUCGAGUCACACACACACACACACACACACACAUUUCAGUCAACUAUAUAUAUCUCGAGUCACACACACACACACACACAUUUCUUGUCUCUGUCUAGAAUGAACAUGCGCUUGUACAUGAAUAUGAACUCGGAUGUAUGUGCAUGCAUUGGUGCAGUUCAUGGAAGACAUGUCUGCAUCGGCUAAAAAGUUAGAAGAAUAGAUAAAAGGGGUAAAGAAUGGUACAGUACAACAAACAAAUCUACAACACGGCAGUGAAAUAGGUCUCUAUAUGUCCUAGGAAGCUACACUCUAGCUUCCAGAUCCUUCAAUGAAAGCAUGGCUUCCAGUUAGUGAAGCAUAAGUCAUACGUAGAUAUUUUUAUAUAUGCCUUUACCGAUAAACUCUGUCUGAAAAUCCCCUGCAAGUAGUACAGCUCUAGUAUUUGAGUACCGAGUUUAAUCGGGCAAAUAUGAUGUGUAUGUCAGCAUUGUAAUCUAGCUAUUCAGAAUUUCAGAAAUCUAUCUGACAUGUUCACUACCAGAUAUGUAGAGGUUUCUAAAGGACAAUUUCUUACUAUCGGCAAACAAUAAGAAUAUGAGAAACCAUUAAAUUUUAGUAAGGACACUCUAACUGAUUUUGAGGAUAGAGGAGCCUCUGAUACUGUCCAUAUUUUGCUGCCUCGAAUAUAAGAAUUUGCACAUUCCAUAACUAGGUCAUCAUUCCAUAACAAUAUAAGAAUUAUUUCUAAUGAAUUAAUACAUUUUUGUUGCUAAACAAAACUAGGGUAGAGGAUCCGUUUGCUAAACAAAACUUAUAUUUCCAAUGAAUUAAUACAUUUUUUUUUCAAAAAAGGGGUGCUUUAUUACUUAAAAGGUUUAAGUAUUACAUGGUUUUAGAGAUUAAUCUCUAGAGGGAGCACAUAUGGUGGUUGCCUGAACCGAGCCGUCUCUAGUUAGUUGAAUGUGAGCGCCUACCAAAUCUCCCAAUUGAAUUGGAACGCACAUAAAUAACAGUAGUACUAGUAUUUUGCUGUAGGGAAAGGGGAAGGAUAAUAGAAAUAAAUGAACCUGGUUCUUGACAUGAAGAAUGGAAAAACUGACCUUAUGUCUCGAUUUUCAAUCAAUUAUCUAGAACUGAAGACUAGUGGGACUUGAAGUCUCCCCAAUAGUGGCUUUGUUGGUUUCUGGUUUGGUGGUGUUUGAUUCUAUCCAUUUUAUAGGAUGCCUACAUAGCAUACACUUGAUGUCUCAGUAGUACUACCUCUGUACAAAAAUAUAAUGCAUAUGUACGGGGGGAGUAGUUAUUUAUUUGUUACUAUUAUCAUUUAGUGAUAUUCAAUCAAUCACUUUGUUAUCCUCUCACUGUCCUACUUAACACUGCCUCUGUUUCCUACUCAAAAAGCACGGGAAAACAGUGUUUGCAUUUUUAAAGGACGGGUAGAAGGCACUCAAGACAAGUAUUGCCAGUGACACGACGCUGUAAUGACCCCAUGGAGUAUGGUGAGUAACAGAUGAUAUCCUUUCUCCAUCUAAAAGUUUUCCUUUUUUUCUUCUUCUAGUAGAACAGAAGUAACAUAUGCAUACUCAACUUGUAUCCGCCCUUCAUUUAUACAGGUAUCCCAUCAUACAAUGACCCCUUGAACUCUUGGUGUAUAUGCCAUGCUGUUAUAGCUUUCUUUUAGAUGAAAGCAAAUUCACAAAUAUCUAGAUUUGGCAAAGACAGGAUAAACGUGAGCAAAUACAUAUGAAAUUAGCUGUUCAUUACGGUCUAAUGUUUUUUGUUUUGUCUCUUUUUCUAUUGCUAGGGAAGUGAUGAGAAGAUGUCGAUGAUGCCUACUUGGGACAUUCAAAUCAACACAACAUAAAAAUUUCUGAACCUAUGUCUCACAGGAGAGUGGAAUGAACUCCAUUCUUAGCAGAUGUGUCAUUGUCUUGUUGUGCAAUUUUGUCCGUUUUUGCUAUAUUAUGUAAGGAAAUGUAUUCAUGAGAUGAGUUAUUGUGUUAUGUAAAUCUGGGAGAUGUAUUAUGUGAUGUUAUAUGAUGGGUGAUUUUAAUUUGACUUGAGUUUUCUUGAUUUGAAUAUGAAAUAGUGUUGGAUUUAAUACUGGACAAAUAAUUGGGCUGAAAAGGCAUAACAAAUAGAAACGAAACCAAAAAUAUAAAAAGGCCAAAACUGAAUUGGACCAAACGUAUUUGGGCAUUAAAAGGCCACGACCCAAAUUAUAAUGACAAAAACAAUUCAAAAAAAAAUACAAAACUGGUUGUAAAUAGGCUAAGGCCCAAAAAGAAGCCCAAUAAGAAAAAGCCCCAAAAAAUAAAACCAACCCAUGUGAUCAAUUGAAAUGGGUUGGGCUGAUUUCAGCCAUGACGUUUUGAUUUCGUCGUAUUUUAAUCACGUAGGACUGCCACGUAGGACUGGGUUUGAUUGUCAACGACGAUUUAAGAUCGUCAUAAAGGUUACGACAAUCCAGGAAUCGUCGUAAAAGUUACGACGAUUUUGAUCAAAACGUCGCUGCUGUUCAUUUGUGACGCUCCGUUUUUGACGCUUGGUUUUUCGUCGUGAGAUCGUCGUAAAUUAAAAACCGUGACGAUGUAGCGACGAAAAAAUAGCGGCGUGUAUUAGCAUAUUCCUUGUAGUGCGAUGGUCUGGAAGGACCGGGUGAAGAAGAGGGCUAUGUUCAUGAUGAUCUGGAAGGACCGGGUGAAGAAGAGGGCGUUCAUGAUGAUAUGGAAGGACCGGGUGAAGAAGAGGGUGUUCAUGACGGCUCCGUUGACCGAACCGAGUCCGGCGAGGUAUAUAUAUAUUAGUUAAGCCCGUGCUGACUAGUUAAUUGAUGCAUUCCUUGUUUUCAUAUGUACACAUAUUAAAUAACUCUCGUCUUUCUUCUUUUUUCUCUAGCCCUCCGGAUCGACCUCAACUUCAGUAAAGAAACGAGGCCCGAAGAAAAAGUUGCGCUCGGAUGAAAGGUUUGAGAUCACAGCAAUCGUGUGCGAUGGCAAGCCGAUUGAACCCAUCCGGACAAGGGAUGCAUUUCGUGCUCAGUGCGGGGUUCUUGUUAGGGACAAGAUCCCGAUCAGUAUCCAGCAAUGGUUAAAGCCAAAGAAGGAAGACCCUGAGGUGCCGACGUCUUAUGUCUCCGAUAAACAGAAAGAAGAUCUUUGGACAACGCUUAAGGAAAAUUUCACCCUACCGCCAGAGGAGGAUACAGAGAAGCCAGUUAAAGAGGAAUUGAUCAAGUCUCAUGCUCUUAAGAAGAUGGUAGAACUAUUCAGGAGGUGGAAGAAUGAGCUGAAACGUUUGUCGACAAAGAAGAGACACCAGAAUUCACGGACCGGUUUGAGAAGAUCAGAGAUCAAUGGCCCGCAUCUGUGGCCCACAAGACAUCGGAAAAGAGUAAGAAGAUGUCAGCGACAAACAAGAAAAAUGCUGCGAAGAAGAAGCAUCACCAUCGCACGGGGUCAGGUGGUUACCUCAAAGCCCAACCUCUGUGGGACAAGGCUGAGAAUGACCUGAUUGCUAAAGGGGUCGAACCAGAGACAUUGAGAUGGCCAGACCGUUGCCGGACUUGGUUCUUCGGGGUUGGCGGAACCUUGGACCAUGUAUCAGGGGAGUGCGUUUGGACGGAAGAGCAACUGCGAAUACUCGUCAGGAACCUUCAGCACUAUAUCGCCGCAGCACAGGAAGGGGCGUUCAUUCCAGACAGAGAGAAUGACGAGCUCACAAUGGCCCUCGGGAAUCCUGAGCACCCUGGACGGACACGAGGCACGCCAGGCUCCCUUUCGUGGAAGGUUGGGUUUCCGGACGCACGGGGUUACAAAACCCAGGAGAGGAGGAAGAAAGCGAAGCAUAACCAACUGCAGGCGCUGCACGAAAGGGUACAAGGGCUAGAGGAACGAGAAGCAGAACGCACCAAACGACCUGCCGAAGCUUCCCCUAAAGCUACUCCGCCAUCUCAGCGGAGAAGCAGCGAGGCUUCCACCGAGCAGACUCAGCAGCUGGAGCCUGUCUUCACGUGCUACCCCGUGGAUGCUAUCACAGAGUCUCAACAUUGCUACCUUAUGACGCAAUGGAUGACAUUCAAAGUCAAGGUGGCUGUUGGCUCUGUUAUACCUAAUGAACCUGGCUCAACCUACCACGGCCAGCCGAUUCCAGAAGGAUAUGCUAGGGUGAUGGUGGAUCAAAUAACGGAAGGAUUUCAGGACCUUGAGCUUGACCACCCUAUGGGUGAAGGGGAGAUUCGGCUGGGUUCUUCUCUGAAGACUCCAUGCCUAUGGCGGAAGGAGCUCAUCCACCUUCCGAACUGGACGCUUCCGCCUCCUCCUCCUCCUCCGGCGAGUCAGGGCCCGCCUCCUCGUCCGCCUCCUUCGGCGAGUGAUCAGGGCACUCAGCCUCCUUCUCCGACGUGUGACAGCACUCUGCCUCCUUCUCCGCCUGCGCCGACGCGCCCGAGCAGCGAGCUGCCUCCUCCUUCUCUGCCUCGUCAACAAGGGCUCAAGAGACCCGCCGCCGCUCCGGCUCCUCCGGCGCGUAGUCCUUCUCCUCCGCCUGGUAAGAAAGGAAAGACAGUCGCAGCCGCUCCGUCUGCUCCGACGUGUAGCAGUACAGCCAGAGGCAGGCAAUACAAAUACGGUCCUUCUCUGAAGCCUCUAGAGAAGUUACCAUACGAGAGGAGCCCGGAGAAAAACGAGAAGAUCGUGGAAGCCGAAGUGAAGAACUUCUUUGAAGGGGUGAAAGCAAAAAAACAUCCACCUCCGGAGGAGAAGAUAGAUCCGGUAAAAGCAAAGCAUACUCUGGCUGCCCUGAAGAAAUCACCAAAGUCUCCGAUGAAAGGCAACUAUGAGCGCAUUAUUACAAAGUCAUUUAUCGAAGCGCAGCGGUCGGGAAGUACUGUGAGUGAUCAAAGGUUAGCAGAACGACGAGCUGGGAAAAAAGUUGCCCAGCUCGGUGAACAAGCGAACGAAUCGUUCCCCUCACUCAAGGUGUCUAGCGAUAUCGUCGCUAAUCAUCCGGGGAUCUUGUUGCCCGGUACCAAUCCUGCAGAUUACCUGCCCGAUGAUGCACAUUUUGAUUUAUUGGAGGUGUACAAACACAAAUACGUGUACGGGAAGCCUCUCGUCAAAGAUGAAAGAUCUCUAACAACGAUGUUGCGAAGAUUCCAUGAUUGGUACAUGAAAACUUGCAAAGAGUCUGGGGGAGUAAUAUUUUGACGCUAGGAGUUAGAAAGGAGCAUGACCUCGUUGGACUUGAACUGUUGAUGGUUCCAUUUGAGGAGUUCUUCCCGUUUUUCAAUCUAAAGGCCCUCGAUAAAUUAAUGAUCACUUGCUACUGUCUGUAAGUAGUACUACUUCUGUCAUUAAGUCUCUAUAUAUAGGUCAGCUCUUUCAUUGCAUGUAUUUUUAAUUAUCCUCACUAUAUUAUAUGCAGAUUGAAGAUCGUCGAAUUGAAGAAAAGACAAAUCGGUGGUAUUGGGUUCAUUAACACAAAUCUCGUAGAUGCAUUUAUGAUUAAAUCUCAGGCCAAAGAUACCGAGGCCAACCUGUUACAAUCGUUUGUAUUGAAUCAAAACAAAGCUAUAAUACUCUUCCCUUACGCACUACAAGAAAUUCGUGCAAUCAUGACGCUCCAUUUUGGUCACUGGAAGGUCACUGUUAUUGUUUUAUGACCAUGUUAUGACCAAAUAUAGGAGGUCAACAGUUGGCCGUCAAGAAUGUAGAAACUUGACCUUUAUAAUAUUUUGGUCAUUAGAUCUAUGACGAAAAUGCUUUGGUCGUUAAAUGUAUGACCAAAAUUUUGGUCAUGGCCAUGUGCCUAAACCACGUAGGAUCUUACAUGGCAAGAUGACGUGGCACAGGUGAACCACAUAGGAUAUGACAUGGCAUGUUGAGGUGUCGCUUGUGGUGACAUGUAAUCUGAUAUGGCAUGGAUAUUCCUUGAUCGAUUCUACAUGGGCCAGGCCUAAUAUUUUGGCCCAUUAAUUUUUAAGGCCAUAUUCAUUUCGACCCAGUUAUAUGGUUAAACCCCAUUUAUUUUUACAGCCAUUAUCUGUUCGGCGCAUUUAUUUGGUCAAAUAAUGUCCAUAAUCUAUUCCGACCAAUAAUUUGGUUUACAUAGUCUAAUUGAAUUAGUUCUUGGCCUUAUUUUGCAUGGUUUGAGUGCAGAAAAGCAUGUUCAGUUAAAACCAAUUAUUUACACACAAAACUGAAAUAAUUUACAAUUGUAUUGUAUCACCGAAAAUACAAUAACAUCGUCCCUCAACUACGGGCUUGAUGACUUGGUCUCAACAUGACCAACAUGCACACAAAUAGCAUCAAUCUUGUACACGUCCAAUCUUCUUGAGGUAUGAAGAGACUUCCUUAACAAUUAGAACAUCAUAAUGGGCCUUCGAGUACUUGGGAGUGGUGUCAUCUAUGCCAAAAGAACAUAUAUCCAUUAGAACACCUCACAUGCUCAAACCAGUCAAAACAGUUGGAUAUUGAACAAAAAGUAAGUUCACACUGAUGCAAGUAAAACAUACUCAGAUGAAAAUGUAGUUAACAAGGUUUGUAAAGCAGUAGUGACAAUGGAUUGUGUUGACCUAUUACAGUAAGAGAAAAUGUAAGAGCAAUUAUAAUGUGCAACACGAAACAUACAACACAACAUUUCAACAAUAAAAGGCCGAAAUUUAAUUAAGAUGCUAGAUUACGUAUACCUACACCUAAACAUACAUCAACUCAAAGCCAUGCUAGAUUAUGUAUACCUACGCCUAAACAUACAUCAACUAAAUACCAAAUAAAAAUUGGACAAAUUCAUGCGAUUUUCAACCAUGUCAAAAAAAACAUAACUGUUAAUUCAGUCCAACUUUUUUAGAAUUAAUUUGCUUAAACGGAAAAUUGAACAUUGAAAAGCAAGAACUAAAUCUGAAUAACAGGUAUAAAUAGAUCUACAUCCAAAUUUGUUUUAUUACAAACUAUUAAUAAGCAUAUACAAACUACUAUUAACUAUAUAGUCGCCAACCCAUGCAUUCGCACGAUCUAGUUUUAUAAUUUUUUUUAUCUUUUUCACUUUAUAUUUUACAUGUAUGUUAUAUAAAAUAUUAUCCAUAGUGCAACCCGUGUACUAAGCUUUUAUAUAAGAUUUUUCUUGCAACCAACAAUCGAAAGAUAUGUCAAUAUAUUGGAACACGCUACCAAAGCCAUGAAAGUAACUUGGAACAUGAAAGUAACUUGGAACAUGGGAAAACACAAAUACAUACGAGUGACUAAGUAAAUUAAUGUAAUUUCAUCCAUUAAUUUGUCAUUUUUGUUGUUGAAAGAAAAACAUGAAAACUUGUUAGGCUUCGAUAGAAAUGACUCAACAGAUAGAUGGUGAAAUAUUUAUUUUGAAUAAUACUAAAAGGAGACCUUAUGAAAAUUUUGGAGGCAAUGCCAUCAACAUGAGGCGGCAAUCCAAUUUACGUUUUAACUAAACAAAACAACUUAUAAAGGAUUUACGCUUGGAUAUGUGGUAUUAUUUUUAUUUCAUGUGAUGAUUACUAAUUAGCCUCUGGUUGAGUAUCUCCUUUUAUAUUAAAUUUAAGAGAUUUCCUGUGUCUAUAGGACAUGUAGAAUGAAGUUGAUAUAUGCCCAUCUUCCUUGAAAAAGUAGACAAUAUAGUGGCAGGAAAACAUGAAUAAAGAACAUAUUUAGAGUAGUGUGAUGACCAUAUUGCAUUUGCUUUGCUGCUAGCUGAGAGCGUCUUCUCGUGUGCUUGUCUAUUCCUGCAGGAAAGACACACAUUAUAGGCUAUGCAUAAAAGCAAUAUGGAUGUAUGUGCAUAUGCAAUUUACGCAUGUAGCCACAUAGCGGGUCGACAGAUAAUUAGCAGAUUUUUCUUCAACAUAUUUACACUUUUCAAUAUAAAAUAAAAGUAUUUGAAAACUUGCAUGGUAGGAGCUACCUGGAAAGACACACAUUACAGGAAAGACACCUUCCAAUGGCACUUGCAGCAACAAUUUGUCGCUAAAGGAAAUUAGCAAGUGAGUGGGCAUGGGGAGAGGGAGGAGCUACCUGCAGAGAGCCAUUGCCAGCAGCAGGGACCUUGUGUGGUCUACUGCGUCACCUUCUGAUGGGCGUCCAUAGGCGCCCUCUGCGUCGGGUAGUCGAAUCGUUGAUGCUGCUGCUGUACAUAGACUCCGCCACCUGUGAGGAAGCACGACAAGGCCACACCGGAGGAAGGCGUCAACGAGGCAAUCAUAUCACAAAAAGCACCAACACUACAUCCAACAAGAAAAUAGUACUUCUCAGGAUACAAUGAAUCAUAUACUUGAUAACACAAGGAUUAAUACGUUGGAUAAUGAAAAUAGUUACGGAUAUAGAAAUAAUAAAAAUAAUAGGUCAUGCAAUCUACAAAACCAACUAAAUUAGCUAGAAAAAGGUAACGAUCUGAUGCACUUAUACUGUAUAGCAGAGAACUAGAUUUACACCAAAUAUAUUGAUACACACUGAGUAUGUUAUCAGGUUGAUGAACCUGGUCCAAUUCAGAGAUUCCAUCCUAACACUACCCCUUUUCACAGCAACAAUCUGAUUAUUCUCUAGUUUCAAACACAAAAUAAAAAACACAGCAUGCCUGCACAGCGGAGUUUCAGUGGGCGGUAGCAGUCAAUGUAGAAGGAAAUAACAAUAAUGGACAGGGGCAAUACUUCGAGGGGUUGUAUGGAUACAUAGUUUUUGACAAACCAGUUUCUGCUAAUCAUUUUCAGUCAAUGUAGAAGGACGUAUUUACCUAAAACUAUGUUUGUUGGACAUAACAAAUACUUGGAUAAGUAAAUCAUGGUUUUCUUAAAACUGAAAAUGUGAGUAUAUGAAAAACUCGCACUCACACCAGGCUGGAACGGGAACGGUUGCCCCUGCUAGGUCACAUUCGCACUCAGACAAGGGUAGAAUUGAUCAUACAGUAGCAGCAUCGGCAUUAACAGGGACUAACACGCCUCCCUGUAUACACACGCAUGCCGACCCAAAAAUACUAUACCCACGAAGAUCUAUUGUUAUACAAACCUUAGCAGAAGGGAGAUGUUGUCGUAUGGCUUCUAGGCUGGCAACUAGCGGAUGGAGUCGGGCAGGAUCUAAUGGAGGUCCGUACCUUCAUCCGUGUCGUCCUCCGGCACUACGGCCGAAUCAACCACCCCUUGGGCACGCCCCGGAAUCGCCACAUGAGGUAGGAGCGCCCCCAUCCUUGCUGCAAAUGACGUCAAGGUGGACGCACUCCCAGCAUCGAAGUCAAAACAUUGUGGACGGGGAGUCGCCGAUGUCGCCGUGGACGAGGUCGACUCUAGAGGAUGCUACCAUCGUGGAUCUAGGACCAGCUCAAUAGCUGGCUUACUUCAUCCUCCCAACCGGCCGCCGGAUCUGAGGCCAGAGGCGCUCGGAGUUGAGGUAGAAAGAGAGAGAC
rnacentral:lncRNA from 1 species